rnacentral:lncRNA from 1 species
AAAAUAUAUAUAUAUAUUUAAAGCUUUGUAGAUGAAGCUUUGGUGUUGAAGCUUUGUAUGUGAAGCUUUGAGGUUGAAGCUUUGUUGGGCACCAUGAAUUGAUUUUGCUUCACACUAUCUUGAUCAAGAUAGUGUGAAGCUUUUGUAGGUGACGCUUUUGUGUUGAAGCUUUGUAGGUGAAGCUUUUGUGGGUGAAGCUUUUGUGGAUGAAGCUUUUGUGGGUGAAGCUUUUGUGGGUGAAGCUUUUGUGGAUGAAGCUUUUGUGGGUCAAGAUUUUGUGGGUCAAGAUUUUGUGGGUCAAGCUUUUGUAGAUCAAGCUUUUGUGGGUCAAGCUUUUAUAGGUCAAGCUUUUGUGGGUCAAGCUUUUGUGGGUCAAGCUUUUGUAGAUCAAGCUUUUGUGGGUGAAGCUUUUGUGGGUGAAGCUUUAAUAGGUGAAGCUUUUGUGGGUGAAACUUUUGUAGGUGAAGCUUUGGAGUUGAAGCUUUUGUUGGUGAAGCUUUUGUUGGUGAAACUUUUGUUGGGUACCAUGAAUUGAUUUUGCUUCACACUAUCUUGAUCAAGUUAGUGUGAAGCUUAUGAGAAUUUGUUGUUGUCCUCUAUUGAUGAAGCUUUUGUUGGUGAAGCUUUUGUUGGGUACCAUGAAUUGAUUUUGCUACACAUUAUCUUGAUCAAGAUGGUGUGAAGCUUUUAAGAAUUUGUUAUUGUCCUCCAUUGAUUAAGCUUUUGUAGGUGAAGUUUUGGAGUUGAAGCUUUUGUUGGGUACCAUGAAUUGAUUUUGCUUCACACUAUCUUGAUCAAGAUAGUGUGAAGCAUAUGAGAAUUUGUUAUUGUCCUCCAUUGAUGAAGCUUUUAUUGGUGAAGUUUUGGAGUUGAAGCUUUGUAGGUGAAGCUUUGGAGUUGAAGCUUUUGUUGGUGAAACUUUUGUUGGGUACCAUGAAUUGAUUUUGCUUCACACUAUCUUGAUCAAGAUAGUGUGAAGCUUUUAAGAAUUUGUUGUUGUCCUCCAUUGAUGAAGCUUUUGUAGGUGAAGCUUUGGAGUUGAAGCUUUUGUUGGGUACCAUGAAUUGAUUUUGCUUCACACUAUCUUGAAACAGACAUAAUAAUAAAAGAGAUGUAAUAAUAUCAAUAAAAACUUAAACCGUAAUUUUGCUUUUAUUUACACCACCAAUUUAAUUAUUGAAAUUUGCUUAUGGCCUUCAACCAAAAAAAUUGCUUAUGGGUGCAUUCUAGAUUUCUUUUUAUUUUUAUAAUAUGAGUACAUUUAUAUAAUAAAAUUUGGGUACAUUUUACAUAUAAAAAAAUUGGUACGUUUAUAUAAAAAUGUGGAUACAUUUCACAUACAAAAUGUAACAGUCGUCCCUAAUUGUACGAUUUUAUUAAUUUUAAAGCAGUGAAUUGAUGAACAUGUCCCUAGAGGCAAGAUUGUUGACUUUCGUUGACCAUCAUUUCGUGACAUGUACGUGCUACUAUUUUACCGUAUUCUCAAAGUACUCGACGGUACAAACGCAUAGGCGCAAGCAAAAUAGAAAUCAGAGUUACAGUUAAAAUCUUACGAAAUACCGAGUAUUAGGGGCAAGUAGGUAAUGUCAUUUUGGAAGAUAUUUUGUAUUGUUUUGUGAGCCAUGUGGGGCCCACACCCUACUCUCCCCCUCUCUUCCGUGUCUCCCAAUCUCAGAACUCUCAUUUUUUAUUAUUUUUUUCUCAACUCUCCCUCCACUCAUUUUUUGCCAACUCGCUCUACCUCAUUCUCUCUCAAACUUUCCCCCAUCUCUUUUCCCUUUCAUCUCUUCCCUUUUAUCUCUUGUCUUUCUCCUCCUGAAACUUCGAGAGCAGCACCAUUGAGCUGUUAUCCUCCGAUGAACCAUGACACCAACCACCACCAGGUCUCGUCAUUUCCUUCGCCAUUAAACAAGAAAAGCAAGAACGAACAUUCGAUCUCGAACCCACACAAUGGAAUCCUGAGCCCAACUUUGGAGGGUUUAUUUUUGUUCCGAUGAAUUUAUGAAUUUUUCCGACUAAGGUAAACUGGGGGUACUCACAAUCCCUUCAUUUCGAAGUCCUGGUUUGAUUUUUGGUUCUAUAUGGUUGAUUUGGUGGUGAUGGGUACAAAAUCAACUUGGGGAAGUUAUUUCCCAGAUUUCCGACCAUUUUCUGGCCACGGUUGUGAAUCAAAGUGGUAUAACUUGAAUCCUGCUAGCUUUAUUUUGGCACUUAAAUGGUGAGAUUUGUUUGAGAAUCGAAGCCAUACGGAGUUGGGGAAGUUUCUCGGCCAAAAUUCCAGUGUUCUUCUUCACUAGGUCCGGCGUGUGCAACUUGCAAGUCCACCUGUCAACCUAACUUGGUGAAAAAAAAAGGCCUAAUCCCAAACCCGGCCCAAACAAUUGGGCCAUUACUCCAGCCUAACCCAGUUGGGUAAUGGGCUCAGAAUAUUCUCUGGAAUAUUCCUUGUGUUGACUUUUUCAAAAAUUUCUUGAAAAUCCUCCUAGACUAAUUUCGACGUCCUGAGUCUGUUUUUAACAUCCAUUUAGUGAAAUUUUGAAGUUUUAAUGUAGUGACCGUCCCGGCGUCUCAGUUGACUUUUUAGGGUUGAUCGUAGACUUUUUGUUGACUUUUUCCAAAAUUUAUCCGGGACCCCUCUUAGCGUAUUUCAACGCUCUGAUUCCAAAUCCAUACUUUGUUUUCCCAAAUUUGAUCAUUUAAGUUGAGUUUUACUAAUGGAUCCCAAUAUUAUGCUUAGGGGUGAUUACCAUCAGAACUCCAGCUUUCCUAGUUCGAACAGCUGCGACCUCGCAAGUAUCUGUGAGUGGAUCUUUUCUUUUAUGUAGUGUUUGCGUGUGUAUAUAUAUAUUUUUUCAUUUCCAUUUACAUAUUUCAUAAAGGAUUUGCUAUGAUACGCCUAGAUUAGCUUAACGUUUAUAAGUUUUAACGCAUUGAUAGAAAUUAUGAAAUUAUGCUUCGUCCUACAGGAUGCACAUAUAUGCAUAUCAUUAUUGAUGCCUUAACUAUAUUUAUGGUCGUGAAUAGUAUUAUGGUGACUUGAAUGAUCGAUUUACCGAUGUAUGAUUCUAUUUACGUUAUUUACUCACCGUGUGCUACUGGUGUUAGUACUCACCCAGGUUAGGUCCAAUCUUUUACAUGUAUAUUCACAUCGCACCGUAUGCUCACUUUGGAUCCAUUGUAGGUGUCAGUCAUGUCCUAGAUUGCUAUAGGCAAUUAGGACUCGUAUGUGAUGCGCAAAGCGCUAGUCUUCACAUGAUUGUAGCACUAUAGUGUAAAUCAUUAUUACACCUAGUCAUGUUCAUGUUAGAAUACCUCUGCAUGAACUCGUGUGUCAGCAUAUGUCGAUGAGCACUUGAUGUGAUAUGUUUAUUUCUGCGAGACAUUGUGAUUACUGGAAGGUAUAUGUUUAUUUAUGAAUUUUGUGACAUACUGAAUUCUUGAGAUAUUGCAGGCUACGGUAAGUAUUUUCAUGCUAUACGUAUUAUGUAUAUUUUGGAAAUUAUAUUUGUUUUACGGUGAGGGAUUAUAAUGUUUUCGAAAAGGUUUUCAUAAAACUUUAUUUUUAGGCCCACUCACCCUUAUUUUUUCGCCUCUUCAGGUUUUAGUGUUGGGUUUUUGUGUCGACGAGGAUUCUUGGCAAAUCUUGGUAUAGGUGGUUACCUUCGAUAGUAUAAUUCUCAUCCUACUUUACUGUACUGUAUUUAUGGUAUGACAUCACGUGUGAAAUGAGUUCAUUUCUGCUCACAAGCACACUCUUAUAUUUAGGCACUUUUAGGUUUAAAUUUAUUCACAAUUUCCACAUCACUACACUUUAUAGCUUAACCACCUUCCUGGUGUCGGCCAGCACAACUCGAUUUAGAGUCUGGUGGACAUUCCGUGUCGGGGUGUGUCACAAAAAAUGGGCACGUGUUAUAUAAAUUAAAUGGGUACAUUAUAUAUAUAUAUAUAUAUAUAUAUAUAUAUAUAAACAAUGUGCACAUUUUAGAUUUAAAAAUAAAUAAAUAGAUUUUACAUUAAAAAAUGGGGAUACAUUUUAGAUUUAAAAAAAAUAAAUAGAUUUUACAUUAAAAAAAAUGGGUAAAUUUUACAUAAAAGGAUUGGUGCUUACAAAACAAAAAAAAGGUACUAUCAUAUCCCAGACCGGCUCCGCCGUAUCACGAUAUUUUCCGCUUUGGGCCAUGGCCACGCCCUCAUGGUUUUGUUUCUGGGAACUCACACGAGAACUUCCCAGUGGGUCACCUAUCAUGGGAAUGCUCUUGCCCGAACUCACUUAACUUCGAAGUUCCGAUGGAAUCCGAAGCCAAUGAGUCCCCAAAAGGCAUCGUGCUAUAUGAAGGUGGGCCUGUACAUAUAAGGCACAUCACCAUCUCUCAGUUGGUCGAUGUGGGAUGUUACAAUCCACCCCCCUUAGGGGCUCGACGUCCUUGAUAGGAUUAAAAGCACACUACAAAGUAGCACACAAAUAUCCUAUUGAUUUUCCUUAUUAACACUAAGAUUUGUCAAUUGUAGCAUAUGAAAAUAAGGGUCUUUCCCGCAGAAGAUUGUUUUAUCUAACUACUUAAAAUGUCACCAAAAACUGGUUGAUGUCCCUACUGACCAGCCACCGAAAAAUAAUUAUUAGACCGACUUACACUUAUCUAAAUUCUACGAAAUUUUAUAUGAAGACACUACACACAGAGCUACACUUCUACAAAUUUUUGGGAUUUUUGGAGUUGAUUUGCUAUUUAAAUUAAAUUGAACAAAAACAGGACAGAAACAAAUUUUAAGUAGUUCACAAAUUAAGAAAAACGAGUUAGGGGUAUUGCUAUCCACCACCAAAUAAUCAUGCAAACAUGUUAUGUUUCAUUCAAAUUUCUUUUAUUUCCGGAUGAAGAUGCUCAAGUUGGCUCAAUGUUAGAACUCAACCUAUUACUCAUUCUUACGUAGUAUGUUAAGAGAAUGGCGUUUUCAACUUAACUUAGUCCCUAUCAUGCAAUCUAGAAUGGCGUGUUCAUAGGUUUAACAAGUAGAAAUCAUUAAGAACGAAAAGAGUUUGAGUCAUCACAAGGCAUCGUAAGUACUGGCGUUGUCUUACUUAUCCUAGAAAUUGGUUCACAUGUUAAUCGCAAUUAACAAGUACUACUCUAGAAUAUAUGUAGGUCCUCAUUCGACAAGGGCAGACACGCACAUAUUCAUAGCAUUAGAAUCCUAUAUAUGCUUACUACGUAUGCAUCCAUAGAAAACAAAUAAAGAAUUCAUCAAUGAGACAAGUAAUGAACCAAUUUUCAUCCAUUCAUAAAAGUAAUUCAAAGAAAUGUCAUAACAAAAUUGCAAUCAUAUUCGGGGCUUCAAAACAGCCCCUAACUACUAAAAAUUUAGUUACACACAAUCCUUAAGUUAAAACAAAAGAUAGACAUGAGUUUGAGAAGAUAGAACCGAAAGAAAUCGACCGAGGCUUCCUCCCCCCUUCCUUCCUUCCCCAAUGUUGCUUUUAAACCCAUUCUUGCUGCAUCAUUUUCUUCUCCUUAACUCACCCACUAAUAGCUAUUUAGUGAUGACAAUAAGUGAGAGGAAAUGUGGUAAAACAAUUGUAACACUUUAGGUAGCCUUUAUGCCAAUUACUCCCUCUUAAUCCUUAUUUUUAAUUCCAUUUCAUCUGAUAUUUGAAGAGGUGUCAGCUGACUUGUUCUUGGCUGCAUCAGUUUUGGCUGCUAGUUUUAUUGGAUUUAUUGCCUUCAAUGCAGUUACAAACUGCUCAGCGUCUUGGAAACCUUUCAGUAUUAAAACGGCCAUAACUUCUUCUAGAAAAAUGAUAUUAACAAUCCGCGAAAUGUUCUAGAAAAUAGACAUCCGUAGCUUUCCAAGCAUAUAAGGCUCAUUCUCUAAUUCAUUCUGAGCGGUUCGCAACUUGCUUCCAAAGUCAGCUGAUCUGCACAUGCAGUUUUGACGAAUUUGUUACUAAAAAUCCUAUUUGUGCUAUUUUUCUUUUAUUUGCUUGACAAAUCCCACAAAACACAAAAACAAAGUAAAUAGCUCAAAAAUAUAAGGAACUAACUAAGAAAAGACAAGUGAAUUUGAUGUAAAAUAUAUAUAAAUAUGAGCUUAUCAGUCCUCGUCGGCAAACUCGCACCGAACGGCAGAAUGGCUUUGAUACCAUUUUGUCACAUCCCAGACCAGCUCCACCAUAGCACGAUAUUGUCCGCUUUGGGCCCUAGCCACGCCCCUACGAUUUUGUUUAUGGGAUCACACGAGAACUUCCCAGUAGGUCACCCAUCCUAGGAAUGCUCUCGCUCGAAAUCGCUUAACUUCAGAGUUCAGAUAGAAUCCAAAGCCAGUGAGUCCCCAAAAGGCCUCGUGCUAUAUGGAGGUGGGCAUGUACAUAUAAGGCACAUCGCCCCUUUUCCGUUGGUCGAUGUGAGAUGUUACAGGUACAUUUUGCAUUUAAUAAAGUGGUACAUUUUUAAGUAAAAAUGGGUACAUAAUAAAUAAUUUACGGGUACUAAUAAAAGGUUAAAAAAUUAUGAGUUCAAAUAAAAGCUUAAAAAAUAUGGGAACAAAAAAAAUUAAUAUAUGGGUACAAAUUAAAAAAGGGUUGCAAAUUGAAAAUGGGUACAAAAUAAAAAUAGAAAUAUAUGAUACAAAGUUUAGCCAUAACUAUAAAUAUAUCAAAUGUAACGUUUCUAACACUAAAUGAAUAUACUUAGAAAUACAAUUUAAUUGAAAAUAAAUAAUUUAAUUAUCUUGACAUGUAAAUAUUUUAUUACUAAAAUAAUUAAAUAUGUUAUUAAAACGUAAGGACCUUGAUUAAAAAUUCAAAAGGAAUAAGGUCUUAAUCAAAGUAGAAAAAACAAGGAUGAGAACUAGGCCUGGCAAUUCCUGACACGACCCGAUAACCCGACACGACACGACACGAAAUUAACAGGUGUUCGGGUCGACACGAUAACGAAACGGGUCAUUAUCGGGUAACCCGAUAAGCACGUGUUAAGAUAACGGGUUUGUUCGGGUAUACACGUGGGUAACACGAUACACGAUAAGCAAAAUAUUAAUUUAAUAAUUUAUAACCCUAAAAAAUACUAUAAUAAUUAUAUAUAUAUAUUAAUUUAACAAUUUAAUACCCCUAAAAACUAUAAUAAUUAUAUAUAUAUAUAUAUUAAAUUAACUAUAAUAAUUAUAAUAAUUAUAUAUACUAUAAUAAUUAUACCCAAAAUAUUAACUAUAAUAAUUAUAUAUAUAUAUAUAUAUUAAAUUUUAGGGAAAAUUAGAAUGCCCUACAUCUUUUCUAUAGUUGUUAGAUUAAACAUGCAUCCCUUUUAAAGAUUUGAUUAAGGUGCUUUGAUCAAUUGCCACCUCAAUAAUUUUCUAUUUAUUUAAUUUUCAUUUCAUUAAUUUUUCUUAAUUUAAAUGCAUUUAUAUAGAGGCAUAAGGUAGCUUAGCAACUAAUUGCCUAUAAUAUAGGAAUUUAAUUUCGUCAAUCCCCUUCUACGCAUUAAAUGACAUUUUUUUAAUAAAAUAAAAAAAAUUAAUUAACUAAUUCCUCAUUUCCUUAGUAUCAGUAUUUAAAAAAAAAAUCUUUCUAUUAAAAAUGUCUCAAUAAAAGUCUUCAAUACAUAUUUUUUUCACGUAUAGAUAUAUUAAAAAUAUACUUAAAACUUAUGGUACAUUUGAAAACAAAAGUAUCAACUGUUGGUACGUUUACAUUUCAAAUGUACCGAGAAACCAAAUGUACCAUAAAAUCAAAUGUACCCAUUAUUAUGUAACCCCUUUGGUACGUUUAGAUUUCAAAUAUACAGAGAAAUCAAAUGUACCAUAAAUCCAAAUGUGCCCAUUGUCAGGUAACCCUUUUGGUAUGUUUAGAUUCCAAAUGUACCAAAAGACCAAAUGAACAAAAAAUCCCAAAUGUACCACAAAAUCAAAUGUCUCUAUUAGAUAACCCUUUUGGUACAUUUACAUUCCAAAUGUACCGAGAAAUACAAAAAAUCAAAUCCACUAUAAAACUAAAUGUGUCCAUAUUAUAGAUAACUAGACGUAGCUAUAUAAUCAAACAAAUAUUUAUUAUGUGUUGGAUGUUCUAAAUAAUAAAAUCUGACAAAUGUUUUUAUAAAUAUUCUACUAUAUUCACACAAAAAAGUAAAAAUUAUAACAAACAAUAAAAAAAUGCAUAGAGAUGGAUAAUAAAUGCAUAAAUAUAGGGAUAAUAAGAAAAGAAAAAAAAAUGAAAUGCCCAGGAGAAGUUGUAAAAAACUAAAAUUCUAAACAAAAUUGAACUUAUGUGAAAAAGCUGAAAUUAAUAACCAAAAUUUUAAGAAAAUGUUUAAUCAAAUUUUCAAAAGGAGUGUAUGUUUAGUCUAAAAAAUUAAAAAACGAGGCGCCUAUGUCAAAACGCCCCUAAAUUUUAUACCCCUAAAAACUAUAAUAAUUAUACAUACAAAAUAAAUAGAUUUAAAUCUACUUAAUAAAUAAAUAUAUAUAUACACACACACACCAUUGAACUUCAUGGGAUACGAAUUAUACGAAACUAAUUUCAACGAUCCAACCGUCAAACAUGUUUGUAUAUACUUCGAGAUCGCAUACGCCAAAAAUUACAAAAAACAAACAUUCAGAGAUCAAGUAACGGGACAAAACUUUUCGACGGUUAUAAACGAAAAAUCACGAUUUAACGGUCAUUUUAACUCCGAUUUUGAUGAUUUUUUACAACCACACUCCUUGACCCUAUAUGAAUACAAUGAUUGAAUUCGAUCUUCAAUUUAAAAUAUUUACACUAAUCUUAUGUUAUACUUAAUAAAAGUAUGAAUAAACUCUUAAGUAUUAGUGAAUCUAUUGUUUUGAUGGGAUACUCAUUCUACGAAACUAGUUUCAAAGAUCCAACCGUCAAACAUGUUUGUAUAUACUUUGAGAUCGUACACGUCAAAAAUUACAAAAAACAAACAUUCAGAGAUCAAUUAACGGGACAAAACUUUUCGACGGUUAUAAAAAGAAAAACCACGAUUUAACGGUCAUUUUAACUCUGAUUUUGAUGAUUUUUUGCAGCUACACUCCUUGACCUUAUAUGAAUACAAUGAUUGAAUUCGAUCUUCAAUUUAAAAUAUUUACACUAGUGGAAACCACAAAAUCUUAUGUUAUACUUAAUAAAAGUAUGAAUAAACUAUUAAGUAUUAGUGAAUCUAUUGUUUUGAUGGGAUACUCCUUCUACGAAACUAGUUUCAAAGAUCCAACCGUCAAACAUGUUUGUAUAUACUUCGAGAUCGCAUACAUAAAAAAUUACAAAAAACAAACAUUCAGAGAUUAAUUAACGGGACAAAACUUUUCGAUGGUUAUAAAAAGAAAAAUCACGAUUUAACGGUCAUUUUAACUCUGAUUUUGAUGAUUUUUUGCAGCUACACUCCUUGACCAUAUAUGAAUACAAUGAUUGAAUUCGAUCUUCAAUUUAAAAUAUUUACACUAGUGGAUACCACAAAAUCUUAUAUUAUACUUAAUAAAAGUAUGAAUAAACUAUUAAGUAUUAGUGAAUCUAUUGUUUUGAUGGGAUACUCAUUCUACGAAACUAGUUUCAAUGAUCCAACCGUCAAACAUGUUUAUAUAUACUUCGAGAUUGCAUACGCCAAAAAUUGCAAAAAACAAACAUUCAGAGAUCAAGUAACGGGACAAAACUUUCCGACGGUUAUAAACGAAAAAUAAUGAUUUAACGGUCAUUUUAACUCCGAUUUUGAUGAUUUUUUACAACUACACUCCUUGACCUUAUUCAUACAAUGAUUCAAUUCGAUCUUCAAUUUAAAAUAUUUACACUAGUGGAUACCACAAAAUCUUAUGUUAUACUUAAUAAAAGUAUGAAUAAACUCUUAAGUAUUAGUGAAUCUAUUGUUUUGAUGGGAUACUCAUUCUACGAAACUAGUUUCAAAGAUCCAACCGUCAAACAUGUUUGUAUAUACUUCGAGAUCGCAUACGUCAAAAAGUACAAAAAACAAACAUUCAGAGAUCAAUUAACGGGACAAAACUUUUCGACGGUUAUAAAAAGAAAAACCACGAUUUAACGGUCAUUUUAACUCUGAUUUUGAUGAUUUUUUGCAGCUACACUCCUUGACCUUAUAUGAAUACAAUGAUUGAAUUCGAUCUUCAAUUUAAAAUAUUUACACUAGUGGAAACCACAAAAUCUUAUAUUAUACUUAAUAAAAGUAUGAAUAAACUAUUAAGUAUUAGUGAAUCUAUUGUUUUGAUGGGAUACUCAUUCUACGAAACUAGUUUCAAAGAUCCAACCGUCAAACAUGUUUGUAUAUACUUCAAGAUCGCAUACGUCAAAAAUUACAAAAACCAAACAUUCAGAGAUCAAGUAACGGGACAAAACUUUUCGACGGUUAUAAACGAAAAAUCACGAUUUAACGGUCAUUUUAACUCCGAUUUUGAUGUUUUUUUACAACCACACUCCUUGACCCUAUAUGAAUACAAUGAUUGAAUUCGAUCUUCAAUUUAAAAUAUUUACACUAAUAAAAGUAUGAAUAAACUAUUAAGUAUUAGUGAAUCUAUUGUUUUGAUGAGAUACUCAUUUUACGAAACUAGUUUCAAUGAUCCAACCGUCAAACAUGUUUAUAUAUACUUCGAGAUUGCAUACGCCAAAAAUUGCAAAAAACAAACAUUCAGAGAUCAAGUAACGGGACAAAACUUUUCGACGGUUAUAAACGAAAAAUCACGAUUUAACGGUCAUUUUAACUCCGAUUUUGAUGAUUUUUUACAACUACACUCCUUGACCCUAUAUGAAUACAAUGAUUGAAUUCGAUCUGCAAUUUAAAAUAUUUACACUAGUGGAAACCACAAAAUCUUAUGUUAUACUUAAUAAAAGUAUGAAUAAACUCUUAAGUAUUAGUGAAUAUAUUGUUUUUAUGGGAUACUCAUUCUACGAAACUAGUUUCAAUGAUCAAACCGUCAAAUAUGUUUGUAUAUAUUUCGAGAUCGCAUACACCAAAAAUUGCAAAAAACAAACAUUCAGAGAGCACGUAACGGGACAAAACUUUUCGACGGUUAUAAACGAAAAAUCACGAUUUAACGGUUAAUUUAACUCCGAUUUUGAUGAUUUUUUACAACUACACUCCUUGACCUUAUAUGAAUACAAUGAUUGAAUUCGAUCUUCAAUUUAAAAUAUUUACACUAGUGGAUACCACAAAAUCUUAUGUUUAUACUUAAUAAAAGUAUGGUAUAGUACUAUUGUUUUAUUUUUUUUUUCAUAAUUAUUUUGGUAAACUUCUCAUAAUUUUGAAUGAUUUUUAAUGUUUGGUUUUUCUAUGCUUAGUUUAUGCAGAAGAUAGUUAUGACGUGGAAAACCUUACUGAAAACAUCAUCAACAUAACUCUUGAAGGCAAUAGAUCAAGCCAAAGUUCCAAUGCAAUUUCAUGAUGAUCGAUGUAAAUCGAGGAUUUUGUAAAUUGAGGUUUAAACUUUUGAGAAAUAUUUCACAACCUUGAAAACAAAAACUGUUUCAUUUUGCAUAUCCUUGCACAUUAAAAAUUUGUAAUAGAUUAGUAGUGUAUGUAUUAUUUUUUUAUUAGGCUCUUAUUUUCGAGUGUAGAUGCAGUACUUAAACGACAAAUGUGUUUUAAUGUUUUGAAGUAAUAUUUAUGUGGCAAUGUGUGGUAUGUGCAAAUUUAAGAAAAAAAUAUAUAUUUUUCAUAACGGGUCAUAACGGGUCGGGUCACUUUACCCGUUGGGUAAAGUGACACGACCUGUUAAGGACCCGUUAAGAUAACGGGUGUGACACGACACGACCCAUUAAGAUAACAGGUGUUACACGAAAACGACACGAACACGACUGACACGACCCGUUUGCCAGGCCUAAUGAGAACCUAUUUGGCUCACCUCAACGGCUUAAAACCUCUAAGAAAUCAAGAUAAAAGGAAAAUUACUUCUAAUGACAUGUUUAUUUACUUGAAAUUGGAGAGUCAUAAAUCGGAAAACUCAUGUCAUGUUUAUAUACAUGGAAUCGGAAUAAGAAGGAAUUAGAAUGAGUAGGAAUUGGGUUAUCAAGGAUUCACAUGAAACGGAAAGAAACAAUUUCAUUAAGUGUUUACUAACCGUCAAUAAAUGAAAUGAAAAUUAAAGGUAAGCCAAAUGAAAUGUUUACUAACGAGCAGAAAUAACAAUAUACAUUAGUUAUUUUAUUUUGGUAAACAAAAAAUAACAUUUGUUGUUCACUAGAAUACCCUCAUACAAAAUAAACUUUAUUUUUCAACAUUAGAAAAUGUAAGGGCUGCAUUGGUGUAUAAAAAAUAAUAAUUCUGAAUCAUCCUUUUCCAUUCUCACCUCCCCUAUAUAUUAUCAUUCCUUAAUAAAUAAUUUUCUGAUGGGCCACAUAGUUUUUCUUUAUUCCUUUAUCCAAGUAAACAAGGGGAAUCCUAGAAUGAUAGUGAUCCUAAUACGGUGGUAUUGAAUUCGUUGUUCACCAAAUUCGAAUGAAGAAAAAUCCUACCAGACUGUAUUUUAAGUUUAAGUGGAAAUUUUCUAUUAAAAAUUCUUAGUUUAGACAACAAUAGAAAAAAGAGAAUAAAUAUUAGAUUAAAAAAAAAAAGAAAUCUAACAUUAAGAAACAUCAUUGUCACUCAUUUUGUCGUGACAUACAAUUUCUCAAUGAGUUUAUAUAUCAUGACUUAAUCAAAAAUUUCUUUUAUUUAAAGAAAAUCUUUGUGUUUUUAUUAAUUUUUUUAUACAAUGGCAUAUUUAUACUAAUACGGUGGUGUUAAAUUCAUCAUUCACGAAAUUCGAGUGAAGAAAAAUGUUACUAAACUAUAAUAUAUGUUUAAAUGACAAUUUUUAUUACUGUCAUGACAUAAUUCUUAGUUUGGACAAUAAUAGAAAAAAAAAACAAUAAAAGAUUGGAUUAAGAAAAUAAAAGAACUCUAACAUUAAGAAGAUAUCAUUGUCACUCGUAUUGUCAUGACAUACGAAAUGAAAUUUUGACCAUCACCAAGAUAGGGAUUUAAAAAGACUAAACAGUCCAUUGAUUCAUUGAUUAACAUGUAUUACAAUGGAGUAUAAUACCGAAAAGAAACUCAAAUUGACAUGUGGCAUAAAAUUCCCCCACAUGGACCAUCCUCUUUUAACUCCACACUAAACCCUACAAUCAAAAGUCAAAUGACUCAAAACACUCCAAACCAACCACAUUGCCUAAAGGCAAUAGGAACAUAUUCUUGUGGCACAACAAAUUUGCAGAAUAUAUAAAGUAGAAAGUUGUACACAUUAACUAUGAAAUUAUAUUCCCCAAACAUAGCAAUAAUACAUGAACAUAUGCUACAUGAUUUUAACAAAACGAUAUUUUAAUUAUUCCAACUUAAAAAAAAAAAAAAACUUCCAUCGUCGUAUCCACUUAAAAUGAACAUUUUUCAUUUGAUUUUAACCAUAGAAUACAAACUGGAUGGGUGAAGUGGAAAAGUGCAUCGAGUGUGUUGUGUGAUUAUCGUAUACCACUAAAGCUUAAAGGAAAAUUUUAUAGGACGCCAACAAGGCCAAUACUGCUUUAUGGCACAGAAUGGUAAAUGGUCCAAAAUCAACACGUGCAAAAAAUGAGUGUAGCGAAUAUGAGAAUGCAUUGUUGGAUGUUUGAGCACACAAGAAGGGAUACGAUUAAGAACGAGGAUAUCGGUGAUAAAAUAGGAGUGGCCACAAUUAAAGAUAAGAUGAGAGAAAAUCGAUUAAGGUGACUUGGACACGUGGGCCAGAUGCCUACAAUUGCUUUGGUUAGAAGAUACGACUAUGAAACGGAAGCUCAGGGCAAAAGUGAUAGAUGAAGCCUUAUGAAGAUUUGGAAAGAAAUUUAAAAAAAAGAUAUCAAAUACUUGGAGCUAACGGAAGACGUACAAAACCAAACGCAAUGACGUUCUAUAAUUUAUACAUCAAAUCCCAUUUAGUAGAAUAAAGCUUAAUUGUUAUUAUAAAAAAAUAAAAAAUAAAAAAAAUGAAAAAAAAAACAGACUUAGAAUUUGGUUGCAAAGGAAUCGACACACUUUCUUACCCAACCUGCGCAAACUAAGCCAAAGAACAAAUAAAUUUAAUUUUUACUGUUACUGACUGUUAGAAAUCUCAGAAAAACAAGUUAUCGUAUUAUCCAUUCUUAUAUAAAAAAAAUUAAAAAAGAAAAAGAAAAACUCAAGGGGUAGUUUUGAAUGACAUAGGUAUAUCUGUUACACUUGAACAAAUGACAUGAAUGACUGUUACUCACACUCUUGUCUCUCCUCUCUCAGAAACCCAAGCCAAAGAACCAAACCCAAAAUAAAAAACCACACAGAAGAAAGAAAAUAAGAGGGGAGAGAGAGAGAGAGAGAGAGAGAGAGAGAGAGAGAGAGAGAAGGGUUAGAGCAUUUAGCGAAAGAAGCCAAACCCGAAAGCCAACUGUUUGCUCCUCCCAACACCUCCAUCCAUCUCCAUCACCACCUCAGCUCUCUGAUCAUUUUCCACUAAACCCAUAUUCAUUUUCCUCUUCCAACCAUUUUCUUUUCAAUCAUUUUUCGUUUUUGUUUAUUUUUCUUCAAUUACGCUCUAAAAUCUCAAAGCUCUAAUAAACCCUCAUUUGCAGAGGGACAGCUACGUACACAGAGCACAAGAGCAACAAAUAUAGUUUUAUUUUUUUAUUUAAUUCUUAUAAAUUUUCAAUCUUUCUUAUUGUAGAAGCUGCUAUUUUUUCCCUUCCUGUUUUUAUAAAAAUCUCUGUGGUGGGUUUUGAUUCUAUGGCUGCGGUUUCUGAGAUUUCCGGUGAGGCAGCCUCUGCCAAAAACUCCAACUUGGAUUCAAUGUCAAAACCCAUUUCUGAAUCCAAAUCAGAAUUCGAUGUGCAGAAGCUGGUGGAUAUGUUCACCAAGCUCAACCCUUUAGCCAAAGAGUUCUUCCCUUCAUCUUAUUCUCCCCAGCACCAUUCCAAUUUUGAAAACUCUGUCAAUAACAAUAAGCUCUCACCCAAUGAUAAUCAGGCCAACAUUCGAAGGGUAAUGAUCAUUCUCUUUUGAUCUCUUUUUUUUUUCCUUUUUUUUUUUUGUGUAAUUUGAAUAUAGGGUUGGUUUUAUAUAUAUUUUUUUCUUAUGAAUAUGAAUUAUGUAAUGGAUUUGAGCUAAACGGGGCUUUUCUAUUUGUUGUAAUAUCAUAUAAUGUAAUUUGAGUUGGGUUUAUUGUUGAAUUGAUAAUUUGGUUGCUAUUCGGGUUGUCGGUAGGCGAGGUUCUUGAGUUCUCUGCUGCAACAAUUUUUUCCUUAAUGAUCAUAAAUUUUCAAAUGGCUUAGUGAUUGCUGAUUAUGAUACAAAUGAACAGGGUGUAUAUGUUCCAGUAUUGUAACUGCAUCUGUAGUGUCGGAUUAAAAUUCAGUUGUUUACUGAUUUGAAUUCAUGAUAUCUGUAGUGUGUGAUUAAAAUUCGGUUGUUUACUGGUAUAGUUUGAAUUCAUGAUCUGGAGUUCGAGUUUUUAUUUGUUCUUGUUGUGAGUAUACGAAUUCUAUGUAUUUGUUGGUCCUUCAGAUUUUCAGUGUAUAUUCUGUUUUGGUAGGGGUGGUGUGUUUGUGUUGGAAAGUCACUGCGCAUUCGGUUAGCAGAGUCUUUUGGGAUAUGCAUAGCAAUCGCUUUUGUCAUUCGGCAUGGAGUUCUGUUUGGUGCACUUUUUCAAUCAUAAUUAUGUUUCUGAUCAUGGUUGUUAUUGUUAUUGUCAUUAUAACUAUGAUUUUUAGUAAUUUCAUUAUACGGAUUUAGUUGUUGGAACUCUUAUCAACUGAGACCUUUAAACGACUUAGCUUGAGAAAAACAAAAUUGACAGUUUCAUUAGGAAGUUGCUUGCGAUAACUCUACACAUGUAGUUAUUAUUUUCUUUCAUUAUAUUUUGUUAGGAUUAUACUAAUUUGUACCUUUCGUGUUUUCCAGAGAAGAAAUAACUUUAAUCAGGAGAAGCGAAGACUUAGCGGGAGAGCUUUCAGAGCUGAGCGGGAAAGUAGUAUUAGGCGAACAGUAUAUGUUUCUGAUAUUGAUCAGCAAGUAAGUGAAUUAUAAGAUCUUGAUUCCUGGAUUGGGUUUUCUUUGCCUUUCUAGUUUCAAUCAAAUAGCUGUUAUAAAAACUCUCCUUUUCUUAUAUAGGUUACCGAAGAGCGUCUUGCUGCCAUAUUUAGUAGUUGCGGACAAGUAAGUUGCAUUGCUUUCCCAGAUUAUGUUUUCUGAUUUUACAAAUUGUGGUUAUUCAAUGUAAAUUCAGACCUGGGGCAUCCUUUUCUUUUCUUUGCUUUCUCUAGAAUUUUGUGGUUCAACUUAUAGAGCAUGAAUUCUAUAACAAGACUUUUUUUCCUUCGUAAGAUUAGCUAUCAUCCACUUCUUCCUGAAAUGGAAACUCUCAUGUUCUAUGCUGCUUACUACUAUCUUUCCUUUCUAAACAAUGAGGACUGAGAUCAUGUGACAAAGUAUAUUGUAUUAGUGUUUGUGAAUGCCAUUUGAUUAUCCUCUGCCAGUUUACAUUUAGGAUUAUUAUCAUUGAAACUUUUGGCAUAAACAAGUUUAUUUAUGGUACCUUGUAUGCAACACCUGUACAAAAUGACAUAUUGAAUUGAUCCACAUCCACACAUGGGUUCAACAUAGUUUGAGGUUGCUUUGAUAUUCUUUCUGGCUAAGAGAUUUUGGUGUUUCUAUUAUUGGCUCUAUGUUAAGCUAUGUAUCGUGCCUUUGUUUUCUUAUUGAUGUUAAUAUAAAUGAGAUUGUACUAUUUCGGACUAUAGUUCUGCUGGACUUUGGUUGGUAAAUAUCUUUACAUUAAGAGGAAAAGAGCUUUCUUCCGUAUUGUGGCUAUGGAUUAUUGUCAUGAGACUCUUGCUUUCUAGGGUUUAUUCUUGAAUACAGUCUGACUACAAAUGGGUGAUUAAUUUAUAGUUAUAAUAAAUGAAAGGGUAGUCUAAACUUUACUCCCUUCACUUUUUCUUCUGCUUUGUCAAAUGUUCCAUAUUAGUCCCUGUAUUUUUUUCAGACAUUGCCUCUUUGAGUUUUUAAAAUUGUUUCAGUGUGGUCUGUCAAUCCAGAUUUAUACUAACGUGAAUAAAAGUUGCUCACAUGCUUGCCAUGUUAACUCAUAUCCAUGUGGUACUAUUGUCCUGCUCAUUUGACAACGUUAAGGGUAGUGGAAGAAGAUAAAGAGCUUGACUUAGUGAUCCUGUUUCCUUUACAUGAUCUAUGAGGGAGUUGAGGUCACAUAAAGUUUCCAAAUUUUUAAACUAAAUGUUAUGCAGGACAAAGAAACAUAAUAAAAGUUAAUCUUGCUGUCAAUUUCCAGUUCAAUCUCACAUAUCCAGGUGGUACUAUUGCCCUGCUCAUUUGACGACGUUAAGGGUAGUGGAAGAAGAUAAAGAGCUUGACUUAAUGAUCUUAUUUCCUUUACAUGAUCUAUGAGGGAGUUGAGGUCACAUAAAGUUUCCAAAUUUUUAAACUAAAUGUUAUGCAGGGUAAAGAAACAUAAUAAAAGUUAAUCUUGCUGUCAAUUUCCAGUUCAAUCUCAGUUUCUCAGACGGAUAGUUCUAUUAUCUUGGUAACUGAAACAACAAAGGCUUUUUCUUAAUAAAGAUAUUUCCCUAAUUGAUUUUCUUUUACUUGAAUACGAAAUCAUAUCAGUUGUCUUUUACACAUUACAGAAAAGACUCACGAUUUUCUAAUGUAUGCUUUUCCACUUUUCCAAAGCCAAAUAAGCUUGUUUGCAGUUAGUUUUGUUUUUACAGAAAGAGGUGUAGUUUCCCUUGCUGCAUUUGUAAUGCUCUUACAUACCCUCUUACAUACUUUUGUUGCUCAUGUGAUGCAUUUCUAGUCCCUCCCAUCUAACUUUUUGUGAUCCAUUUCUUCAUCACUUUGCCUAAAUCUCUUGGAAUUUGGAAGUCCUUCACCCAACCCUAAUUCUUUUGGCAUUAGGAAUUGUUGUUAAUGCCAUAAGCAUUGUUGUUAAUGUCAAAUAUGUAAGUUAGGUCUUUUGAAAGGAUAAUAGGGUCUAAUAACGUGGUUUCUUUUUCCUCAGUGUUUAUUACCUUAAAUGGAAGACCUAAACUUUUGUUGUAAUAUUUAUAUUUGAAGGUUGUUGACUGCCGGAUUUGUGGUGAUCCGCAUUCAGUACUCCGUUUUGCAUUUGUGGAGUUUGCUGAUGAGCGUAAGAUUUUUAUUUUGGUCUGCAAGCCCUCUAUAACAUUUUAUGAUUGCAUGUAUAGCAUGUUACAUGGUAGUUUUGUCAUACAGAUGGUGCGAGAGCUGCUUUGAGCCUUGGUGGGACAAUGCUUGGGUACUAUCCUGUCAGGGUCUUACCCUCAAAAACUGCCAUCCUUCCUGUGAAUCCUACAUUCCUCCCCAGGGUAUGAACAACUCUUAAAAAUUUUGGCUUUAUUUUCUUAAUGAUGUGUGUAUUAAAGUUUUGAUAAGGUUUCACUAUGAAGAUUUUUGCUUAUAAGAUUUUUUAUGAUUUCAUUUGCAGUCGGAAGAUGAGCGGGAAAUGUGUAGCAGGACUGUGUAUUGUACAAAUAUUGAUAAGAAGGUAUACACUAUUCCUGUUUUACCAGAAUGAAAUUUUUGGUUUCCUCAGUGCAUCCUUGUUCCCCAUGCACACAUAUAUGGCAGUUGAAUAACUGGAAUCUUCGAUAAUUUUCUGUAUGUGCGCAGGUUGCUCAAGCUGAAGUCAAGAAUUUCUUUGAAACAGCUUGUGGUGAGGUAGGAUGAGUUCCAAAGCAUGUUAUUUAUUUAUCAUUUUAUGGUUGAAUGGUGUGUGUUAUUGAAGCUGACUUCAUAUUGAUAUCUUUUUAAAACUUGCAGGUUACUCGUUUGAGGCUUUUGGGGGAUCAUGUGCAUUCAACUCGUAUAGCUUUUGUUGAAUUUGCAAUGGUGAGCUUACAACAUUAAGGUUAAUGAAGAUUAGAGUCAAACAUUUGUUAAGAUAUGCUCAUUAUGUUUGGGUUGAAUCUGCAUACUGCUACACCAUAUUUGAUCUUUUUCCGUUUGCGUUUCUAUUUUGAUUACAAAUCAUGUGGAAAAGUGAUAUCUGGUCCUUACUUCUUAUUAUGGUGCGUAGUAUAUACGUACAGACAUAAGAUAUGCUCAUUAUCUUUUUUGGUCCGAUCUAUUUUUGCGGUUGGCUGAGGAUUUUUUAUGUCACUAUGUUUUCGUAUGCUAAUGUGUAUUAAAAAAAAAUAAAUGAAAUGGCAUAUGUUAAUUGCAUUCCAAAAGUAACUUCAUGAACUGCUUUUGUAUUAGUGCAUUGAGGAGUUUGGGAAGCUCCUAUUGGACUGAAUACCACUUCUUGUUGCUAAGGGUUUUCUUAUUAAUUUUAUACUGCUUUUAACUUCUUUAUUUUUCUAGGCUCUGCUGCAUAUUCUUUGGUAAAUAGCUUUGAAGUCUAGGAUUUAAGUUGUUUCUCUGAGAAAGGUUCCUUUUCCAUUUAUUGAACUUUUUGUUGUUAUGUAAGAGAAGUGGGACGAAGAUUUUGUUGGGAAUAAAUUAGGAUCCAUGCUAUAGAAAUCUGUCAUUUUCUCAAAUGAUGCACGCAGAUUCAUUAUUAUUUUUUUAAAUCCGUGCAUUGUUUCCUCCUCUUCUCCAUCCCAUUCAGCAGGAGGAUAAAAAAAUCUCGUAUGUUUGCAGUGUGAGACAAACUUUUGUAGAAAAAAGAUUUAGAAAUAAGAAAAAAGGCACUUUGCUCUAAUGUUCUAGCAUUUGUUGCUAUAUAGCUCACAUAAUGUAUUAUCGGGAACUUGAACUGUUGUUCCAAGUAAAAUGGAAUUAUCUUUGCCAUGGUGGAAAUGAGCUUGUGCAUUAGAACUUCUGUAUUUUAGGUUAUUUUGGAAUGACUGAGCUCGUGUAUUAUCGUCGCAGUGUGUUUUUAUGUGCUGGACUUAGCACUUCUGUUGUAGUUCUUUUGGGUUUGACACUCGUAUGCCAUCUUCUAUCCUUUUGUCAAUGUGAUAUUCGUUUAACUUCAAAGUAUCAGCAUAUCUGCUUACUAAGGGACAUCCACACAUUAUAUGCUUUGGCAGUAUUUCAUUUAUUAAGACUGGCAUACUUGUGAUAUGACAUAAUGAAGAAAUUUUAAAAAAACCCAAUACGUCAAAUUUUUCUGCUGUGCCUUUUUGAUCUUUCCAUUAGAAAGCUAGUAUUUCCAUCUUUGAUUAUGCUGUGAAUGUGUGGAGGGUAUGUGGUGAUUUGAGGUCCAUUGUUCCAGUGUAAUUCGUUUUAUUAUUACGACUGCAUAUGGAGAUUUAUGUGGCAUUCCAUUGGAUGUUUAGCAAAAUGUUCUACAGGAAUUUAAACUUUUUGGCUGUAAUUCCUCGACACAAAUGAUCUUUCUCUUGAAAAACUCUAUUGCCUUACUCUUUUUCACUGAUAACAGGCGGAAAGUGCUAUACUUGCGCUCAAUUGUAGCGGAAUGGUGUUGGGAGCACAACCCAUCAGGUGUGGUCACUGAUCCAAUGAGGUUUAUCAUAAUUCUUCGAGUGAUUCAACGUUCUAAUAUCUUGCAUAUAUCAUAAUUCUGUAGGGUAAGUCCUUCAAAGACACCUGUGAGACCACGCGUUACUCGUCCAUUGCAUUAACCAAUACCACAAGAAAAGAUCCGUGGAUGGAGCUUGGAGGGCUUUACAAGUCUGAGGAACUUUGUUGUUUUAUCGUCUAUUCCUUUCAGUAUUUCCAUCUUUUCCGUCGCAGUUUACCCUGCUUCAGUUGAAGUUUUAAAAGAUGGUUUGGAUCUUGGCAAUCGUACAUUUAACCUCCUCUUUGUUUUUAAAGUUCUAGUUCUAGUUCUAGUUCUAGUUCAGUUCUGUUAUGACUCUGAGUAUGUCCUUGCUCAUACUGCACGCACUCAAAAGCUUAAAUACCGAUUUGUAUUUACUGAAUAAACGUUGCAAUGCUCCAGUUACCAAUGCUCUAGUUAAAUUCUGAUGUGAUGUAAUUCUAGGAGGGUAAAACACCAGGUGACUAAGAAACCCAGCAACAAACUUCGCACCAAGGAACCAGAAGAUAUUUCCGACUUUCUCAAACCUAGGUUCCCUUCUAUGUUUCGCUAACCUUUUCCUUGUUUGUGAGAUGUUUUGUGCCCUUUAUGCUACAGUUUUGAGCUGUAAAGGAUUUUUCGGCUAUAUCCGACAUCGAAAUCAUCGAUGACGGACUGCGGUAGGAAUUACUCGUAGCUUAUUUUAUGCACAGGUUGUCUAGUGAACAUAGCAGACCAAGAUGAGUCGUGUCUGUCUACCAUCUCCUGUAAGAUUAUUAACUAAGCGGAAAUCAUAUCACAGUAGCAAUUCAACCACUUACAUGAAGAAGCCAUUGAUGCUAGGGUUAUAGUUAUUCUGCUUCUCAACACUCCCGGCCUCCCAGGAUACAACACUCAAUUUAUGGGGCUUGAGGCUUUUUGUAUUGCAUAUCAAAUGUGAGAGCAGGACCCUAAUUUAUGCUGGAAACGAUGGUGUUCAACAAGGACGCUUCCCAUUAUAUAAUCCUUAUCAAACCAAUCCUUGUCACCACAAAACUAUAGCAUCCAUAUCAGCUUGAAACAAACCUAUUCUUAUCUAGCUAUGAAACUUCCAAUACAUUCCUUAAUGGCUUACAAGUAUAGCCAAUCCUAAUCUCUUAUGAUUCCAGACUUUAAGCACGUGAAAAACAAGUGUUGGCUCUAAUAAGACUUGCAUUGUCCGACUAGAGCCAACACUUGUUCAUUCCAACACUUGUUCAUCACAGUACAACAUAAACAUGGAAUCCUACUUGAGUGGCCACGAGAUUAGAAUUAACAAAGUCCAUGAUAACAAGUUUUUGUCAUUAGUACUAUGGUCUAAUGAUAUUCCUCUUUACUUCUAAGUGAGAGGUCAUAGGUUCAAUUCUCGUCAAAGAUGAAUUUGAACUACAUUAUUGCUAGCCCAUUGUGAGGUUUAGCCCACUAUCACACACCACCCCGUUAGCGUAGACAAUAUCGAUUGUUCAAAAAAAAAAAUAAAAAACACAUCCAACACUCGGUCCUCUUUAUAACUGAGAAAACAUUCAUCUUAAUGCUUCAGACUGAAUCUCCUUUGGUUGUUAAUCCUUAUAACAAUUCUACGAACUGUCAUCCAAAAUAUAUUUGACAUAUACUAUCAUAACUAAAAUGCUGUGUUUGAAGGGAAACUUUAAACAACCAACAGCAAUAAACUUUAUAAGUUAGGAAGGCUUUAUCAUCAGUGCUUCAAUGCAUAUUUCAAAACUUAACAACUUGUAUUUGAGAACGUAAUGACUGAAAGAAAUAUUAACACACAGCUCCCACGAAUUUGUUGCAUCAAAAUCAGCUAACUGAAAGAAGCAUUAACACACAGCUCCCAUGGAAGACAUGACACAGAACCGAGCGCAAUGACAUUCUAGGAUUUAUAUAGCUGACCCCAUUUAGUGGGAAAAGGCUUUGUUGUUGUUAAAAUCAGCUAACACUCCCAUCCUUGCAAUGCGUUUCUUGAAGACUACAAUUGGGAAUGGUUUGUUCAAAGGAUCUGCAAUCAUAGAACCUUCACUUAAUUAAUCAAUCUUAACCAAUCCUGCCACCACCUUUCUCAAGCAAUGAGAUACUUGAUACCCAAGUUUCUUGUUGCAGUCCACCUCUUAGGAUAUGAACACCUUAGAAGUGCCCCCACAUUUGUUUUCCAAUAACUCACUAGAUUUGAGGUGCACUUGUUCCUGUAAGACAAUCAAAUCUAGCGAUAUCUAAUUGAAUUCAAUUCUAGAGACCAAACACGAGACAUGGGGCUUGUAGUUCAACUGGUAAGCAUUUAUUCAUACACUCAAUUAGAAUCUCGUGUUUGAUCCCCUCCUCUUUCAGUGUAUACCAAUGAAAAUAACACAACCACUUGAACACUCAUGAAAUUCCACUAGGUGGAUGAAACUGCAGGAAACCCCUUAAUUGGAUUUAUAAUAGAUAUUGAUUACAUUAACUAUGAUAUAUGCAAAUUUUUCUAUAACUAGAUCCACCAGCUGCUUAAUUCAUGUUUCUUUGACACUAUACAAUCAAAACUAGGUGAUUUUCUAGCUACAGAUUUAUGAUUAAAAGAUAAACAUGGGGUUUGUGAGCCAUAAAACUUGGAAUCAUAAAGCUAAUUAAGCUACAACUAUAAGCAAGAUGGAGGGGCUUGUAAGCCAUAAGAGGCUCCUUUUGCAUAAAAGCAGAAGGAACUCAAACGUUCUCUGGGAUUGGAAGGGGACAACUUGAUGAUGUCCAGCACUACGUUCUUGCAUGGCCUGCUUUUGCUGCAUCGGAGACUUACGGCUACUUCCGACGAGGAAGUUCCCCAUAUGUUUUUGUAUGUAACGUCGCUGAUUUGCACGUUCGAAGAAGUCUGCACACAAGAAAGAAGAAACCCCUUGUUCAAUUAAGUUUUUUUUUUGUCGAAUAAUUGCAGUCUAAAUCAUGUGACGAAUAAGAUCUAAAUCAUGAUUUGAACACUGCUAUAGGGUAAUAUUCUUUUAUCAUCAGAUAGACACAGUUUGACGUUAAUUCUUAACUGUUAAUCUAGGUCACACAUUCAAAUUAGAUUCUACUUUCUGCUCAAUAGUCCAGCAACAUAUAAAAGUCAAAUUGUUUUGAGAGAUAUUCUCUUAUAUUGGUACAAAAUAAGAUCCUCUUACAUGUAUUUGAAGUUUUUUCUUCUUCAAGAUUGAGCAUUUUAAAUUCAAGGUUGUUUAGGUAUGUAUUUAUAAAGAUAAUAAAACAAAAGCGGAAAAUGAAGUAGUUAUAAACAUAAACACCGUAUCAACACAAAAAACAUCAAUAGCUAGAGAUUUUUUUAAUGAAGAAAUUAAAUUUAUAGGAAAAUUUUCUCUUGUAAAGAAAGAGAUGUUAUUUUGUUCUAAUAUUGGUAUAGACUACUAAUUGGGUGGAAAUUGUUUAACUGCAUAGCCUAAUUAAAUUGUUAGUCACACAACUAAUAGGUCAAAAACCUAAUUAGAAAAUAUUAUCAUGUAUAUAUAUAUAUAUAUAUGUAUGUAUGUAUUUAUUGUGUAUCUAUUUUCUAUAGGGAAUGCAAGGGACAAAUAUAUAUUAGCUAGGAACUGGGUUCAUGUAAAAUAUAUACCUGUUGAUGGCAAGGAGGGUUGGGGCAAUAUUCUUGAUCGAUUGUAAUGGGAUUCAGAACAUCAUCCAUAAAAAUGUCUUGGAACGUAAAAUUCGAAGCCUUGCUGGUAUAAGGAGAAGCCCAAGUUUUGAUCCUCACACCAUUCUCCGUUCCCAAAAAUGUGCAGUUUUUCACCACCACUCCUACCACAGCGUCUUCUUUGUCAUGCCCUCCUAGACUUCCGAUGCUGAUUCCAUGCCCGGGACCGCACACAACUUUAGAAAUGUGGAUUUUCUUACUUCCGGUCACCACUGCUACGCAGUCAUCGCCCGUUGCGAUUGUGGAACGUGCGAUUCUAAUUCGGUAUGAGCUUCCGAUCUUAAUGCCAUCGGUGUUCGGGCUGUCUGCUGGAGCUGAGACUUUGAUUUUCCUGAAGUCCAUGUUGUGGCAUCCGAAAAUUUUGAAAUGGGCAUUCUUGCUGUCGUAUGAUUUUAUGUAUUCAACUCUUGCGUUUGUGAUGAAGUCAAAACUCAUAGACUGAUAUGAUAAUAUUUCACGAGACAGAACAAGAUGUUAAAUUGUACUAGUGGAAUAAUCAACAACACAAAUACUAUGUAUUUAGAGAGCAUAUUCAAGGGAUAUAGCAAAUUUUUAAGAUAAAUACGUACUUUGAUGGCAUAUGUGAAAAUUUGUCUUCAAUAUUUGCCAACACAAAAAAUUAGUGACUCCAAAAAAUAAAGCAAUUGGUCAAACAAAUUCGUAAAAAAUAUCACUUCUGCAUUGCGCAAACAAUGCCUAAAAAUAUCACUUUUGCAUUGCCCAAACUUUUUCGUAAGGCAAAAUAACCUUAUCAAACUUUCCUAGGGCUUUUUCGCCAAGCCAAUUACCUCAUCCUUGGAGGAAGUUUUUGCUGAUGUGGCGCAGCAAAAGGGAUGUGGAGAUGCUCAUGUGGUUAUAACAUAUAUAUUGGUACAUAUUACGUUCUACACAAUAAUUUUUCAAAAUGGGUACAAACGCAUAUCUUUCAAGUUUUUUAUCAUCUAGAACAAAAAAAAGUAAUGCAUAUCUUUUAAGGUCUCUAUCUAGUUGCCACUUAGUAUUAUGGUCUAGUGGUAGUCCUCCUCUUCACUUGUAAGUGAGAGGUCUUAGGUUCGAUUAUCAUCAAAGGCAAAUUUGAGCCACAUUAUUGCUAACCCAUUAUGAGGCUAAGCACACUCCCCAAAAAAUAUCGUUUGUUUAAAAAAAAAGUCUCUAUCUAGUUUAUCACAUUUUCUGGCCAAAUUAGGCAGUUAAUAAAUAUAUAAAUUAAGAUUUGUCAUAAUAAGUAGUAAAAUAUACCUAUUAAUUGUCACCUAAUAUGGUCAACUACAUUUUUUUAGCACUACUCAUUUAAUUUAGUAGCAAAAUAAUAGGACAUGAAGGAAGAGCCUACAUUAAUACAUUUCCAUUUAAAAAAAAAUGAGAGAGAAGUUCUAUCAAGAACUUACAAUAGGAAGAGCCUGGCAUUGGGGAUUGGUUUUGCAGUUGUUCAGAUGCCAAGCCGAGGCUCCUUGGCCGUCCAAGGUACCGCCUCCGGUCACUACCAACUGAUUGAUGUACCGGAAGUUUAUCCAACUGUCAGUACUAAAUGUUGAUGGAUCAAUUGAAGCCCUCAAAGUCCCCUCAAUCAGAAAGGCGAUCGGACCAUUGCAUGGACCUGAGAAUAUCACUGGAUACAACUUGAAUGUACCUCUGGGAACCACAACCCGUGCCCUUCCGUUCCAUUGACAUGCUUCUUUCCAUGCUUCCAGAAAUGCCUAAAUUCAUGUACUCACAGAAAGUUCUAGUUAGUACUUAUAAACAUAAUUAUGUAACAAAGGAAAAUAGAAGAUUAGGCAACAUUAGCUCCUCCAUCGGGGGAAGAGAUGACCAAAGGCGAAGGGUCCACAUUCUUUGCUGCCCAAGAGUCAUAGAGUAUGAAUAAGAAAUUGCAAGUCAUACAGCACAAAUAACUACCUUGCUGUUAUCAGCUUCUCCACCUUCAACAGCUCCAUAAUUCCUCACAUUGAAAUACUUGGCUUGAUCCAGAGCUUCUGUUACCCAUACCAAUGAGAAAAAUAACAAGAAGGACCUACCUAGAGAAGAUAUGAUCAAACCCAUACCCAUGUCUCUCCUUUUCUUCUUAUAUUUGUGGGUUCUUUAUCUUUAUCUUCCUCCAGUGUUUUGGGCUUCUUGCAAACCUUCUUGUAUAUAUAUAACUUAUACUAUAUGGUUCAUCGUAGGGUUUGCCUAUGAUGAAGCGAUAAAAAGAUUUGUUUCCUCUUAAUAUGAUGAUUUUGGUUCAUGCAUGGUACGGUCCUUACUUUUGGUAUUUAGUUUGAAUGUUUUCCUAUUUAAUCUUAUAUUGGACUAUUUCAUUCUUUUUUUUUUUUUAAUAUCUAAAGAUGGAGGAUGACUAAUUAUGUAAUCGAAUAGAGAUAUGGGUAAUUGUAACAUAUUAAAGAAUAUCAUUUAUAUAUAUAUAUAUAUAUAUAAUAUCAUCUUGUACAAUUAAACAAAAUCUAACAAUAUUUUAAACUAAAUCUACAAUAUUUUAGAGAGAAAAAAUUGUAAUACAUUAUUACCUCGAUAAUUUUUAGUGGUCUCGACUUGAGGAUAACGUACUAAAUAAAUAAUUCACUAACCUUAUAAUAUAAUACAUAAUUUAUUUUUACCCCAUAGACAUAAAUCAAUAUGGUUGAGAAUAAAGACUUUUUAUAGGGGUAAAGAUGUAAGCAUAUCGCAAACCCUUUGACUCAAAAAAAAAUUUGACAUCCAAUUAGAUAUUUAAAAGCUGUAUACGUAUGGUUAAUUACGCCCAUACACAUUAUCUAAGAAAAAAGGAUAUGAAAUGAAAUCUCUCUCAAUUUUUGUUUUUAUUAAAUUUUGGAUUAUAUACUUUUUUGGCUUGAUAAUCUACCUUGCAUUGUGUUGCCAAGAAUGUAUAUAAUCUUAGGUGGUAUAGUGUAUUAAGAUUUGUAUGAACUUUGAUAAAUGCUAAGAAGAUUCUCUCAAAAGUGAGACUUUCCAUGGACUCUCCACCAUCUUAUGUUUUUUGCACAAUGUUUUACAAUGUUGGCACGAGAAUUAACUUUAACUGUGUGGUGGCAGAGAGUUCAUGGAAAGUCAGUCUCCCUAGCAUUUCUCAUGAACUUUUGUUGAGUUUUUAAAGUGAUAGACUUUUGUGGAUUUAGUAAAUUUUUACGACUAUUGUAAACUCCAUAAAAUUCCAUAGACUUUUAAUGAUAUACUUUUGUGGAAAAUAAGGAUUUAAAUGAUAGACUUUUAUAGAAUUCUAGAGAGUUCAAUGCCAUAACUUUACAGAAUUUCGUGGAUUGUCAUGAAUUUUUAAUGACCAAUUUAUUAAUAAGCAUUAUUAUUUUUAAAGUUUUCAUUAUUGAAAUGGUGAUCUUGACCAUGACAAAAUGGUCGUAGAUGGACAUAGUAACAAUUGUAGUGAAAAUGUCACAUGGUGACUAUGGGCAAAAUGGUGGUAGUAAAGUUGGUGCCUUUGGUGAUUAUGGUAGCGGGUGGUGUUGAGGUGGUGGAGUAGGGAUGGAGGCGUAGGUGACAGGGUGGUGAUAAUGGUGGUAGAGGUGUCCGUGGUGGUCAUUAUAGGGGUGACGAUGAUGCUCAUGCUACUGACGGUGGCAGCGGUUAGGGUGGAGGAGGUGGUCAUAGUAAGGUGGUGGUGGCUACAUGAUGGUGGAAAUGGUGUUAGUGAUAGUCAUUGCAUUCAUAUAGGUGGUGGAAUGUAUCAUAAGAGAAUUAAGGAAAAUGAAAGCCAUCAAAAUCUUAGGGGAGAGAGGUUAGAUUGCUAUGACAAAAGACCUACUAUAAAAAAACUACAAGUUCAUGACUUUUUAAAAUAUUUUGAAGUAGAUGAAGUUUUGAAUACAUCUAGACUUUUGUAAACUCACAAAAAGUCAUAAUUGAAUACCACGAGAUUUUCAUAGACAUUUUAGAAGUCAUAAAAAAUCUUUAUUCAAUACAUGAUGACUUUUAUUGACUCCUUAACACUCUAAAUUUUCAUAUUUAAAUCCCCUCUUCCAUCAAAUAAAAAAAAAUUCGUGACCCCAAAUGGUGUAGAAAUACUCUUGCUAGUACACAUGGGCCUACAUAACUGUAAGUUUCUUUAUAUAAUGACAACUUUCGUACCGUUUAACAUAAAAUGUCCAACUUGAAAACUAACAAGUGUUUUAGAUAAUUACAUUAUGGUGUAGAAUAGCUUGCGGGUCAAUUAUUCUUGUGAUAAAGACAUGUUCGAGUUAGAAUGAUCGAAACCGAGAAACAUUCGAAGUUUUAGCUAGGAUAUUAUUGUAAUUUUAAUUUUCUUGUUGAAAUAAGUUUUUAUAUUUUAUAUUUUAAUUUGUACUAACAUCAUCGAUGUUAAAAAACGGUUCAAGUUGUAGAGUGUUCUCGUUAAUAAUUUUAGAAAUUAUAAAAUAUAAGAGAUUAACUUAAACAAGUAACCAUAAGAGAAGAUGUAGUUUCAACACUUUUAGAGGCGAGCAUGGAUAUCAAUUCAUUCUUCUUCGAUCGAUGUGGGCGCGAGGUCCAGUCGUAGACUUCAUGAUGCGGGAGCUUCUUCUUGUUCUCAUCCUAUGUGGGAUUCUUGCGUGGUCGACAUUGUACAAACAACAUCAUACUUUGAUAUCUCAAAUCGUGAAAACUUCAUCCUUACACCGAUGUUAUGUUCAAUUCUCUUCUCAUUCAUCGUCACCUUUAUAAAAAUAAUAUCAUAUGCAGAUAUUGUGGAGCAAAAAAUAAUCUAAAAACUUAUAAAGACGACAUGUGAAUUUUUGGGUUAAAAAUACGAGAUUACCCUCUAGGCACACCGGGAUUCUUACACGCAUGCAACGAACAAUAAUGACUCAAGGAAGAGUCAAAGGUAAUCAAUAGGGAAUUUCUUCAAAUUCCCCUCAUCAAUCCCUUAUUGAUUUUAUUCAAAAGAUAACUCCCAAAAUUUCCUAUUUAAUUUAGGAAUAAUUGACAUCUCAAUUAUUCUCCCAUCACCACCAUAAAUAGCUGGCGACUAUCCUCUCCCUAAGGGUCGGCCACCCUCCUAUAAAUACCCCACUUAUUCACUAAAAUGCUAAGUCAUUUGCUACCCACAAACUCCUAAAUACAUUCUUUUCAUAAUUCUAACUUUGUCAUCAGAGAUUUUGUGGCCAAAACCCCCCAUUCAUUGUGGGCGCAUGAGGCUUUUGACCUUAAUCAAAAUUGUUAUUAUUUUACAGGUGCAUUUUCCUCAAAGAAAAAAAGGGCGAAAAUUUGCAUUCAUAUAUAGAUAUGUUCGUAAAUCUAUUAAUGCGUCCAGUAACCAUAUUAUUAAAUCCAAAUCCAGCUUUUAAUUCCAGUUUUUGAGAAUUUGGAUUAUUGCUUCAUCUUUAUGUUGGUCAAGUGAUAUUACAUGAACGAUGUGGAUUUAUUCCUCGUUACAUGAUAGGGGAAAAUGUAAAAGAUUGACCAUAAUGAUUGAAAUCCAAUAAAUUAACUUUCUUUUUCCUUUCUCUUAAUAUUGCUAAACCAAAUAAUAUUAGCCAACAAGUUAGGUGCAAUUUUGAAAAGAACAAAAAUAUUACGUGCAAUGUUUCUAUCCCACAUACAUGCACAAAGUCAAUAGAAUUUCUUGAUGAGGAUAACCCCAAGCGUUGGCUUUGGAGAUGCUUGAAUUAGUAUUAUUAGCCAAUUUAAUGGGAUUGGUAUGGAUAACUAUAAUUGAUGAAAUAAUUAGCCUCUAAUAUAGUGUAUGUUUGGAAAAGGAUUUGCAAAUCCUCACAAAAAGAUGCAGUCAAGUUAAGAUUCAAUAGGGUUUUAAAAGAUUUUAUAAUUUUAGUGUAAUCUAGAAUUUUAAAAGACUUUAAAAGAGUUCUUAUUUUCAAAUGCAGGAAUAGUGAAUUAAAAUUUUAAAAGACUUUUAAGAGCCCAUAAAAAAGCUAUAAGAAUCUCACCUCCAUCCAAAAUUUUCAUUUUAAGUUGCUUUCUCUCUCCACGCCAACUUUACCCGACCCAUCCCUUCUCAACUCUCUCAUCCCUCUUCUUAUACUAAAAAGAUUUUUCAAUGUGGCCGGAAUAUGGAUGUAUCACAUGUCAUUAUACAAGCAGAGGGGACACUUGAAAAAUAAAACUUUCUUCCACUUAUAUAAUGACAUAUAGUGUACCACCUCGUAUUCUGAGCACACUAAAAAAUUGUUGACUUUUGUACUUAAGGUAGGAUCCCUAAUUGAUAUGUAAUCCCAUGUAAUCAUUUGUAAUUAGUUUUCUUUCCUUUUAUGUUAGAGUUGUACACCUAUAAGUUCCUCUUAUUGAGAAGAAUAUAUUAUUAUUCAAAGCAUUCUCUUUCUUGGCAUCAGAGCCAGGUCGAAAAAAAAGAAAAAAAACCCCAUAGCUACGAUAGCACUGUUGCGGCUCAGCCGUGUGUGGUGCGUCGACCUCGAUCAGCGAGCGACUGGUGUCGUUGCUACCCUCUCUGAAUUCGAAACGAACAGCGAGCGACGCCGUCGUUGCUGAUCUGAAUUCAUUGAAUCGUUUGACUCUCUGUUGUGUGACACGACAGACCAAUUGGCCUAUUUGCUUCUGAUUUGAUCUGAAGCCGUGAAAAAUUGCACAGAUUGCAACCCGAUUGAAUUGUGUUGCUGCGCCGUACCCGACUCGUGGUCCGACGACCCACGAACCUGCUCCUAUCCGACUUGCUGAUCUAUCGAUCCACCACAGCACUGUUGCACCUCUAUCUCGCACCUUGAACUGCAAUAAGUCCUUGCUGCUAUUAUCCUUGUUGGAGCCUUGAACCACCAUACCACCGCUGAUGUUUCAAAGUGAGAAGAAAACAAAACAGAAAAGGUGAAAGGAAAAAGACAAAAGGGGAAUCAAACGGAAGAGAUUUGGUGGUGUUAAAAAAAAAAAUUAUUGGCUAUUUGGUUAAAGUCCACACGGCAAGAAAAAAAAUUGUGUUUUUUUUAUAUAGAUUAUUAUUAUUUUUUGUUGGGCUAUCCUUCUUGUUGGCUCGUGAAAAAUUGAAGCUUCUUGGGCUUGGUUUGCUUGGAAAUUUGGGCUUUAUCAAUCACCCAGUGACGUAUUGAUUGAAGUAGCUUGGGAAUGGCAGUCUGGACUUGUGAUUCUGCUAAUACAGGUAACAAUGGUAAGGCUUUAAGGUUUCUACCUCUGUUACGAAUAAUACAUGGAUAAUUGAUUCUGGUGCUACUGAACAUAUGACUUGUGAUUCUAGACAGGUAGAAACCCUAAAACCAUCCACCAAAACUGUCGUCAGUAUCGCCAAUGGUAAUCCUACCCCUGUUAUCGGGGAAGGAACCAUCUCCCUUUCAGAUAUCUUUAGUCUUGAUACCGUACUUGUUGUGCCUUCUCUUGACUAUAAUUUAUUAUCUGUUGCUCAAAUAACUGUAGUCAUGCAUUGCCUUGUGAUUUUUUGGCCUUCUUUUUGUGUUUUUAAGGACAUUCAGACUCGCAAGACGAUUGGUUAUGGUAUUAGGAAAGGGAAGCUCUACUACUUGGAGCUGACAUCAAACAGUUCUCGAAUGUUGACUCAAGCUCUUGCAGUGGAAGGAAAUCCGGGGGAUAGGAAUAAAGCUUCGGAGGUUUGGUUGUGGCAUCGUCGACUUGGACAUGCUUCUUUCGGCUAUCGACGGAGGUUGUUUCCUAGCCUCUUUGGUAAGCAUGAUGUUUCUAGCUUUAAAUGUGGUGUUUGUGAACUAGCUAAAAGUCAUCGUGCUUCGUUUCCAUCCAUUUUGAAUAAAAGUUCUGUUCCAUUUAUGAUAAUUCAUUCUGAUGUUUGGGGUCCAUCUAAAACUGCUACAUUUGGUGGUGCUCAUUGGUUCGUUACUUUUAUUGAUGACUGCACACGUAUGACUUGGGUUUGUUUGAUGAAAUCCAAAGGUGAAGUUACUUCUUUGUUUCAACAGUUUUACAAAAUGGUACAAGUACAAUAUAAGUCACAAAUACAGGUUCUCAGGAGUGAUAAUGGUGGCGAAUAUGUUAACUUUGAACUUCGUGCCUUUCUUGAUCAUCAUGGGAUUGUUCAUCAAACUACAUGUCCAUAUACUCCACAACAAAAUGGGGUUGCCGAACGCAAGAACCGUCAGCUUCUGGAGGUUGUUCGUGCUUCUUUACUCGAGGCUCGUCUCCCGUUAUCCUAUGGGGAGAAGCUCUCACCUCAGCUGCGUAUCUCAUUAAUCGUGUUCCAUCCCGAUCGGUUGAUUUUCAGACACCCCUUCAGGCACUUUCUUCACAUGUUGAUGCUCUUGCAGUCCCUAAUCUUCCACCUCAUGUGUUUGGUUGUGUGGCCUUCGUUCAUCUUCAGAAACAACAGCGAAGUAAGCUUGAACCUCGAGCCUUACGAUGUGUGUUUGUGGGGUAUGCAUCAAGGCAGAAAGGAUACCGUUGUUAUCACCCACCGACGAAUAAGUGUUUGUCACUAUGGAUGUUGCGUUUCAUGAGAAUAAUAUGUACUUUGCCAAUCCCGAGUCUUCACUUCAGGGGGAGAAUCAGAAAGAAGUUCAAACUCUUGAUUAUACUAUUCCAGAUAUAGAUAGAGUGAAUGAUUUGGAUUUAAGUGGUGAUGUCUUGGAAAUAAGUGGUGAUCAUUCACACGAAAAUAAUGAUGUGAAUGAAUUGGAAUUAAGUGGUAAUGUCUUGGAGACAAAUGGUGAUCAUUCACAUGGAAACAAUGUUGAAAACCUUGAAAGGGACGAGUCGACAUCGCCAGAUAACUCACUGCCUGAUAGCUCACUGCCAGUUUCCUCACCACCGGACAGCCCUGUGUCGCCAGCUACCUCACAGUCGAUCUUGAGUCCCAAUAACCAUAAUCAAUCGUCUUCGAUCCCGGAUGCACCACCACCACGUCGUCUCCCUGAUCGCGUCAACCGAGGUAUUCCUAAACUUACUUAUGAAGCCGACCCUAAAUGCAAAACUAGGUAUCCAAUGAGUAAGCCCAACCCUGAGUCUAAUGUGUUAUACCCGUUAAGUAAUUAUGUGUCUACCAGUCACCUGUCAGAAUCAAAUAAGUCGUUUGUGCAUUAAUUAUCUACUGUAUCUAUUCCUAACAGUGUGCAUGAGGCUUUAAUUGAUCCACGUUGGCAAGUAGCAAUGAAUGAAGAGUUGAAGUCUUUGAAGAAGAAUGCUACUUGGGAAAUCACAGAUUUACCAGCUGGUAAGAAACCUGUGGGAUGCAAAUGGGUCUAUACUGUGAAAUACAAAGCAGAUGGGACGGUGGAUCGUUUCAAGGCAAGACUGGUAGCAAAAGGAUACACUCAAAAAUAUGGAAUCGACUACACAGAUACAUUUGCACCUGUAGCCAAGAUCAACACAGUUCGUGUUUUGUUGUCAUUGGCUGCAAAUCUUAAUUGGCCCUUACAACAGUUCGAUGUGAAGAACGCCUUCUUGCAUGGAGACUUGACAGAAGAGAUUUAUAUGGAUCUUCUACCGGGAUGUAAUGCUCCAGAUAAAUACAAAAGAAAAGUGUGCAGGUUGAAGAAAUCCUUGUAUGGCUUGAAGUAGUCUCCUCGAGCAUGGUUCGGAAGAUUCACAAAAUCUAUGAGAGCAUUUGGUUGCAAACAAAGUAACUCUGAUCAUACUUUGUUCCUGAAAAGACAGAAUGGGAAGCUUACUGCACUUAUUGUGUAUGUAGACGCUAUGGUGGUAACAGGUAAUGAUCCGGAAGAACGUGUGGCCUUGCAAAGAUACCUGUCUACAGAAUUUGAAAUGAAGGACCUUGGAUCCCUGAAAUAUUUUUUAGGGAUUGAGGUGUCGAGAAACAGUUCUGGAAUUUUCUUGUCUCAGAUGAAGUAUAUUAUUGAUUUGUUGCACGAAACUGGCAUGUCAGCUUGUCAGCCAGUAGCUACACCAUUAGAAGAAGGAUUGAAGCUUAGUGUUGAUCCUAAUCAAGUACCAGUUGACAAAGGAAGAUACCAAAUGUUAGUAGGCCGUUUGAUGUAUUUGGCACACACAAGACCGGACCUUGCUUAUGCCUUGAGUGUAGUGAGUCAAUACAUGCAUGAUCCUGGAGAACAACAUUUGAAUGCCGUGAUGAGAAUAUUGCGAUAUUUGAAGGGAAGUCCGGGCAAAGGAAUUUUGUUUAAGAGGAAUAAUCACUUUAGUGUUGAAGGUUAUACUGAUGCAGACUGGGCAGGUUCCAUUGAUGAUAGACGUUCAACAUCAGGUUACUUUACGUUUGUUGGGGGUAACUUGGUUACAUGGAGAAGUAAGAAACAAAAUGUGGUUGCCCGUUCCAGUGCAGAAGCAGAAUACAGAGGUAUGGCUUUGGGGGAUUUGUGAAAUUUUGUGGCUUAAGCUUCUGUUAAGCGAUUUGGGUAUACAACAUGAUCAGCCCAUAAAAUUAUUUUGUGAUAAUAAAGCUGCUCGUGACAUUGCACAUAAUCCGGUACAACAUGAUAGAACAAAGCAUGUUGAAGUUGAUCGGUUCUUCAUCAAAGAAAAAUUGGAAGGGAAAAUAAUUGAAGUACCGGCGAUAAGAACAGAAGAUCAAUUGGCAGAUAUCCUCACAAAAGCUGUUUCGAGUCACAAGUUUUCAAGUUUCUUACACAAGUUGGGCAUGAGCGACAUAUAUGCACCAACUUGAGGGGGAGUGUUGACUUUUGUAUUUUAGGUAGGAUCCCUAAUUGAUAUGUAAUCCCAUGUAAUCAUUUGUAAUUAGUUUUCUUUCCUUUUAUGUUAGGGUUGUACACCUAUAAGUUCCUCUUAUUGAGAAAAAUAUAUUAUUAUUCAAAGCAUUCUCUUCUAAAAUUUCUCCUUCUGUUUUUUUUUUCUUGAACAAACGAUAUUAUAUAAACUAAGAGGAGGGGGUGAGCUUAGCUUCACAAUGGGCUAGUAAUAAUGUGGUUCAAAUUUGCCUUUGGGGAGAAUUGAACCUACGACCUCUCUCUUAUAAGUGAAGAAAAAUAUUACUAGACCGUAGUACUAAGUGGCAUAUCGUAGUGCUAAAUGGUGAAAAUUUACUCCUUCUAUUGCAUCUUCAACCUUCACCAACCACGCCUUUCGAAACCUAGACCUGGGCUUUUAUUGUAAUCACUGAACCACAAUAGCCUAUGAAAAGGUGAUUAUUUUUUCUUUUUUGUUUUCUUUUUUGGUUAAAUGAAGAUUUUUAUUUCAAUAUUUAUGAAGUAUAAAAAAUGAAACCAAAUUGCUCAUUGCCUGUAUAUUAUUUUAGACCAAACCGCAAUAGCCUGGGAAAGGCGAUUAUUUUUUCUUAGCAUGCAUGGGAAAUGGAGUUGCUGAUUUUAUUCUUAUUGGGUGUCUUAUGGUAUCUUUGGUUUUAUGAGGCAAUCGGGCUUAUUAUCCCUUUAGGACAUGUAAGAAAGGAAGACAAUUGAUGAGUAUUUUAAAUUUUCAUCAAUUAUUUAACCAUAGAAGAGGAGAGAAUCAGGGCCGUGAGUGAUGAUGGGGAAGGGAGGAGGGCACAGUGUUGGUUGAUGCAGCCAUGGCAGAGAUAAUAAGAAGAAAAUUCAAGAAAGUCUGUGAUAUGAGUUUCUAAAAUCCUUUCAAAUUAAUCCAUGAAAACCUGUAGUGUGAAUCCUCUUGAAUUUUUGAAAAUCCAUAGUCUUUGUAAAAGUGUACAUUUUUUAUCAACUUUGUAAAAGUCUACAUAAUCUAUAAUCAUUCACUUCAAAAAGUCUUUAAAAAUAUUUUCAAAUCCCAAUUUGACUACAAGCUUCUAUUUGUCUUCCCAAAAAAAUUGUUGAAUUUUGUGGUUAGAGGGUUAAGGAUUGCAGUUGUACACGUUUAAAUUAAGGCAUUGCCAAAUGCCAAAUGAACGAGUCAGUUGACAAUCCCCUACCCAAGCUAUAGAUUUUCACGGAACUCUUCCAAGUAAUCUAGGUCCCAACCCACUCUCUCUCCACUCCAUCUCGAUAGACAAGUGACAAAGUCCUGGCACUUUUUUGAAGGGAAACCUUCUCCUAGAAUAUUGGCUAUGUCAAUGUGCGCGUGGCCUUGAAUCUAAAGGUUACUAGGCCGAAUUUGCCACAUACAAUACUUUGUCAAUGGAAAAAAGUAAUAUUUCCUAGGUAACGUUAUACAACAUUUAGCUAUAUUUAAAGGUUUGAGAGUGUUAAAUCUAUAAUAAGAAUAAAAGAUUUUGUAAGAGCUUGAAAGAAAUCAAGUCACUUCUUCCACUGUCAAAUAUCUUUAAGGUCUACUUUUAACUUCUUUCAUAGUAUCAGAAUAAAGUUAAUUCACAUGUUGAGUAUAAUAAGUCACGUGCUCCCACAUCAUCUGCUAUUAACUACAUUGGAGAAGUAGCAGAGAUGAACAAUUAUAAAACCAAGAAGUUAAGUUUUACAGAGAGAAGAGAAAUGUGAGAAAGAAUGAAUGAAGGUUUUGUAUUGAACUUCAAUGAACUCAUCUUACUAUCUGUUUACAAUAGCUAUAUAUAGCUGACUAGAGGACUAGCUAAUAACCUUUGAGUAACAAACUCUAACUAACUCUUUCAACUAACUAUUACAUCAUCCAAUCCUUUUACAACUGUUUUGAUGAGCUGGCAGUGAUAUAUUCAACAUCCCCCAUCAAUCUCAACUGGGUUUCCUAGUUUGAGAUUGAAUGAAUGCUUUGAGAAAUGCAUAAUUAUGAAGUCCUUCUUGUCCAUAUACUCCUAGCCCUGCUGCCCCUCACCAAUUAUCCUCCAUGGCUGCAAGUAUUGAAAAUUACUCAAGAACGGUGCAAUUUCAUACUCAUCAAUCAACUUCCCAAAGAAUUCAGCCCCUCAAACUAAUUUUUACACCUCUGUAGCUACUGUUUUCUUUGCGAUAAGGUACAACCACAUAUAGUUAUCAUCCUUUCAAACUUGCCAAAACCAAAAAACAUGUUGCUCAUCUCAUUAUCAUCACACAUCACCUUUGCAAAUACAAUCUUUCCAUCCUAAAAUUCAAUAUUCAUUUGCCUCUCGCACAGAAUUUGCACACUUCAAGCAAGUAUUAACCUUUGGUUUGUUGUAAUCAAUACACUUCUUGGCAAUUGGUCUUUCAAGUGCAAAACUCUCACACAAUCAAGAACAAACUAUUCAACAUAAAGGAAUGGCUAUCGGCCUUUGUUUUCCUUCAACAAUCUCACAUAAAACAAAUUGCAUUCAACACACUCUUGGCAAUCAGCUUUUUUUGAGUGCACAAAUCUCAAACACCCAAGAACUAAUCAAGCAACGAAAGGAAUGGCUAUCGGCCUUUGUAUUCCUUCAACAAUCUCGUAGAAAAUGGCUAUCAACCUUAACAGAGAACAAAUUGCAUUCAAUACGCUUUUGGCAAUCGGCCUUUUUCGAGUGCACAAAUCUCAAACACCCAAGAGCUAAUCAAGCAACAAAAAGGAAUGGCUAUUGGCCUUUGUAUUCCUUCAACAAUCUCGCAGAAAAUGGCUAUUGGCCUUAACAGAGAACAAAUUGCAUACAAGAAACCCCAUCAAAGAAACAAAUUGUCACUGCAGCAUCUAAGCAAACAGAUGGAAUGCAGAAUUUAGUAACAAAACCUGAGACUUGAGCUCAUGAUCGGAAAACCCCAUUGGAGAACCUCCAGCAAACCACCAGCUACCAGAAAACCCCGGCGAACAGAAAGAAACCCUCAACAAUCACAGAGGAAGAACAGCCCCGCAUAUCGAAAAUCGGGUCGCCACUGAUGAUGAAUCUCUAUCCUCACUAUGUGUUUAUGCAGAACAAAGGUGUGGUGCCUCUUGACAAUGCCCUUUUCAAGCAGUAUGCUAAUGGAAAAGAAAAACAGCGUCCAACUCGAUCGCCAAGCGAUUCUACUUCCCGAGAGUAUGGACCCCUUCAAGAAACAAAGCCGCCUAGAACAUGUUAGUGGCACUAAGAAUCUCCAUAAGAAUAAUGCUCCUUCUCAACCGAUUCUCAUCCACAAAAACUGAGUAAGAAAUUGAUUAUGCUUCCUUCUCCGAUUCGGGGAUCUGAGAGAAGAAGGAAACACUGAAGAACUUGACGAAAAAUUCAAGAAAAUCUGAAGAGAAAAUAAAACUGGAAAUGAAAUCUAAAAAAAACAAAAAACAAAAUACGGAACCACUUGAAUCAAUGGCGUGAACCUGGUGGCUCUGAUACCAUGUUAACUAUACUGGAGAAGUAGCAGAGAUGAACAAUUAUAAAACCAAGAAGUCAAGUUUUACAGAGAGAAGAGAAAUGUGAGAAAGAAUGAAUGAAGGUUUUGUAUUGAACUUCAAUGAACUCAUCUUACUAUAUGUUUACAAUAGUUAUAUAUAGCUGACUAGAUGACUAGUUAAUAAGCUUUGAGUAACAAACUCUAACUAACUCUUUCAACCAACUAUUACAUCAUCUAAUCCUUUUACAACUAUUUUGAUGAGCUGACAAUGAUAUAUUCAACAUCUACUACGUGUUGUUUACAUGUUAUACUUAAAUGAUGUUAUAUGAAGAAAUGUUGAGAGUGCAAACUGCAUGUCAAGAAAUUGAAAACCUUACUAAAAUUUAUUAAGAAACUAGGUUUUUACUCUCCCCUAUUGUCAACUAUUUUUUAGAAUAAAAUGUGAAAUUUUUUAUCACAAAAAUAGCACUUUAUUUCACCUAGUGGGACAAACUUAGACUUUCAUGACGGUUGGACAAUGAAAAAAGAAGUUAAAAUCCGUUACGCUUUUUGUCAUAUUUCAAUCCAUAAGAUAGCCAAUUUGACAUGCAUGUAGUUGUGGAAAAACAAUGAACCCUCUCCACCACGUAAUUUAAAUUAACAUGUGUUUUGACGCAUCCAUGCACGCAUCUUCCUAAAAAUUGACCCUUUAACCACAUAUUGCAUGUUUUUUUUUUAUUGUCAAACAUAUUGCAUGUACUUAAUAAUAUCCUAUAUCAUUAUCCUGUAUCAAUGAAUAGUACUUAGCUCUUUAUAUGUAAAUUUUUUGGAUAAACAAGUCAAAUUGGACACGUUGUAAUUUAUUAUUCUGUAAUUUUAACAAUUAGUUACAAAAAUGUAGUGUAAGUUACAGAUAAGGUACACAAACCAAAACUUUGACACAUGAUAACGUUUGAUUUGUGAUUUGAACUAGUGAUUUAGAUGCAGUUAUAUUGUUGGCUUUAGGUAAUUAAGGUAAAAGUGAAAUGCAACCAGAGUGUUCCACGUGCAUGGCCCAACCAAUGGAUAGCAUUUAGUUCUCACCUUCGUGUCACAUGCAUGGACUGAUAAGGACAUGCAAAACUUAAUUUCUGAAUUCUCAAUUGCGUGCUUUGACCCAAUCUGGUCUUUCUAGACUGCUUCUCAACAUACACACACAAAUAUACAACGGUCAACUUUAACUGUCAACUUCUCCUCCACCUUGCCGUACAAGUCUUCCAUGCAGCACCAUGUCUUUCCGCAUCCACCUUCCACUAUAAAACCCCAAACCUAAUAACUCAAACUGCAAAACAAAAAACCCAGUUUACAAAACCCAUUUACCAUAUUAAUUAUCCCUUCUCAAAACCAGCCUACGGAGAAAUUUUCGAUGUCGAGUGUUGGUAGGAAUCAGUGUGUGAAGGUUGUGAUCAUCAACACCAAGUACGUGGAGACGGAUGCCAUGAGCUUCAAAGAUGUCGUACAAAGGCUAACUGGGAAGGAUUCAAGGGUGGCAUACGAAGUGCAGGAGCCGAUUACAAAGAGCCCGCAGUACUCUUUGAAAGAGGGAGCCAAUAUUGGGAGGACGGGUAACAAUGUUCUGGAAUCAUCAAAUACUUCUAUUGCUAGUACUAUGUCUCGGAGUAAUUCUUCAGUUUUGAUGAGAAAUAUCUCGUUCAAAGAGUUCGAAAGAUUGUUCAGAGAGAUGCCUCCAAUGGAGGAGUUUUUGGCUGAGCAAGAUAUUCUUUAGAAAAUUCCUGUAUAUGUAUAUAUGGUUAUAUCUGCUAUCGCUUAUUGUUGCAUUAUGUUAAUUUGACUACCCAGUUAUUCAAUAUAUAGAUAUAUAUAUAUCAUUUUUUCAUUCUAACAUUUGAUUACUUCACCGAUAAAUUUCACAUACAAUUCUGUUACUAACAUUAUUUACUAACGGAAUUACAAGCCACAUUUCCAAACAAAGAAGAUAAAAUCCUACUUAUACAAGUGUAUAUAUAUAAAGUGGAUCUAACCUAUACAUUCCGAUCAGAAAACAUGCGUGGCCAAAAUUUUUUAUUUUAUUUUCUCUAUAUUUAACUGGAAAUUAAACUUGCCUUACCAUGAUUUUAAGAUUAAUUCCUAGUGCUAGAGCUUGAACCACUUCAAAAUCAGUUGCAUAUAUCACAUAAAUAAUUCGGUAUAUGCCUGCAAUGUGGGGCUGCAUGCAGCAAUUACAUGGAUAUAUUCUUAAUUAAUUCUCACCUGCGUGGCUCUAUAUUUGUCGCGGAAAUUCUGUGGCUGAUCCGUUGGCCAUCAUUUCAUUUGCGCCCUCUUGUGCUAGAGAAGAUCUGGUGGCCAAGCCAGCUGGGGAUGACCUACUUCUUCUCAGCUUGUUUUUCUUUUGUCGCGCGUGCAAAUGGUAAUUAGUUAUCAGAAAUGAAAGAAAGAUUUAUGAUUAAGACAGGAUUGGACCCAGCAGAUCACCCAAAUUGUGAGGAUUAACUAAUCACGCAACACUAUAAUUAAUAUUGUUGUUGUUUUUUGGUCGAAACAUCGUUGUUGUUAAUCGUCAUUAAUUAGAAUUCAAUGUCCCCUUCAGUAGCUAACUAGAUAGAUUGGACAUGAUUUUCGACAUGGAAUAGUAACUGACUGUAUUCUAUAUAAUUAGCAUCGCUAGCAGCUAGGUUGGACGGUUGAUCACACAACUGGAUAUAAUCUUUGGUAAAAUGUUUCCUUCAGUAGGGAGCUAGGGUUGGAGAUGAUUUACUUUUUCUGUAUGGGAUUAACCAUAUAUAGAUCGUCAUCUUAGGUUUGGUGAUUUAGUACACGAGAAUUUUUAUUUUUAUUUUUUUCAAAAAAGCAGACCAGCGGGUGGCCGUCUUUAAGAUUUUGGGGCUCUGUGCAAAAUUUAAAAAAAUGCCCCUUCUUAUGAUAGUUUCCGAAAAAAAAAAGAUAGGACAAUGAUUGGUGCUAGAAAGUAAUCACUUAAAUCAAAACAAACUUUAAAACUCACUCAUCAUUGUAAGUUUGCAAAUGUAAUUAAAUAAUAAAUAAAAAGAGUUACAAACAUAACUUUCACUAAAUAAUUAAAAGCAGUUCAAUUUUAAACAACCAAACAAGAAAAAAAGUUUCAAAAACUUUUAACUUUAAAGUUUCACUUGAAUAUAUAGCAUUAUUGACACUUCAAACAUAUUAUUUUGUACUCCAAAAUUUUUAUAUUUAGAAAGGAAAUAAAUUACACCUAUAAGGAAUGCACACUGAGAUUUUAAAGUGAUAAUAAAAGCAAAAUUUUAAUAUGUUUGUACCAUACUUGACCAAUCCCGAAACUACCGAGCACCAGUCAACGUUAUACCGUCAAAGACCCAGAAGAGUUUCCCUCCAACCAGGUGGCCAAUCACAACGCGACACGUGUCGACAUCAGAAGCCAAUCAUAGCGUGACAUCGAAAGCCAAUCAUAACACGGCACGUGUCACAAUCAGAACAAAGCUAGAAACUCUCUUCUAUAAAAGGAGAUCAUUCUCCCACAAUAUUUCCUAAUGUUAUUUGUACUAAAUCAUUCACUAGUACUCACAAAAAGAAAGCUUGAACCUAUGUACUUGUGUAAACCCUUCACAAUUAAUAAGAACUCCUCUACUCCGUGGACGUAGCCAAUCUGGGUGAACCACGUACAUCUUGUGUUUGUUUCCCUGUCUCUAUCCAUUUACAUACUUAUCCACAUUAGUGACCGGAGCAAUCUAGCGAAGGUCACAAACUUAAAACUUUCUGUUGUACCAAAGUCCUCAUUGAUUUUGUGCAUCAACAUUUGGCGCUGUCUAUGGGAACGACACUUAUUCCCACUCUCUUCAGCUUUGUUAAGCUGGUUUCCACCAUUCGUACACUCUCUUUUGACCAGGCAUCCUUUUCCAACAUGAGGAGCGCAGGAAGCCACAACACACAAAAUAACACCCCUCUUGCACCUGGUGCGAAACAACGAAGGAAGGAACAAAAGAAGUUUGCUCUUUAGGCUAAAGUCGAUGAGCUAGAAGCUCCGAACAACAAGAUAACGAUGAAGAAUGAGAUCAUCCAAGAGCAGUAUGAGAAGGUAUUCGAGAUGCUCCACGAGGCUAGAUAUACUAAAACACACGAGCUCAUCACCCUUGUGGAAGUCAACCAUCAACUGGGUGCCCCCAACACGGAGGGUCAUUUGCCCUUGACAUGGGUAUUCCUGUUGAGGAACAAGCUACUCAUUGAAAUGGCGACCAACAUGAGACUUCUCUCAACCUAGCUACUUCGACCCGAAACAUGAGGAGUGGAAGAAGGCACCUCCUUACAGAAGGAGUGGAAGGAUCGAAAGCCGUCUUUCACGACUGUCGAGACUUUUUAGAGCAACGUCGAGACAAUCCAAUCCAUGUAAGCUCGAAGAUCAAUGACCCAAGGGUCUCUGAAAGACUCGGUCCCCUCCCAUGUCCCAGGUUAGCUACCAAUUUGGGGAAAGGGAAACAAGUCAUUGAGGAACACGAAGGUAUAGGGGACUCAGAGAUGUUUUGACAGACAUACCUUGGAAAUCAGUACGGCGAAUCCAGGGAAAAAUCACAUGCUCUUGAUCAAACCUUCCUACUUCCAAGAUGAGAUGGAGAUUUACGAAAGAAAACUCCAGUGGUACGUGACUCCACUCAGGGACCCUCUUGUCUUACAACUCCUUAAGGAAGUAAACAAGUUGAAGGUCGAACAACAAGCUGAGAUACCUGAUUGGAACCAACCUAGGCCUGGCCCUCUUACAAGGAGGAUCUUUGACACCCCCCUCUAAGCAAAGACAAAGCAGAAGCUUGGCUUGCAACUCUAUACUGGAAAAGAGGACCCGAUUGAACACCUUAACCUCUUUGAGUCCACCAUGACAUACCGGAUGCAUACCGACGAAGAGCGAUGUCUUCUCUUCCCCUCCACCCUCUCUGGCGGAACUCUAAACUGGUAUUGCCGUCUUCCACCUGAGACGAUAGACUCAUUUGAGAAAUUGAGGAAACUGUUUGUUUCUCAACAUAUUUUCCAUAUCGAUCACUUGCACUCUGCGGAUGACUUGUACACUAUUCACCAAAAGCCAGAUGAGUCAUUACGUAUGUAUGAUGGCCGCUUCAGCCAUGAGUAUUCCUGUUAUGCCGAGGCAGACGACAAGACUGCCAUCAAAGCCUUCACGGCAGGCCUACGUGAUUGUUUAUUCAAGUACAUGAACAAUGCCAACACUUGGAAGACUUACUCUGAAGUGAUGGCAUAGGCUUACAACCAUGCCUCUGCCGAGGCAAGGACAUAUCAAGGGAAACCCCCCACAGCCACCCCUUAUCAGCAAGUAGGGGGUGGAAGCCAGAUCCAACCAAAUGAGAAGACCUCGACUUUCCAAACAGCAGCAGUGCCUCCUUCUGCCUUACUUAAUACUUCGCCAAGUCAACAGACAUAUCAACCUCAGGGCAAAAGGAAAAAUUUCCAUCCUCACCAGUCUUAUUUUAGAAAAAAAAAGUAAGGGACACUAUCGCGAUAACCAAGGGUAUCGCCAUGAUAAUGCCCAUCUCCAGGCAGUCAACACAGUAGGCCAAACACGUGUCAGGACAGGCCCUGCCCCGAGGUAUGAGACAUACACACCUUUGAAUGUCACAUGCGUGGCCAUUUACCCUAGCAUACCACACCUAAUACCGAAGCCAAUGCCGAGGUAGUCGGGUUACAAGCCCACGAAGAACACGGGCAUGUUUUGCUACUACCACGAGCAUAACAACCAUGACGGCAAGAAGUGUAGCACCCUUCAUGAUCAUAUUAAAGUUUUGGCGUGUGAAGGAAAAAUUGAUCAAUUCCUUCUUCACUCUUCAAGGGAUAACCGUAACCAACGCCAAGUGAAAGUGAUAUAUUCCAUAAACGGCGGCACACCUAUAUCUGAAUCUUCCAAUAGGGCCAUGAAGAACAGCGAACGAGCUUUAAGGCCUGGCCACCAAGUGUUUCACGUGGAAGACAUCAGGGGAGACAAGUAUCAAAAGUCUAACUGGGAUCCAAUAUGUUUCUACCCUAAGGAAGAAAGAGGUAUCAUCUACCCUCACAACGACCCACUGAUCGUGAAGGCUCACAUAACCAACUUUGAAGUACGACAAAUACUGGUAGACACGGGGGCUUCGGUCAAUAUCAUGUUUGUUGAAGCUUUCAGGGCACUUAAUAUAGCUGAACACUUGCUCGAUCGCUCGAUUUCUCCUCUAAUAAGCUUCUCCGGUGAUAUCGUGCAACCUAUAAAGAGCAUACACUUACCUUUCACCAUUGGUACAGGCCCUUACACAGCUACCAUUACCACUAACUUCCUGGUAGUUGAUUGCUCAACGGCAUACAAUGUCAUCUUUAGACGCACAAGCAUCAAUGAUCUUAAAGCCAUGGUAUCCACACAUAUGUUGUUGAUGACAUUUCCAACCCCCUAUGGCAAUGGUUACAUAAGAGGAGAUCAACUUAGUGCACGGUCUUGUUACAAUAUUUCGGUCAAGCAACAACACCUGCAUGUGCCCAAGGAAACCUUUUCUAUACAUGACCAAGUCAUAAAGACCAGCCCGGAUGAAGCCAACUUGGAUCUUCACGGUGGCAACAGUCAACCCAACGAUCCUCGAGAUGACUCUUUCACCCAGCAAGCACAACCCGCUGAAGAGCUAGAGAAGGUUUCUAUAUCGCAUGGUGAAGAUUGGCACCACCUUGUCACCACCUAUUCAGUUGGCAUUGAUCUCUUUUUUGCAAGAAAACACUAAGGUAUUCCCCUAGUCAUACGAGGACAUGCCAGACAUCUCUCUCGAUAUCAUAUGUCAUCGCUUGAGUAUUGACCCAAGACCAAGCCGGUGAGACAGAAGCGAAGAUCUUAUGACGCUGAAUGAUACGAAGCAAUGAAGGCAGAAGUUGAAAAACUCAAAGGCAUAAGCUUCGUCCGCAAAGUCAAUUACCCAACAUGGGUAGCAAAUGUGGUCCUUAUUAAGAAAAAUCUGACCAAAGAAAGUCUUCUGUUCCAAAAGGUCUUGUGGAGAAUGUGUGUCGACUACACCGACCUAAACAAAUGAUGCCCGAAGGAUAACUUUCCUCUUCCUCUCAUUGAUAAACUUAUAGACUCUAUGGCAGGGUGUGAACUCCUGAGCUUCAUGGAUGCUUACUCAGGAUAUAACCAAAUCCUCAUGAACCCUCCGGACCAAAAACACACAACUUUCACUACUGACAGGGGACUAUAUUGCUAUAAAGUCAUGCCUUUCCUCCUAAACAAUGCAGGAGCGACUUAUCAGAGACUAGUCAAUUUAAUGUUCGCCGAACAGAUUGGGAAGAGCAUGGAAGUUUACGUUGAUGAUAUGCUAGUCAAAAGCAAACAUACUGACCAACACAUCGCUAACCUAUGUGAAACUUUCACCAUUUUGAAGAGGUAUCGAAUGAGGUUGAACCCUAACAAAUGUGCCUUCGGCAUGGGCUCUGGCAAAUUCUUAGGCUUCAUGAUAAGCCAACGAGGCAUUGAGGCUAAUCCCGAGAAGAUCAAAACAAUCCUCGACAUGAAGGAAUCGAUAACUUCAAAAAACAUCCAGAGCCUUACUGGGAAGGUGGCAGCCUUAACUAGGUUCAUCUCUAAGGCCACAAACAGAUGUGCUCAUUUCUUCAAAGCACUUAUGGGAAGUAAGAAGUACAUUACAUGGACUGAUGAAUGUGCCGAGGUAUUCAAGAACCUCAAAGACUACAUGAGUAAAGCCCCUCUGCUCUCCAAACCUAAGGUUGGUGACACUCUCAUUAUCUAUCUGUCGGUAUCGGCUUCAACAGUAAGUUCCGUUCUCAUUCGAAAUAAUGGUAAUGUCGAAUGGUCUGUCUACUACGCUAGCAAGGCCUUACAAGAUGCAGAGACAUGAUACUCUAACAUUGAGAAAUUGGCUCUAGCAUUGGUCAUGUCUGCUCGAAAACUUCGCCCUUACUUCCAAGAACACUCCAUCAUCGUGCUUACCAAUCAUCAUUUUCGACAGAUACUUCAAAAUCCUGACACUUCGGGGCAAAUGAUAAAAUGGGUGAUAGCAUUGGGUGAGUUUGACAUCUCAUACCAACCAAAGCCAGCUGAGAAGGGCCAAACAGCGGCAGACUUUAUCGUCAAUUUCACAUAUCCUGUUGACAUUGUUUCUACGCCUAAAGAAGUGGUUUCAUUACCCUCGGAAGCUCAAAAAAUAGAACCAACAGCCCCAGCAUAGAGUCUAUAUGUUGAUGGCUUGUCCAACCAACAGGGUUGUGGAGCAGGACUAGUCCUUACGCCCCUGACAAAGUGGCGAUGAAGUAUGUUAUUCGUUUCAAAUUCAAGGCGUCGAACAAUUAGGCCGAAUAUAAAGCCCUUUUAGCAGGCUUACGUUUGGCCAAACACCUUUGGGUUAAACGAAUUGAUAUCUUUAGUGACUCCUAAUUGGUGGUUAACCAGGUCACCAACAACUUUGACGCUAAAGAUAGCUCCAUGGCAGCAUAUCUGGCACAAACACAAUUGUUGCUCAAGCACUUCCAUUACCAGAUCACCCAAAUUCCUCGAGCAGUAAACAGUGAUGCAUAUGCUUUGGCUCACCUCGCCUCAACGGUGGAAGACAAGAUUGGGAGAAAAAUUCAGGUCGAAUUGUUGGCAGCACCAAGCACCAUGGUUGCGGAAGUGUGCAACUUACAACAGGGGGAUAGUUGGAUUACCCCAAUUUAUAGAUUCCUUGCUCAUGGCACCCUUCCAAAUAACAAAGUCCAAGCUAAGCAUAUUCGAUACAAGGCUACCCGUUACUUAAUCAUUAAUGACCAACUCUACAAGCUGGGUUUUAACCUACCAUACCUAAGAUGCCUUAUGCCCGCAGAGGCGGAAAUUGUCCUUAGGGAAAUACAUGAAGGAGUCUGCGGAGAUCAUGCUGGAUCUUGAUCCCUAGUACACAAGGCUUUUCGCCAAGGAUAUUAUUAGCCAACACUCCACCAAGAUGCCAUCAGAUAUCUCGCUCAUGUGAUAAGUGUUAACAUUACGCAACUAUUCCUCACUCCCUUCCCGAGUUGCUCACUCCUAUGAUUAGCCCUUGGUUUUUUGCCCAAUGGGGACUUGAUUUGAUUUGCCCAAUGCCUGCAGGGAAGGGUAAGGUUCGCUAUGCAAUCGUUGCAGUUGACUACUUCACAAAGUGGGCUGAAGUAGAACCUUUGGCAACCAUUACUGAGGUAAAAAUAAAAGACUUCGUAUGGAAGAACAUCAUUUAUUAGAUUCGGUAUUCCUAAUGCGAUAGUCACUGACAACGGGCGACAGUUCGACAACAAUAAGUUCAGGAUGUUUUGCUCUAAGUUCAACAUCAACUUAUGUUUUACCUCCCCAGCCAUCAACAAAAUAAUCAAGCGAACUUUGAAAACCAGCUUUGACAAGGCUAAAGGUUGUUGGCCAGAAUUUGUACCCCAAGUUCUUUGGUCAUACCGCACUUCGUAUCGAAUAUCAACAGGAGAAACCCCAUUCUCACUUGCCUUUAGUACAAAGGCAGUUGUCCCAGUUGAGCUUGAGCAAGCAACGUUCCGAGUCCAAAACUACGUGCAAAGCGAAAAUGACAAACAACUUACCCUCAACUUAGAUCUAGUCGAGGAACACAGAAACCAGGCUCACUUGAGGAAUGUCGCCUACAAGCAGCGCAUCUCUAACUACUAUGACUCAAGGGUCAAACCUCGUUCUUUCAAAGUGGGGGACUGGGUAUUGAAGAAAAGAUUACUCUGCGACAGAGUCCCUAAUGAAGGAACACUUAGUCCAAAUUGGGAUGGACCGUUUGAAGUUGUUGGCAUCAGUCGCCUUGGCUCCUACAAACUUAGAAGCUCCGAUGGCAAGACCCUUGGCCAUCCAUGGAACGUUGAUCAUUCGAAAUACUAUUACAAGUAAACUCACAUUGUAUAAUGUGCCUCGACACCUUGCCCUUAUUCUCACCAACCAGGUGAUGAAAUGUGAAGAAGUAACUCAUCUUCAUGCCACCAACCAGGUGAUCAAAUGUACAACCCGUACUCUAAUAUCAUUUGGCAACUUGCCACUCAUGCCACCAACCAAGUGAAGAAGGAACUCAUCUUCAUGCCACCAACCAGGUGAUGAAAUAUACAACUCGUACUCUCCUUCAUGCCACCAACUAGGUGAUGAAAUGUACAACCCGUACUCUAAUAUCAUUUGGCAACUUGCCAUUCAUGCCACCAAGCAGGUGAAAAAGGAACUCAUCUUCGUGCCACCAACCAGGUCAUGAAAUGUGAUGAAGGAACUCAUCUUCGUACCACCAACCAAGUGAUGAAAGCGACUCACCAUUCAUUCACCUACCAGAAGACGAGUGGUACAACUUGUACAUGUGAACUCUUAGCAUUCACAAAUAAUAAAAAGCUUGACAACUCAACUAGGGGAGCACUUAUGCUCAACAAGAGUUAUAGUCCCGAACAAAGUCUUAUUGUAAGCCAACAAUAACUUUAGAACAUGGCAUACGAAGAUCAAGUUAUUCAGCCCUCUUGCAUUUGCUUCAGACAUUUCUCCUUUGUAACAAUGCAAACACUACAACUCGUAGAAAGCUUCACACACUAUUGAUCAAGACAGUGUGAAGCAAAACCAAUUUAUGGUGCCAACAAGAGCUUCAUCAAAAGAGUUCAACCACAAUUCUCAAAAGCUUCACACACUCUUGAUCAAGACAGUGUGAAGCAAAACCAAUUUAUGGUGCCAACAAGAGAUUCAUCAAUGGAGGGUAACCACAAUUCUCAAAAGCUUCACACACUCUUGAUCAAGAUAGUGUGAAGCAAAACCAAUUUAUGGUGCCAACAAGAGCUUCAUCAAUGGAGGGCAACCACAAUUCUCAAAAGCUUCACACACUCUUGAUCAAGAUAGUGUGAAGCAAAACCAAUUUAUGGUGCCAACAAGAGCUUCAUCAAUGGAGGGCAACCACAAUUCUCAAAAGUUUCACACACUCUUGAUCAAGAGUGUGUGAAGCAAAACCAAUUUAUGGUGCGAACAAGAGCCUCAUCAAAAGACUUUAACCACAAUUCUCAAAAGUUUCACACACUCUUAAUCAAGACAGUGUGAAGCAAAACCAAUUUAUGGUGCCAACAAAAGCUUCAUCAAUGAAGGGCAACUACAACUCGUAGAAAGCUUCACACACUCUUGAUCAAGACUGUUCGAAGCAAAUUCAAUUUAUAUGGUUUAUCCAAACCUUCCACUACUACAAGGUGUGGCUUGCAUCACAAUCUCUUGCUCAACAAUGUGGAAGCAAAAUUUGUAUACGUUGGCUCUCCCAUAUUUUCAAAUUUCUAAUUUUCCCAAAUAAAAUUAAAAAAAAAAAAGAAAUUGGGAAAUUCAACAAAACUUCUUCAAUGGAGAACAACUACAAAUUCUCAAAAGCUUCACACUAUCUUGAUCAAGAUAAUGUGAAGCAAAAUUAAUUCAUGGUACCCAACAAAAGCUUCAACUCCAAAGUUUCACCUACAAAGCUUCAACUCCAAAGCUUCACCUACCAAAGCUUCACCUACAAAGUUUCAACUCCAAAGCUUCACCCACAAAAGCUUCACUGAUGCGAAAAUUAACUUAACACACAAAUUAAACCCUCUUUUGACAAUUGUAGUAUAUGUAUAAGUAGGGAUCGUUCUGGACCGGGGAUUAUGAGGGCUUGCUAAUAACCUCUAAACUGACUCAAAAACAUAAAACUAAACUUAAAAACACUUAACAAGACUCACAAGACUCAAAGCAAACUUAAAAUACUCAAAACAACUUAAAACAACCAAAUAAACUUAAACUAGACACUAUGAAUGACUUUGGACGAAAAUUGACUUUUACUUAAAUCAAAACGCUUAAAAACACAAACUAAAACAGAUUCUAACUAAUUAGACACACUAAAGUAAAUGGGGAUUGAGUUUUGGACGAAUUUAAAAUAAAAACAAGUAACUAAAACUUAAGACAGAUUUUGGACGAAUUUGGUUGAACUAGAUGGAUGAUAAGCUAGCUAGAGGCUCUUUCUCCACACAUGACAUGUAUGUAAACAAAUAAAUUUCCAGUUACUCCUUCAUCGAAUUAUAAACGACAAUGCCCCAAAUUAACCGUGACAUCACUAGUUAACCCUCAUAUUUUCCUUGUAUUAUUGGAUUGGAUGACAUCAUUCGACAACCCAAAGUAUUCUUCAAAAGUUCCCUACAUGACAUCAUAAUAAAGAUACAAUCAAAGAUUAUUACGUUCAAUGAAAAUCAUAAGCAUUGACAAAGCACUUGCAACUAUGACAUCAUGUCACUCAUGCUAGGAAUUAAACUUAACGCAAUCGUUUAUAAGCGACCUCCACUACUUGUAAAUAUAAGUUUGUAACGAUUAUGUGAAACUUUCUUAUAUUCUAGCAACAGAUUUAUGCAUGCCAAUUAAGUGUCGACCCUUAAUCAACAAAUACAAAUAAGUUAUCAAUCAAAUAGUUAAGCCAAUUGCAUUCACGAUUCAAGAACUCAUAAUUGGAAUUUAUCAACCCAUAUUGCACACGUAAUCAUGGCUUUGAAAUCACCCCUAGCCAAGAGGGGUUUAGUUCCUCAUGUUCACAAAACAAAGAUACAUAAACUUAAACAUUAAAAACAAAGAAUGAAAACACUUAAAAACGCUCCAACAAUCUAACUUGAAUGGCAAGCACGUCCAAGGGUCCUCCUUCUUCUCUUUGUUGCGGCACAAGGUGUGGUUUGAUAGAUGAGUGGUAAAUUAUGGUGGUGGAUAGAUAUAGGUGAGUUAUGGUGAAGGGUAAAUGGGUGGAUUAUGUUGAUGGAUCUCCAAAUCUCCUUCCCCUUGGCUGUUACACACACUUCCUUUUAUAGAGGAGUGCACGACAUAAGGGGUAAAAUGGAGUGGUGUGUGCAGCAAUGAUUCAAUGGAGUGGUGCUGAAAUGAUUCAUCCAUUGAAUCAUUGAAUAGGACAUGGAAUGGUGCAUCAAUGAGUGCAUGGAGUGGAGGUUAAAGUGAUGAAAUGGUGCAUGAAAUCUGAUAUGAUGGAGGGGACAAGGAAUGGUACAACAAUGAGUGCAUGGAGUGGAGGUUAAAGUGAUAAAAUGGUGCAUGAAAUCUGAAAUGAUAGAGGGGACAAUGAAUGUGCACAGCAUGGGUGGAUAUCUGCAAUCUUUGCCUUGUGUUCCAGAUCACUUCCACAUGUCCUAGCUGUUAGACAACUUUCACACACAUGUUUUGCAUCAUUUCAUUUUGCAAACACCAACUUUUGGCCACUUUACACCUCUUCACACAUGCACCUGCUGCUAGAUACUUUCACACACAUGCUAUGCAUCAUUUCAACUUGCAAUUAUGUUUGUAGUUGCUGGAAAUGUAAAUACAACUUGUAAAGCAAUCCAACAAAUGGCAUCUUUCACUUCUUUUCCUUUCAAAUUGUUCCUUAAGUGUAUGUAUCUGCACACUUCCACACUUUAACUUCAUUAUUCAGAUUUUUGCAUAUGUUGGAACCCUUUUUAAAACACCAAAAACGUCCAUCCAACUUGCUCCAUAUGCAUGCAAUCCAUUUCAGCCCAAAAUUGCUCCAAAAUGCACCAAAAUGCACUUUCUUGCCAACUUUGUUAUUAGGACCUACAAACACACGAAAAUAGUUUAAAAUACAAAUUGACUAAGAAAUAACAACAUAAAUGCACAAGAAUAAGCUAACUAAGUCACAUAAAUAUGCUCCUAUCAUUCACCCAGAAUAGCUUCACCUACAAAAGCUUCACCUAUAAAAGCUUCACACACUCUUGAUCAAGAUAGUGUGAAGCAAAAUCAAUUCAUGGUACCCAACAAAGCUUCAACCUCAAAGCUUCACCUACAAAGCUUAAAAAUAUAUAUAUAUUUUUUCAGAAAUUCGAAAAUUUGAAAAAUCGAAAAAAAAAAAAUAUUGUCUAGGCCUCCUCUUCUUUGGGCCUAACAACUUUCAUAACAAAUAUAUAUGAAGGAUGAGUUUUAGGCUACCACUUAGAAAGGAAAUGCCUCAUUCGUCAACUCCCUCAACCGAAGACUUGGGGAACUCCUACCAUAUGCUACUGCACCUUGAUACUCGGAAGUCUCACGACCACUCAGUGGCUUGGAUUUUUCAAGUCUCCAACCGAGAAAUUUUUCUCACUCGGGAAAUUAAGGGAGCACUACCUCAACAUAUAUGCUUCACUCACAAAGCUUCAACAUACAAGCUUCAACAAAAGAAAAAAUUCAAAGAACUUAGUGAAGAAGGCUUUGGUGUAAUUAACACAAUACGUUGAAAUGAAGCAAAGCUUAUUUAUUGAUAUCUCCAAUAAGUUACAAAUAUGUACAUAUACAUGAAUCAAAAUAAACAAACAAGAGGGAGCCUUCACAAAGGUUGCUCAGGAGAAGUCUCAGCAGUCGGCAGAGCCCCAGAAAGAGAAGGCACCGGAAGGUAAUCAUUCGGAGCCUCAUACUGGACAGAACCCCAGAAGGAUGAGGCAUCCGAGGUUGAUCAUUUGGAGCUUCAUUACGCGGUACAAACCCAGAAGACGAAGGCAAUAAAUGCCUUUAGAACAAACCCACAAACCUCUGAUGAUCAAGUAAAAUAUGACCAUCAGAUUCCUGCAUCUAGUCAAGCUUCCUCUUCAUGUUAGUAGCAUAGUCAUGUGCGAGCCUGUGCAACUGUUUAUUCUUAUGCUUGAGCCCUCUAAUCUCCUGUUUAAGACUUAUCACUUCAGCUGCCAAUGAUUCAACUUGGCGGGUUCAAGCAAAUAGGCGUUGGGCCAUAUUAGACACAGAACCUGCACACUGAACACUAAAAGCUAGAUAAUCUUUAACAACCAACUCAUCAGACCGUUUGGAAAGUAGUUUGUUAUCUUUGGGAGUGAGAAGGUUCCUGGCCACCACCGCAGCAGUCAUAUCAUCUUCAUCACAGAGUCCCCAACGGUAAGAGGAUCAGUAGGGGAUAAGAAGGAUGAGCGCCAUAUGUUGUCUUGAGGAGGCAUGGCUGCCUCUUCACCAAAGUUCAAGUCAAAACGACGAUCGAAUGGGCCAAACAUUUUUAGAAAUCAUGAAGGAGAAAUGAGGUCCAAUAAAUCUCUGAAGUACGAAAAUUCCUACAAGCAAUAACUCUCUGAACGUACUUUUUGCACACAAUUGGUGCCCCUAUAAAAGAAAGGGCAGCAUGGUCAUUUGUUCAAAAAUAAAAAAGGCACCACUCUCCGAAUUUCGAGAAGCAGAUUUUCCUGAGUAAAAUAUGUCGACAAUCCCCACAUGCAACAUCAGCUCCUCGGGUACCACAGAUAACUUUGCGAAAGAUCUCUGAUAAAGUUUAAACACAUAAAUUUUGAAAGUUCAGCUACCCUACCAUUACCCACAAGGGUAAAGGAACAGCAUCACUGCUUGAUAACUGGAAAUUCCCUAUGUGUGUCAACCUCCGUGCUCCGUGGCAAGGCAAACUGGCAAAAAUGCCCAACCUUUACUCAUAUCAAGAAAACACUCCCAACAGGAUUACUUUCUCAAAAAUCGAAGAGGUGUCGCUCCCCGAAUCUCGAUAGCCAGACUCUCACCAGGAUUGCUUUCUAAAAAAUCGAAAAGGCAUCGCUAUCCGAAUCUCGAGAGCCAGACUCCCACUAGGAUUACUUUCUCAAAAAUCGAAAAGGCACCGCUAUUUGAAUCUCGAGAGCUAGACUCCUACCAAGAUCGUUUUCUCAAAAAUCAAAGAGACAUCGCUCUCUAAAUCUCGAGAGCUAGAUCUCCAAUAGGAUUACUUGUUCAAAAAUCGAAGAGGCAACGCUCUUCGAAUCUCGAGAGCUAGAUCUCCAACAUGAUUGCUUGUUCGAAAACCGAAGAGGCACCGCUCUUCGAACUUUGAGAGCCAGAUUUCCUUGGAUAAAAUUUGUCUGCAAUCUUCACACACAACAUCAGCUUUCUAGAUACCACAUACCACUUUUUCAAAGUGCUCUGACAAAGUUAAAACACGUGAAACUUGCAGCUUCCACUACAUUGCUAUGACCAAGAAGGGUAAAAGAAUAUCAUUAUUACUUGUUGUUGGGGAAACUUCUAUAUAUGUCAACCUCCAUCCUCCACAGAUAGGCAGACGUGCAAAAAUGCUCAACCCUUCCUCAUAUCUGAAAGGGCACUCCCAAUGAAGCUUCUCGAAAUACUCAGCUUUCUUUCCCCCCGAUAAUACCUCUGCAAACAAGCUACACUAGAGUAAGAAUAUCUCAUAUCAUCAGGGUUAAAAGCAAGAGUAUCUCAUAUCAUGUUUUUCCCUGUCUUUUCCUUUGGCCUUGUUCUUACCUGCAAGACAAGGAGAAAGAAAGUAAUCAGUCAUCACAUGGAAUCAAGCUUUCAGUCAGGAACUGACUGCCUGGAACCCCUUGCCUGAUUACUUACCUGUCAUUGCUCUCAAGUACUCAUCUUCAACAUCUUGUGCUUCCAGAAAAGAUACCACAUCUGCCUAAGGAACAGAUAGGGCAAGUGAGAAGGAUUCAAGGUAGCAUGUGGAGACAAGCGCAACAGAACACGUGCCGAUUCAUCUAUUACUUUGUCAAUAACAAAAGUAUCUCAUGUCAUCAAGGUCGAACGCACUCUUGAUUUGAUGAACUUGUUUUAACCCUCAAAUUCUUAAGUCAGCUUUAUACUCUGGAGGAAACUAGAAAACCUUCCAGCCCAGUUCAAGAAUAAGCAUAUGGAAAGUUACUUCUUGAAAAGUAAAAGUAUCUCAUAUCAUCUCUUCUCAUUUUUCUUCUCUUUAUCAUUCCUGCUGCCUGCAAGAUAGGGAGAAUGAGAACAAUCAGCCGGAACUCGAAAUCAAACUUCUGAUCUAGGACUGAUUACUGGGAGCUUUGAUUGCUUACCUUGUCUGUCACCUCUUUCGGCAGAUCUCCUAGCUCGGCGACUUGGGGGACUCCUACUACAUGGUUUGUAUUGUGCUUGACCAAGCCUGAAACUACAAGUAAGCUUCAAGUGAAAUUGAUACAUUACCUUGUGCAUCUUCACCGGUUAAAGAUACCACCCCUAGAUAGAGGAAAAGUACUUACAGAGAAGAUGCCACAUCUACCUAUGAGACAGAUAAGGCAAGUGAAAACGAUACCACACUUCGGUACUUAGAAGUUUUGUGAUUACUCAGCGGCUUGGAUCUUGCAAGUCCCUAACCGAGGAGGUUCCCUCACUCUGGAACUUAGGGGAGCAUUGUUUUACCAUACUUGACCAAUCCCGAAACUACCGAGCACCAGUCAAUGUUAUACCGUCAAGGACCCAUAAGAGUUUCCCUCCAACCAGGAGGUCAAUCAUAGUGCGACAUGUGUCAACAUCAGAAGCCAAUCAUAGCGCGACACAUGUCAACAUCAGAAGCCAAUCACAACACGACACGUGUCACAGUCAGAACAAAGCUAGAAACUCUCUUCUAUAAAAAGGAUAUCAUUCUCCCACAAUAUUUCCAAAUGUCAUUUGUACUAAAUCAAUCACUAGUUCUCACAAAAUGAGAGCUUGAACCUAUACUUGUGUAAACCUUUCACAAUUAAUGAGAACUCAUCUACUUCGUGGACGUAGCCAAUCUAGGUAAACCACGUACAUCUUGUGUUUGCUUCCCUAUCUCUAUCCAUUUACAUACUUAUCCACACUAGUGACCGGAGCAAUCUAGCGAAUGUCACAAACUUAACACUUUCUAUUGUACCAAAGUCCUCACUGAUUUUGUGCAUCAACAUAAUAUAUAGCACUAUCACAUAUAAUAUUUAGAUGACGAAAAUUUUGGGCCCCUUCAAAUUUGGAGGCCCUGUGUGACUGCACCUUUCGCUCUCCCUCAACGCCGUCUCUGCACCACGUGAUUGUGUUAAUGCAUUUUUGUUAUAUUAAAAUAGUAAGGAGUCGCACCCCAUCAAAACGAAUCUCUCAAAGAAGUCCACAAAGACCCAAAAUAGCAAUGAACUAGGAGGCAACGCCUACAACCCCAAUUGGAGAGGCUCCAAAUCAGGUGCCUCGCCUUCAGCUACCGAGCGCUACAACUAAAGCGCUCGACCCGAAAACUUUUCUAUUUCCACAGCCGCUCACUUCAACAUAGCUUCGUUAUCUAUACAAACUAAAACAUCUUUCUAAAUGUAAAUAAUUAAGCCAUUACUUAACUAAUUGAAAACACUUGAACUAAUCGGCUUACUUGAGCUAUAACCAACUGGAAUACUUGAACUAACCAGGUUAUUUGACUAGAAUCAACCGGAAUACUUGAAAUAGCCAGGCUAAUUAAUCAAUUUAUCGACCAAAGAAAAACUCCCCAACAACUAACCAAAAAAAAACCCAUAAAAUCAAUCAACUAUUAACAUAAACUCCUAACAAUUAACCAAAACAAAAGCCCAUAUCAAGUCAUAUCAGAUAUUCAUAAGUAUAUGUUGGGCUUCCGGUUGUUUGGGUUUGGGAGUUAGAUUUGUUUUUUUUAAUUUAUUUUUUUUUUAAAUCCGGUAGUUUUGAACAAGAUUGUUUGGAAAAAAGAAAUAAAAGCAAAAAGUUGCGCGCAACACAAGCUACUUCGUGCAACAAACCUUUGAGCUGAUUCAAGCAUUUAGUUCAACUGUAAAUUUUCUAGUUCAAUAGUGUCAAAAAAGUGAAGGUCGUGGGCACCAAAGGGUCACUAGAGCUGCUUCCCAACCACAGUUUGGACCUUUCACGAGGUAUCCGAAUCACUCGUCUCUUGGUGGUGGAUCAGCCAUUGUGUAUGCUAGUUUCUUUGGAACUUUUGUUAGUCUGCUUUUGCAAUAUCUUUGUACGAUAACUUUUUUAACUUUGUUGAAUUAUUUAAUCACCUGUAUACAUGCAUCCAAUUUAUUACAUUUCCUAAAGGUUAACUUACUAAACUUGGCUUCCCUACAAUGUUGUCCACAAGAAGUUUGAAAUCCCCCCUUGAUAACAAUAGUAGAAAGAAAAAAAAAAUUAACAAUACUUGAAAAUUCUCAAUUGGUUUAGCAGUUAUAACCCAAUGAAAUACCACUAUGUUAGGAUGAAAAAAAUAAAUUUUGAAUUUGAACAAAAGUCAGAAUUUGUAAAUUGACAUGCACCAAUUUUCUUAUUUGGAUUUAUAAACAUAUAAAUUUAGAAUUUCAACCUGGAAAAAAAGUUUUUGAAAUUUGGGAUCUCUAACAUUCUGUUUGGAUGAAGAAAUUUAGUAUCACUAAGGAAUUUUAAAAUGACAAAAAUUGGAAUGACGGGAUUUAUUUGGUUAACUUAAAAGAAGAAUUGAAUUGAAUACAUAAUUUGUUAGUUUUAAACUCUUAAUCGUAGAAAUUGGGAAAUGACACAUAUUUAUAUAGAAUUUAAACUUGGAAAUUAGAGGUCCCAAAUCCAGGUUUUUUUUUACACGGAAAUUCUAAAUUUCUAUGUUUAUAAAUCCAAACAAGGGAAUUUGUGCAUGUUAAUUUAUAAAUUUUGACUUUUAUCCAAAUUCCUAGUUUAUUCUCCUCAUCCAAAACAUAGUGUAAUUCCCACAUUUAAAUUCUAUGUAAAUGGCUAUCAUUUCUAAAUUUUCAUGAGUGAGUAUAAAAAUAAAAAAUAUAAAAAAUGAGAAAUUAGGUUCUCAUCCCUAUUUUUUCAACUCCAUUGAUUGAAACCUUAUUCCUUUUCAAUUUUUAAUCAAGGUCCCUUGGUUUUACUAAACAUCAUUAAUUAUUUCAAUAAUAAAAUAUUUUACAUAUCAAGAUAAUUAAAUUUUGUUUCUAAAUUAUUCAUUUAGUGUUAGAAACAUUACAUUUGAUAUAUUUAUAUUUAUGGCUAACUUUUGUAUCAUAUAUUUUUAUUUUUAGUUUGUACCCAUUUUAAUUUGCAACCUUUUAUUUUUAAAUUGUGCCAAUUUUCUAUUCACUUUUAGUUUGUACCCAUAUUCUUUUUGUGUCCAUAGUUUUCAAACUUUUAUUUUUACUCAUAUUUUGUUGACCUUUUAUUUGUACCCAUAAUUUAUUUAUAGUGUACCCAUUUGUCUUUAAAAAUGUACCACUUUGUUAUAUGUAAAAUGUAACUUUUUUUUUUUAAGUACCAUCUCUUUUGUGUAAAAUGUACCCAUUAUUAUUUUUAUAUGAAAUGUACCCAUUAUAUAAAACGUAUCACUUUUGUUGUAUAAAAUGUACAAACUUUUUGUAUGUAAAAUGUAUCGUAUAAAAAUUACCAAUUUUUUAUAUGUAAAAUGUCAUUAAUAUAAGUAAUGACAAAUCAUGGGUUUUAUUUAAGUAUAAUUUUUUUUAAUAUUUUCAACAAAUUAUGGAAUUUAUUAAAAUCUCAUUAAUAUAAAUAACUACAAAUAUCAAAUUUUAAUUUAAAAUUUAUAAUAACCUACAUAGAAAUGUAUUAUUGCAUUAAUUUCAAGGACUUCAAUAAAAAGCGAAAACCAACAAGGUUUCAAUCAAAGAACGUUAAUAAAUAGAGACCGCAUCCAAGGUCACCCUAUAAAAAAACUCAAUCAUUAGUGGACACCACCACCAGCACCACCCACCACCAUGGCUAACGCCGCCACCACCACUUACCGUUAUCUCCUCCGCCACUCCCGCCGCUACCACCCACCGUCAUCGCACCGCCGCCGCCGCCGCCACUACCCACCAUCGUCACCGCCGUCUCCACCACCACUACUAGUACAUUUUCUAACUACUAUACCUCUUAAUAACUUUAUACACACAUUAAAUUUCAUUGCUCUUUUAGGUUAACUAAACAAGAAAAUUCACAAAUUUUAAAAAAUAAAUUCCAUCAUUUCAAUUUCUGUUAUUCUAAAUUUCUUCAUUACGAUACUUCCAUAUCUUCCACACAAGCCUAGACAAAAUAGUAAAUAAAAAAAUCCAAGAUCACACAAUUUGAAAUGUUAAUUAGCAUUGGUCUCUCAAUGAUGCUAACUUUCAUUUGCAAAAGGUCCCCAAGAUUCUGCAAAAUAUGAUCACAUAAUCUGCAGCACCAUUCCUUAAUUCAGAAAUCCAGAUUCUGAUUAUUUGACAAUCUUCCAUUAAAAGAAAAACGUGUUGCCUGAAUCUUUGUCCUAUUUUCAACUACCGUAUCAAAACAUUGCGCUUUCUACGCAUAUAUACAUAUGAUUUUUGAAUCCCUUGCCUUGCAACCUAGGUAUUCCGUUUUUGGUCUGACUCCCAAUCGGGUUGCCUUAUCAAGGUCUCGUGGGUGUUACCUGCAGAUCAUGUUCAUAUGAUUAGGUAAUUUCACAGGAGAAUUGUUAUUAGCAUUCCAAAAUCUCAUUCUAUACUCCUCACAAGUGUAUUUUUCUUUGUAAUUAAUAUAGAAAGGUUGAAGUGCCAAAUAAAAUUUUUGGAGUGCUAAUAACAAUUCUCUUUCACAAAACGAGAGAGGAAAAAAUCAGAGUAAUAUACAAAAGACACAGUUGCACCCUCCAUAACCAAUUUAGAUAAACCAACGCUACCCAAUGUACCCAUUUAAAUUUAAAAAAUGGAUUUAAUAUUUAGCCAAAUAUAAACCUUAUAUUAUCCACUUUGCACUAUAUACAUUUUUUUGUUCUAAGACAAGAGUCAAAGAUAUGGAUUUUGGUAGCCAAUUCAACGGCGUGAAAUCAUUGCCCAGAUCAUAUCAUAUGGGUCUCGACAAAAGCGACCACGUCAUGGGCCAUGCAACUUGCUUUACUCAAAAUGUAUGGCAUAAGAUGCCUACUAAAGAUCCUGGAGCGUUGAAAACACUCACCUUUAAUUAUUCAUGUGUAUGAUUGACCUAGUGCCAAUUAUCUCUCUCCCCUUUUCUUUUAAUUUUUCGACAAACGAUAGCGUUAGUGGAUUAAAUUGUUUAAUGUUAAGGAGAAAAUGAUUAAUAGAGAUCGAACUUGCGCCAAAUACUUGCCUAAAUUAAGUCUAAAUAACUAUAAUUUUAUCCUUAUUGUACAUUGCCUCUUCACGUGUAGCAUGGAGCUAGUUGUGCCGAAUAACUAAGGCCUCGUUUGGAUGUGCUUUUAAAAUGACUGAAAGCGUUUUUAGAGAAAAUAUUUUUGGAUUCCUAAAGCACUUAAAAUGCUUUUUGCAAUAAGCACUAGUUAUGUGAUUUUUUCAUGAAGCACUGUAAAUGUUUUUCGAGAAUUUACUUGUAUUUUUACUAAAGAUUAGUUCUAAAAAUAUUUUCACCAAAAGCACUUUCAGUUAUUGUAAAAGCACAUCCAAACAAGCUCUAAAGCUUUCAUAUUCUAAUAGUUGUCCAAUUAAUUAGGGUAAAUUACACUUUACCACCUCAGGUUUGGGGUCGAUUUCAAUUCCUUGCAACAUCUUUAAAACAUUUCACUUUCAUAUAUAAAGUACUAUUUUAUUUCAAUAUAGUACCUCCGUUACAUUUUUCAUCCAUUGAUCCGUUAAGAGCUGACGUGGCUGCCACAUUUGUGCCACGUGGCAAAAAAAAUAAAUUUUAUUUACUUAAAAAUAAUUAAUUAAAGAAAAAUUAUUUAUAAAAAAAAAUAAAAACCAACCUAGAACCCAUCUUCCCCCCGACCCACCUCCUUCCCCCGCAACCCUCACCCCCCCUUCUCCUUCUCCUCCAUGUUCACCUCUCUCUGCUUCUCCCUCAAUUCACCACCACACAACUCAUCUGACUUACCUAGCGAUGCAAGGCCUACUAUGUUGCUCCAACCCAUUUUCCCCCUUCCCCCACCCCUCUUCCCCCUUCCCCCACCCCUCUUCUCCCUCCUAAGCCUCCCAACUUCGGCCUUACCACCGUCGGCUCUACAUCAGCAACCAGCUCGCCCGAGUGGUCUCCCUCGGCGAAUGAGAACAUCGACCCUGAUGCAUGCCGGCUCUGCCGCCUCUUGAUGUCGCUAAGCUCCAUUUUGGCUGGGGCUUGACCAGCGACCCAAUCAAGUUCAAAUUUCAGCUGGUCAGGUAUAGGUCCCACUGACGGAAGGGGUGGGAUUUUUGGUAGUGGGUGAUGGGGGAUUUUUGGGAGGGGUCAUGGGGUGGGAGAAGGGGGUGGGUCGAGGAAGACGAUUUCUGGUUUUUUUUUUUUAAAUAACUUUUCUUUAAUUAAUUAUUUUUAAAUGAAUAAAAAAUUUGUUGCCACGUGGCGCAAAUUUGGCAGCCACGUGGCACAAAUGUGGCAACCACGUCAGCUCAAUGCAUGGGAAAUGUAACGGAAGUACUAUAUUGAAAUAAAAUAAUACUUGGGGUAUGAAAGUGAAAUGUUUUAAAGGUUUUAAAGAUGUUGUAAGGAAUUGAAAUCGACCUUAAACCUGAGGUGGUAAAGUGUAAUUUACCCAUUAAUUAAUGAUAUCAAUUUAUUGAAUUUGCUAUAUUGCAUGAUCGAAUAAAAAAAGAAGAGCCUUUAGGUUCGGAAAGGAAAAAAAUGUAAACUAUAAAUCAUCAUGACAGCUAUAACUAAAAGUUUCAUAAAAAAAUAGAAAAAAACACUUAAAAGUUCAAUAUUGGAGAAUACUUGUCCUCCUCUAUUGAAUCUUUGUUAUGAAAUUUUUAUGGCGUCACAAAGUUGAGUUUUUUUUUUCCAAAUUAUUAAAUUUGAAAUAUUUUUUUCUCUUUACAUAGGAACAUAAUUAAUAAAAUACAAAAUGGAUAUUGUACAUAAAAGAUAUGUACAUGUAUUAUUCGCUAACUUUGCUAAAAAAAAUACUUAUGGAAAAUUUGGACAUUUUUAAAAUUUUAAUAUUUAUUCAUUAAAAUAUUUAUUUCUUUGAUAAUAUGUUAAAAAUAUUAUAGACAAUAUGGAUUUCAUAUGUUUUAUUAAAAAAUAUGUCCAAAUAACGUGUAUUAAACGUAAAAAUAUACAUAUGCACGUGUAAUAUUUUGAAGUUAUAAUAAUAUGAAAUUAAACGAAUCAUUAAAUGUGUAUGAAAAAAUAAAAAUAUUUUUGAAAAAUAUGCAUGUACGUGUAUAAUAUGCAAAUUUACUAGCAUGUUCAAAAUAAACCACCACACCACCACAGAGUGACUUAAAUUUAUUUUGAGCCAAAUUCUUUUGUCAUGAUAUGACUAAAUUAAUUUAGGUAGUUUUCUUUAUUUAAACGAUAUUUUAAUUAAUUUAAUCAAAUUACAGGCAUACUUGAACUUGAAUAUAGAACGAGGGACAUGUUGUUGGGCCAACCUGACUAUAACUGUAACAACCCAUCCCGAAAUUUACGUAACGGAAGGGUAUUUUCGUAUUUUCACUUUGGUUGGGUUUUAUUUGUUUUAAAAUAUUGCUUUUUGGUGUUAAAUGGUGUGCCCUUGGGCCCAUCCCUAAUUUUGGUCCCCCGGCUCUCCCCUCUCCUUGCCUGCCACGUGGCAUCCCACUUCUUCCCUCCCCAACAUCUCUCUCUCUCCCUCACCUAUCCCAGUUUUCUCCAUCACUAUGCACUAUCUCUCCCUUUAUCUCCGAGAAGGAACCACCAUCAUUCCUUUCGAUUCCGACCAAGCCAGUCUCAUAAAUCCUUAUUUCGAACCUUUAGGACAUAGGGAACACGAUUACAUCCUCGCUUGCAUCAUCAAAGCACCAUUUGAGUGAUCCACCAUUGAAGCCGAGAUCUUCAAGCUUUCAUUUCUCAAACCCAGCUAAGGUUAUUGCUCUAUUCCGUUCAUUCAAGUUAUUCUUGGGUUGAUGUUGUGUUUUGAGUUGAAAACUAAAGGUAUCUAACUCGUUCGUGCAUGCUCUUCCCCCUUCCCAGUUUUCGAUGGAGACCCAACGACUUUUGAGCCGAAGUUUGGCCGACUCCGGCCACCCCACGGUAUGUCACAUGUACGAAUCUCUUCCUUUCUCUCGUAUCUUCAUUUUAGUAUGAGGAUCGUAGGGUAGAAUGGUGAAAUGGCGUCGACUGGAGCUUAGGAGGCUCCGGUCUUCUUUCUCGGUGAAAAAAUGGCUGGCUCGCCCAAACCCAUAGAGUGCAGGCCAUUUGGGCCAAGCAAACUAGGGCCUUCGGCCCGUUGAAUUAAAAGCCCAACCUAGUUAGCCUUUAACCCAAAACCUUUUUUAACUUAGGCCUUAGGCCGUGUAGAACUUGGGCCUUAGGCCCGUUAACCCUUUUAACCCAUUGAACCCUUGCCCCAACCCUUGGCCCAAUGUAAAACCGGCUUAACCCUUGGGCCGUAUAACUAGCCCAAGCCCGAGGCCACACAUUUAGGCCCAACCCAAACCCUUGUGUCUCGACCCGAUUAACCUGACCCGACCCGAUUGACUUGACCUGGACCCGUUGACUCGAUCUGACCGUUGACUUUGGUCAAAGUUAACCAUUGACUCAGUUAACAAUGACCGUUGACCGUCAACAUUGACUUUUUGUUGACUUUUUCUGGUUUCAGUUGGGACCUUUUCUAGGCUAAUUUCGACGUCCUGGAUCCGUUUUUAAGUCCGCUUUCCCAAAUUCAAUCGUUUUAAUAGAGUUUUAUUAAUUAGACCCUUUUUGUGCUUAGGUGCAUUUAUUGUGACAAUUUCCAUCUUUGUGUGGCGCUUUGACAGCGAAAUAUCUGUGAGUGGAUCCUUUCUAAAAUGUAUGUUUUAAUAUUAGAAAUGCAUACAUGAAAAGCAUGAUUUAAUGGUUACGUUUUAUAAGUAAAUUAUAUUUACACUUUAUGAUUAUCAAGCUUUACUGAGAAUAUUUUGGAAUGCCAUACUUUAUCGAAUUUAUGUUCUUUAUAGUAUAUAUGAUGGAUGACUAUAUACUAUUUAUGAACAUGUUUUUAAACUUCUUUGUAGUAUAUAUGAUAGAUGACUAUAUGCUAUGAAGAUGUUUUUGAGAUAUAUUUACGUAUAUUGGAAAUAGUAUAUUCAAUGUUUUUACGCUUAUCUAGUGGUCAAUGUUCCCCUACGAGCGAUGAUACUUAUAUUAGCCUACGGGUCGGAAGAUAUAUUAUAUUUGGCCUACAUGUUAGGUGAUGUAGGGGCCUACGGGUCGAUUAUGAUACCACUAUUUAGCACACUAUAUACGAUAUAUGUUUUAUGAAAGAUUUUAUGGCAUGUUAGGGUUUUCGGAAAAACCUAUUACAUAAUAUACUAAUGAAUUUCCAUAAAACUUUGGGGGGUUAGUACGUUAUUGAAUAACUAUUUUAGUAUUUUAUAUAUAUAUAUAUAUAUAUAUAUAUAUAUAUCAACUUGGUCCACUCAUAUUUUGUUUUGCGCCCCCUCAGGAUUUAGAAUCAAGGUGUACAAUCCCGGUGUUAGGGCACUUCCGCAUCGACAUUUUCAAGUCAUGUCGGUGUAGGAACCAUUCCUUUGCUCAUUCAAUUUUAUAUUAUUUCCUUUCUGGUGUCUCAAAUUAGUUGUAUGCUCUAAACACGUUCCUCAUAGCAUAUUAAUUACAUUUAAAUUUAUAAGUCUUAUUUAUUUCUAGUUCUCAUGCAUUCUAAUAUGGUUUCGUCACCUUCGGAUGUCGGCCAUCACGUGCCUACCCUGGUGUUUGGUGAAUAUCAGGGUCGGGCAUAAUGAUUGUUAAUUAACUAAAUGUAGAAUUAUGACUCAUUGUAUUGGUGUGUGGAAAAUUUUACAAUAUAUAUAGCAUUAUGUUAAUCCCUAUUUAGGUAGGAAUCCUACACUAAUCACAAUUGGAAAUGACAUUCCCAUAUACAUAUUACAAUCACAGUGAAGAAUUUCAAUUGAUUAAGUCUAAUCUAACAACAUCCCUUCCCCACGCAAAUUGGACGAGCUGAAUCAGACAAGUUUAGAACAAAGUAGGCAUGACGAGGCUGAUGAAGAGCUUUAAUGAGAAAAUCGGCCGUUUGAUCAGCAGAGAGAAUAUAGCAAAAAUGAUGACUACCAAAAGCAAACUUUCACAUACAAAAAGAUUAUCGAGUUUUUAUGUGACGUGUGCGAGCAUGAUGGACUAGACGAAUGGCAAUAUAAGUGGCACUCAAAUUAUCACAAUGUAAUAAAAUAAUAGUAGUCAAUCGAACCCCAAACUCACUAAAAAGGAAGCAAAACUCAAAUAGAUAAGAUGGCCACUAGUGAACACUGAGGGUCCAGACAACUCGCCCAAUUAGCAUCCGAAUAAACAAAUAAAGUAGUGGUAUGAAAACGCAGAUGAAUGUCGAAGUCUAAAGUACCUUUAACAUACUCGAUAAUCCUUUUAGCAGCGAUCAAGUGAGUAAUGCGGGGAGCACUCAUGUACUGAGAGAUUGUAUUACCGCAAAAGAAAUAGCAGGAUGAGUGAGAGUAAGGUAUUGCAUAGAGUCAACUAACUCACGAAAGACGGUGGGAGAAGAAAGUAAAAAACCAUUCCUAGCAAUGAUAGCAACUUGGCAGCAAGAGGGGUCGAUGCCGAUUUACAAGAAACCAUGUCAAACUUCUUAAGCAGAUCAUGAGCAUAUUUAAGUUAAUGAACAUGUAGGCCAGUGGAGUCACGAGUAGCCUUUAAUCCCUGAAAAUAAUUGAGGGGCCAAAUCCAUAAUGUCAACUUGAUUGCCAAAGAGAUCAACAAAUUAAGUAACAAGAUCUGAAGAGCUACCAGUGACGACAAUACCAUCCACAUAAAGAAGCAAAAAUAUAGUGCGAGUGAGACACCUAAAUAUAAAAAGAGAGGAGUCAGCAAUACUCUAAGUAAAUCCAAGGUACAAGAGGAAAUAAUGGUGGCGGUUGAACCAAUCACGAGGAGCCUGUUUGAGACCAUAGAGAGAUAUGUGAAGGCGAACAUGAUUAAGACGUGCAUGUUAACAAAGCGAGGGGCUGAGCCAUGUAGACAUUUUGUAUUGAUGUGUGAAUUAUGACUCCUUGCAUUGAUGUAUAGAACAUAUUACAAUAUAUAUAGGAUUAUAUUAAUCCUUAAAAGCUGAAAAAUUAAAUCUUGCUUUUUCAGCUAAGCUUGUCUAGAAAAUUAUCAAUGAUAAUGAUAGCUGAUGGGUAAAGAUUGUAAAAGCGAAACAUUUAAGACAUAAAUCUAUUUGGAAUAUGAACUGCAAGCAAAAUCAUUUAGCAGCUUGGAAGGGUAUUCUAGCAGCAAGACAUAUUGUGAAGAUAGGAAUGAGAUAGACUGUGGGAAAUGGUCAAAACAUUGCGUUUUGGUCCCAUAAUUAGGUUUUUCCUUUCCCUUUAUCCAGUAUCAUUGCCAUUCAAUCCCAUCAUCUUAUUGACUGGAACCUUAAAGUUAGCAAUGUGAUGCUGGAUAAAAUUGGAAUGUUGAUCUCCUUAACCAACUCUUACCAGUGGAUGUUGCUGAUAAAAUUUUAGCCAUUCCUAUCCCGAUCAGUGAUGUUGAAGAUAAACUUAUUUGGGGCCCUACCUCUAAUGGGGAGUUCUCAAUUAAAUCAGCUCACAUAAUUCAAAUUGGUGAUAAUCAGUGUCACAUGUUUAAGGGACUUCUUAACAGAAUUUGGAAACUAAAUAUUCCUUACAAAGUUAAGUUUUUUGGUUAGUUGUUGGUGAGAAAUAAGCUAACCACUAAUGUUAAAUUAAAUAAGUUCAACGAUAACAAUUUUGCCUUAUGUCCCUUAUGUAAUAAUGCCGAGGAAGACCUUGGUCAUAGAUUUAAAUCUUGUCAAUUUGCUCAGGAGUUGUGGAAGAUUGAUAAUAAGUUGCCUGCUAUUUCCCUUGCUCAAAGUUUAAAUGACUGGCUUAAUAGCCUUGAUUAUAUAGACAAAGACGAUCCAUAUGAUCUUAGUAAGGCUCUUUUUAUUUAGUGGCAAAUGUGGAAUGAUAGGAAUGAUUUUGUGUUUAAUCAGAUAAAGCCGACCCCAAUUCAUUAGAAACCAUUGAGGUCAACCUUGCUUGGCGGGUUCGAGAAAUCUGGGUCAGAACACAUUUACAGUUGCAGAGGCUUUGGUUACUAGGGAUGCUCUCUUGGUGGCCAGAUCAAGGGGUUUAAAGAAGGUCAAGAUUGAAGGGGAUUCGAAGAUUGUCAUUGAGGCAAUCAUGGGAAAAUGUAGCAUUCAUUGGCGUAUCCGUGCUAUUGUUAAAGAUAUCGAAUGGCUGGUAUCUUUUUUUACUCUAUUACUUGGAAGCAUAUUUUAAGGGAAGCUAAUUUUGUAGUUUAUGCCAUCACUUCAAGUGGGCAUGGUUUAGAUAACUUCCAUUUUUGGAUUGGCUGUGCGCCUAAUGUCUUGUUGUUUGACUCUAUGGGCCUUGGGUGCUCCCGGGAUUUUCCCUCUCUUAAUGUUAUUUUGUUUCUCAAAAAAAAAAAUCCGAAUUAAUUAACUCUAACCUAACAUUGAAGAAUAAUCAAAUAUUUUAAAACAAAACGAUCAUAAUUCAUCAGACAAAUUGCGAGUGGUGCGAGAGAACAAAUGAAGACGUACAAUCAUCGUUUUAUACUUUUUCAAAAAGCCAAGCACAAGAUGGCGAAGGCGAGGCGGAAACAACACCCAAAAAUCAAAGCAUUAAAUAUCAGACCAAAAAAAAGAAAAAAAAAAAAAAAAAGAAAAAGAAGCGGGAGUGCGGGGACGCGGGAAAAGAGGCGCGUGGAAGGGAAACAGCUUCUCUUGCUUUUACUUAUUCUUUACUCGUCGGCUACUCCACCGUCCCUUGCCUGCCUCGCCUUGCCUGCUGCUGACUCUCUCUCUCUCUCUCUCUCUCUCUCUUAAUUUUGUAUUAAACUUUCCGUCGGAUAAACCACGGAGGCCGAAAGAAAACAAACACAAACACUUAAAAAAAUAUAAAAAAGGCAUCGAAAUUAUUAUUUAUUUAAAAAAAUUAAAUUAAAAAAGGAAAGGAAAAGGAGGAAAUUUCUGUCUGUGAGAGAGAGAGUUGUAAUCGUGUUCCUGUUCUCGUCAACGAACAACUCUUCCGAUUUCAUCUCCUUCCUCUCUCUCCCCAUGCGACUCUCUCUCCUUUCUCUCUCUCUCUAAAAUCCGGAAGUGCUCUUCUCUGCUCUCAAGAAUUCCAAGGUUCGUUCUUCGGUUUCCGGUUGCUUAUUGUUACUGCUUUUCUGAAUUUUGAGCUUAAUUGCAAGCUUUGCGUCCGGCUAAGCUAUUGUUCGUUCGUAAUUAUUGUGCUCUUUGAAACUUUUUGGAAUUUGGAAGUGGAAAUUUUGAAUUUUGAAGUGAAUUUUGGGGGGUUUGGGUUCGAUUUUUGUGUUUUUGCUGCUGCCGAGUUGUGUUUUGGAAGCAGAUUGUUGCCAAUUGGGACUUGGAACUGGAAGUGCUGCCGCCGUUUAAAUUAGGGUUCUUCACGUUCCUCCGCUGAGUGCGGCGUUUUCAGUGGACCUGUGCUUCAUUUUCUUUGUUUGUUGAGCUUUCAUUGUUUUGUAAUGGAGUUCGGGGCUUCUUUUCGGAGUUUUUUGUCUUCACUUUUGAUUUUACAAUUCUGGCAAUGUUAUUCAGAGGAGGAAAAUUGCCGUCAAUUGAAGUGCAGACGUAGCGUCUUUAGUAAAGAUGACAUGGUUCGGGCUAUUCUGUUGGGUUUCUUAGGGUUCUUGCUGCAGUGUGUGUGCUUGAUUGUAGUUUGAAAUUUUGUUCGGAGUCUUUGCGCGUAUUAUCUACUUUAUUCUUUGCUCGUUUGUUCCUAAAGAAAAGCAUUUGGAUGACUUCAGUUUCUAUGUUUAGCUUCUACUUUUUGUGCAUUCUUACUAAUACGAUUGUGACAAUAUGUUUUGGCACCGAAGUGAGGUCAGUUGAAUUCUUUGCUGUAAAGUUUGUGAUACGAGACUUUGUGAUGAGGCUGUUGCUUUUGUCUUAAUCCACUGCAGGAUUCCGGAGGGUUUCAUUUGAAUGCAAAUGUUGGCUGUUCAAUUGAAAGCAUUUUACUGGUUUGCUAAAACGUUGUAAAACAAUAGUUAAUGCCACAUUCUAGCUUCUCGUUGAAGUUUUCCAAAGCAAUGUUGACUGUACAAUAAUGUUUUUGUUCUUCAUAGAAAUUUGACCGCGAGAAACUGGUAUGUUAUUCUUGUUACUGUCAUUGAUUUGUUUUCACAAAUUGAAGAAUAAGUGAGAAGAAGAGAAUCAUAUUGGAUGGGUAAUAAGCUCGGAAGAAGGAGACAGGUGAUUGAUGAGAAAUACACAAGGCCUCAGGGGCUUUACCACCACAAAGAUGUGGAUCAUAAGAAACUGAAGAAGCUCAUACUUGAGUCCAAGCUUGCUCCUUGCUAUCCUGGAGAUGAAGAAUGCACUUUUGAUCAUGAAGAAUGUCCAAUUUGCUUUCUGGUUUGACUUCUACCGUAAUCCUUUUUAUUGUUCUUGUACUUUCCUUCUUGGUAUUCUUUGUCCUCUGCCUUUUGCUUUAUUUAAUUGAAGAAUAGUAGGUGGAGGAAACUACAUUACCUUCUAUUUACUCUAUGGUUUUAACUAAGUUGAAGUUUACUUGAAAAUUCAAUUUCCCUUCAAUUUUUCUGUUUCCUGAACCAUACACAACUAAAUUGAAAUUUUAAAGCAAUUUUUUUUUGCUACAUUUCCGGUACAGGGUAACUGGGAAGUUAUUUUUUAAUUUCUUCUUAGACACCAUUCUGGGAGGAACUCACAGAAUUUGAAUAUCUGAAAAAAGUUAAAUUGAAUUUUAUUUUGUAAUUAUUGUUGUUGUGUAAGUCUUCUGACUAUCCUAUUCCAUCCUUUUCUUUUCUUGUUUCAGUAUUAUCCAAGUCUUAACCGAUCAAGAUGCUGCAUGAAAGGCAUCUGUACAGGUUACAAUCAUGCAAUUUUUUACAUUUGAUAUGUCGGCUGUAAAUAUUUGCAUGUGAAUUGAUUAAUCUCCAUUUCCUUGCAGAGUGUUUCCUGCAGAUGAAAGUUCCUAAUUCAACUCGUCCUACGCAGUAUCCUUUGUUAUUGAUGUUAUACCUUCAAAUUUUGAAGUGCAAUUUGAAAUUUGUAAUAUGAAAACUGUCAUUUUUCAUUUGUUACUUUCAGCUCUUUGUGCUCGUUUUACUUAGCAUAAUUAGGUGCCCUUUUUGUAAAACCACCAAUUAUGCUGUGGAGUUCCGUGGUGUGAAAACAAAGGAAGAGAAGGGUCUGGAGCAAAUUGUAAGCAUAGAUCUGUCAUAAAAAAAUUGAUUUUAUUUUGAAUCUAUGGAUUCUUGUUCUACUGAUUUUCUCCACUGGAUGGAACUUGAAAAUUAUUUACAUUUCUGAAAACUCUGCAGGAAGAACAAAGAGUCAUAGAAGCAAAAAUUAGGAUGCGGCAGCAAGAACUUCAGGAUGAAGAAGAAAGAAUGCAGAAAAGACAAAUAAGCUCUCCAAGAAGAAGCAUGGCACCAGUGGAAGAUGAAUACAGCUCAGUAACCGGUAUGCUAACAAUAAGAUUGCGGAUUCUAUUAAUGUACAGGUAUUCAUUUGUUUACGUAAUGACAAAGUUUUCUGGUAGUUCGAUCCUCCACUUCUCCAGAAGAAGGAGAGGAAAUAGUUCCUUCUCAAGAUUCAUGUGCUGUGUCAAUGUGUACCCAACCGCCACCUCCAAGAGUGUACAGGUGUACAUUUUAAUUUACUUUAAUUUAUCUUUUUAUUUCUGGUCUGUGUGUUUAACCAUGGAACAAAUUGGGAUUCGAAAUAUGAGAAUGAAACAUCUGUUUACUAGUGUUAUCUUGCCCUAGUUUGUAGAUUAGAAAAAUAUAUGUUUGCAUUUAGAAUAAAAAGAAAACAAAAGAGGAGGAAAUUACUGCAGCAUAAUAGUCAGAAUAGGUUUCCAUAUCUUCAUGGAACUUUAACUAGUUGGAUCCUAGUUUGUGUACGAGUGAAUAGGUUCUCAGGUUUCCCAUAUCACAACCAUUUAUGCAUGCACCUUUCUCCAUGUUUGCACUUAUGAUGUGCAAUUGUGUGUGGAAAAAUUAACAUUUUUCACCAUGGAAUUAUCUGGCUUUUCACAUCAUACAUGCCAGAUUUUUUUAGAUUAAAAGGCUCUUAUGAGUGUUUGUUUUACAAGAUACAUGACAAUUUGAAUACGACUCAAGCAUGAUAUGGCACAACUUGAUUGCCAGCCAUGAUCCUAAUUUCUAUUUUAAAUUCCGAAACUGCAGGGAGGAUGAAUUCGAUCUGGAUCUUGAGGAAAUAAUGGUCAUGGAAGCAGUUUGGCUUUCUAUUCAGGUAAAAAUUGUAAAUUUGUUGAAAUCACGAGUCCUGUUUGAAAUAAGCUUCGUUACGAACUGUAUGGAAACCAUGUGUUACACUGUUCAAAUUGAAACCAAAUGCUUUUUGAUGAUUCUCUUAACUUAUUUAUUUACUUUGAAAUCUAUUAUGUGGUCUUUAAGUGCUUCUAUGAAGGUAAUGAGACUUUUAGUGAGUACUUUUAACUGGAGCUUAGUAAGUAGUGAUAUACUUGACUGGCACCCAAUAGUGAAAUGAAGGCAAGAAUGCUUACGUGAACAGAGAGUUGUAAAUUGCAUAUCCUUGAGGCUGAAAUGCUCAGUUUGUAAUAUGUAUAGCGCUGGAGCUUGUACUUUUGACAUGCGCAUCAGACAUAAAUAAACUAUUUUGAGUUGAAGCUCCCUCAUAUCAAACUGUUUGAGCCAAAGAUAUCUCUAUGUAGAUAAUGGUUGAAUUAUUUAAGCUUUAUAUUUAAUAAUCCUACUUUAAUCUUUAGUGUAGAACUUUAGAUGAGUGGUUACUAGGAAAGAUAAGAAAUAUGCAGUAUUUCUAAUACAGAUAAAAAGUGUUCAACGGAGAAAAUAUUGUUGCUGUUCCCAAAAUUUGUUGAUUGCAUCCUGGCUAUUGGUUUCAAAAUUCUGUAAACAUUUAUAUUCCUAGAUGUAAAACUUUUAAAGUGAUAUAACAUAAUGAACACAACAUUUUCCAUCCAGCCAUAGGAAUCUUGUUUACAGCAAUUAUCUAAAAAAUAUGUAUAUUUUGAACAUGAGUACGUCAUGUGAUGUGCGCACACCACCUCGAGUAUUUCAAAUGUUUUGGUGUUGUUGUCAUUGAUGAUGCAACCGAUAACUGUUUUGAUUUGUGAUAGUUACAAGCAAUUUAGUAGUAUUUGAAGUUUAUACCUCACUUUAUAUACUAGAUAUAUGUGUGUGCAUUGGUUGUGUUACGUUAAAUAUAAGUGGAUGUAAUAAAAGUUGUCAUUUAGUCAACAAUUGCUAAUUUGAGUGACUGGGAGACUAUUGAAGUUUUGGCUUUGUUCGAUAUUAGUUUCUUGGGGUAUUUUCUCUUGUAUACCUCCUUUGUACCAGGAUCACACCUAUUUUAUUUCGUUUUUCCUUUUUUUUUUUUUAAAUAUAUCUGUUAAUCCAUUAUGUAAAUUUUUCGGCCUUCCAACUCUUCUGUAUUGCACAACAAUUUUGUUUUUCAGGAGAAUGGGAGACAUAAGUCUCCAUCUUACGUAGAUGCUGCUCCGUCUGAACAAUUUGUCACGAGACAAAACCUUGUCUCACAAGCCAUGGCUUCAGUUUCCGGUUCAUCUUCACCAUCGGGGGGUCUUGCCUGUGCAAUAGCUGCCCUUGCGGAACGACAGCAAACGAGUGGAGAAUCCUCCACUAGUCCUGGCGGCAAUGUGUCGGGGGUUAGUAUGGUUCCUGGCAGUAGCAGGUUUUCCAACAGGGUGGACAGAGAACCCGGGAAUUAUCAAACUGCAGUGACCUCUUCUGAAAUGUCAAUCAAUCACAGGAUGGCUUCGACGCAGGAUGACAGAGAAUGGAAUGUUGACACUACACGGACGAGUUAUGCAAGUUCCGACACAACAGAAGAUGUUGGAAGUACAUCUGCCCCACCAACGGGGAGUGAGAUUGAGGGCGAUCUUCAAAAUGCCCCAGGCCCUAUUGUUCCCGAGAGUUUUGAGGAGCAGAUGAUGCUGGCCAUGGCCGUUUCACUGGCUGAGGCUAGAGCCGCGGCCAGUGGACCUGGAGUUUCCUGGCAGUAGGCUAGGUCAAGAUACUACUGAUAGGAAAUUCUGAAAUAGAUAUGGUGUGGCCACUGCAGUUUGCUAGCUGAGUCUCGAGCACGGAAACUGCACAAAAAUAGAAGAACAAAAAUUCACGCAAAUAGUCGAAAGGUCAAGGUAGUGAUGAUUCUCCCUCACUUUCUCUGCCCCUCUCAUGUUUCUAUAUAGAUGUGAAAGGAAAACAGAUUAUUCUAGUGAAAUGAAAGGCUUAUGGUUUUGCUAUUUCUUUAUGAUUUCUUCUCAUUACAGCUCGAUUAGCGAGUACUGAGGAUCGAUUUCAUUGUUUUGGCUUGUUUUAAAUUGUGUGCCUCGUUGGUACCACGGCGGCGGUGAAAUGGAGUUCUUUGCACCCCAACCCCGUGUAUUUGAAAAGAAACGGUUGAACUUCCAGUGCAUGACUGCGAAUUGCAAGACUGAUGUGCAUAAAACUUAAUUUAAUUUGUUUCUAAACAAAUGGCGAUGUUUGGUGUGGUUACAUCGGAGGGGGUUAAAUCCUAAUCAUUGUCUUUCCAUCCCGCUCCAUGUCGGAGGAUUCCAAGUUCGGCAGCGAAGUAAGGCCCAAAAUUGCUCACAAAAGAAAGUUGUACUUAGGUUUUCGAUUGGAUGCUUGGGAUCAAUUUAAAGAGACAAAAAGAAAACCUACAUCUGAUUGGGAAAAGAUGGAUUACAAGCCAACUGCCAAGUUUUGUAAACAAUGAAUUAUUGGUGAAAGGAAAGUUAUCUUUUAAAAAGUUGGAGUUGAUAGGAAGAAAUGGAAGCAAAUUGUAUCUAAGUUGAAGCCAGCAGGAAGAGCAUAGUGAAUUAGAUGUGUGAUAUCUAUAUAUAUGAAUCAGCCAUUGUGAAUUUGAUCCGUAUUACACUAUUAACAUUGAUGUAAGUUUGAUAAGGGUGAGUUUUAUAUAUUAAAUUUGGGAGCUGUCUACUUUUUCUUUUUCUUAUUUUAUGAUGGUCGCCUCUUCUUUUUUUCUCGUUAUUUGUUGUAUAAGUAUCACACUCAUUGAAUUCAAAAAUAAGAAUCACUCUCGUAGCACUUAAAUUUUCCCGUCCACCAUGGGAGUUUGAAUUCUAUAUUAUUGGUAUCACUCAAAAUUUCAAUUGUUUGAUAACUAUUUCGUUUUUAGCUUUAGCUUUUUAGUUUUGAGUUUUCAUUCUAUUAAAAACUGAAAACUACAAAUCAAAAGUUGAAAGCUAUUUUUUGAGUUUUCGGUUAUCAAAAGAAAUUCAAACAAAAACUGAAAAAAUUGGAACAAAAUGAAAAUCAUAUAGACCAUCUCCAACCCUUGGGUUAAAACCUAAAAUUUUAACCCAAAUCAUUUUGGUUUUAACCCAGAAACAAUUUUUCUCCUCAAACCAUUUUGAGUUAAAUUUUUAGCCCGAGAUUAUUAAAGAAUAAAUUUAGGAUAUUUUUUUCUUCUUGAAGUAACUUUUAAAAAAAAAUUAUGUAGACUAUUCUAAUUUAAUUUUAUAAACAUUUUAACCUAAAAAUAUUUAUAUUUCGAUAAAUACUGAAAAAUCACUAAACCGACACUAUGAAACUUGUGGAACACUAUGAAAGAAUAUAAACGCAUAAAAUAAUUAUUUUUUGAAUUACUUUCGCCGUUGAAUUUAUAUUUGGACCGUUAGAUCUUCUUGUUUACGGUUGAAUUCAAUUAAUUUAUAAAUAUAAAACUAAAAAAAUACACAUAUAUGGUGGGCCAGCCCCCACUAACUCGAGGAAAUCCUGGACUAAUUUUUGCCCCAGAAAUGAAACCCAUAUUUGCUCCAAGAGUUGGAGCAACUUGGGAAUCUAAAAUUUGAGUUUUACUCCAAGGGUUAUCGUAGGUCUAAAACAAUGUUCUAAAAAUCAGCCCAUCCCGAUUUUGGACAAAUCGUUUCAAAAAGUCGGUCGGGAGCUAGGCGGUCCUAGGCGGCGCUUAGGUGGGUUAGGCGGUCAUAGGCGGCACCUGGGUGGUCCUAGGUAGUUUUUUUUAUAUUUUAUAUAUUUUUUAUUAAUUGUGUGCUUUUUUCUUUUUUGGUUUCAUGGUGUUAUACUUAUGGAAAUGAUGUACCUAAUUUGCAAAUGAUGGAUUUACUACAAGUUCAUCCAAUAGUGAAACGAAUUAGAGCACUUUUGAGGGGAUACAUACAAAGAAAAAAAAUAAACUAGAUACAACAAGGUUAAAUAAUUUAGUCUAUGUCCAAUCCAAUGCAAGAAUCAUAAUUCAUGAACAAGAAGAAUUUAAUCUAUCAUCCAAAUCCUCCUCAUUAUGAUACAUGCUUACUGUUUUUUAAAUAUUGAACUUUUUGGGUGUAUAUAAUUUGUGUAUUCUUCUAUUUCUAUUUUUGCAUUUUAUCAUUAUUUUAUUAUCCAUACAAGUAUAGUUUUUUUAGGUGUAAAUUACAAGAUAUAUAAUAAAUUUACAUAAAUUCGCCUAGGCCCUCCUCCACCUAGCUGCUUAGGCACUAGGUCCCUACCCACCGCCUAACUAGCGCCGUCGCCUAGUGAUUUUUAGAACCUUGGUCCAAAAAUACUAUAUCUUCUACCUUCAACUUAGACACAAUUUGCUUCCAUUUCUUCCUAUUAACUCCAAAAGGUUUCCGAGAGCGAGGGUGAGUGCCAACAGCUAACAGACGUCGAAAUGUGAGGUGGAGAUGGAUUUUAUGAGACCGGGCCUCAAAGUAGGUGAAGAUAUAUCAUAAACCAUUAACUUUCACAUGCAGUGUCUGUUUCUAUAAUUUCACAAAACUCAGCUUACUCUUUUAGUUCCAUUUCCAUAAGAUUCAAACUUUUCAAGCUUUGCAAUUUGAGUGAGGACCGCACGAUGACCUGCACUCCUCACUCUUUGUUUACCUACAUUAUUGCACUCCACAAAUGCCCCUAUAUCACUUAGAGUGAUAAAAGGGAUCAGUACCUAGGUAUUGCUAAUAAUUUGACCUUGUCAAAUCUGACUUUGGACCAAAGUUAGGGUUUCACCAUAAGUAACUAAGACAUUUGAAUGUGCGAGGCUCUCGUUGCUCUUUCUUCGUACCCAAGGUUUUGUCUUUGAUUCUUGAUUCUUCUUUUUAAGUAUUAAUUUUCUCUGCAUUAUGUUAGUUUUGCAUUUGGAUUCAUCUCAAAGGUUAUGUUGGGGUUGGUCAUUAUAGAAGUUUAUCCAGAGUUCAUUGUCACGUCUCUUACAAUAUUGGAUGGAAGAACUGAUUGUUUUGUCAAUUGCUUGUGCAUUAUAAUUUUUCUAUUUCAAUAAUAUUAUCACUUUUUUUCUUUUCAAAAUAUCGAUUGUUUGAAAAAAAACAAACAUUUGAAAUAAAUAUGAAAUCUACCAUAAAAAUUAAUAUUUAUUAGAAAUUUAAGGCGGAAAUGAAUGUAUUUUUUUUCCUUUAACAAAUAUCUAUUUUGUACAUUUUAAUUUGAAUUACGAACUUCGUGUACAAAUGCAAGUAAUACAAGUAUCCACCCUGAAUUUAUCUUCUCUAGACGAAGCUUUAGGGGCUGCAAAUUUAUGCAUCGACAAGGAAGGCAGCCAAAUCCCGUCUACUUUAAUAUUGAAGUCAUCUUGAAUUUGAAGUGUGCCUUUAAACAUACGAGUGAUUGAGAGCCAAUUGGUAAUGCUCAAUGCCAAGAUUCGAAUAAAAAAAAAAGAGAGAGAAAGCAAAUGGAUUUCAAAUAUUUUGUUGCAUAUAAUGAUCUCGGAUGUUACGUUUUUGUUGCGAUUUCAAAUGUACUUCGUCUGGUUAUUUUUUUAAUCCAAUGCCUUCUAAAUUUUGUAGCAAAUUGAGUCUAAAAAUAUAGUAUAAUUAAACGCUUACGAAUGAGAGUACCAAUGGAAACUCUAGGAGGUUUCGGGGUAGGAUGAAAAAUGUGAGAUUCUACUAUAAAAUCAAUUGGCAAUAUGGUAAGUAACUCAACUUGUUUAUAAGCCCGUGUAAGGUCCCUCAUUCCAUCAAUGUAGAUUCAUUUUCAACACACUCGUUCACUUGUGGUGAAUUUUACGCCAAACAUGUGGACAACACAAACAGGGUGACAUGAAGCACAUGUGGGUUACAUAGAACACGAUCAUUGGGUUUCACACGUGAGACAACUACUCUAAUACCAAGUUAAACCAACAGGUUUUGAUUCUUGUGUAAAUUAAACAAAGGAAAACAUUGGUGGAUUAGGCACAUUAGAGUAAUGAUAAUGUGACCCCAUUGCAUUAUUGUUAAUUAGUACCAAACACUAAACCAUCAUAACAUAUGAUCGUAUCUUUUUAUAGUAAUAAUAAUGUGACCCCAUUGCAUUAUUGUCAAUUAGUGCAACACUAAAUCAUAUUAACAUGAUACUAUCUUUUCUUAAACACCAUGAUAUAACUAGGAUUAACAUGAGACUAUCUUUUCUUGAACACCAUGAUAUAACUAGGAAAUUAUAAUUAUGAAAGUAUGAGUAACUUGGCAAUCUAGUGGGGUCAUUUACACUAAUAGUAUCUACACAUUACUACACACUCCAGUGCUGUAAAGAUUAUAAACAAAUGAAUAAUAUUAAGCUGCAUUGUGUUGAAUUUCAAUCUAGUCACCAUACGAAUUUCAAAAAAAUAAAAUUCAACGAAAUACAGGACACUGUAAUAUGCUAUUUAAUUCAAAUACAUAAAUGUGAUGAUAAUGCUCACCGCAAAUUAAUGUGGUGAGCUAAUCUAUCACGUUUUGAAUUUAGUAAUUCUUUUCCCAACACUCUCACAUACAAUGAAUUUUAAAUGAUUUUGCAAUAAUAUAAAAUAAAAAAACUACGAGAGCCGGGGUAACAAUUGAAUAACUUUUGAUAUCUCUAGAAUUUUUGUUUAGAAAAUAAUUUUUAUGUAUUAUUUUUUUUUUCAAACGAUAGAUUUUGUUAGAUUAAUCAUUGACGGAAUUUGAACUCACACUGUUAUAUAAAAACUCAACACAUUUUCAUCACUGUGGUAAAGAACCACUUGCAAUUAUGCAUUAUUUUUCACUUCUUAUACAUUCUUGGUGUUUUUAAUCAUUGCAUUAAACAAAGCUACAUAAAAUCAAUGACAGAAUUAAUAAAAAUGUGCAGAAGAAACUCCACUUUUGGUUUUGGAUGUAUUGUUUGGCAUGAACGAUGAGUCGAUGACAAGGGAGGUGAUUCCAAACUUGUCUAUUUAUUUGCAUGCACAGCCUUUAUAAACGCACGUAUCGACGUAUUGUCAAAAUGCACAUAUAUUGAGAAAUUUUAAAUGCACGCAUUGUCGUUAAAGAAACAAGAAGAAAACGUUUGAGAGAUUUUGAAAAAAGUUUUGAACUUUGAACAAGUUCAAAGCAGACAAAAAGGAGUAAUGUUAUUCAUACUAUAUUUUUAUAAUAUUUUAGAUGGCACUGAUUUAGAUAGAUACAUCAUUUAAAUUUUUUUUUAAAUCCAGGAAAAUGAAUGAGAUACCACAAUCAUUAUUUAAUUAUUUAUUUUCUUAAUUCUUAGUUUAUUAAAUAAUGAAUAAAAUUUAAAAAUCUGAUUAAUUCAAUUAAUAUGAAUAUGAUAUAAAAAUACGGUAAGCAUUACUCGACAAAAAGACAAGAUUGAAAGAGUAAGAUCCAUGCAAAUGCAGAGUUGGAUUUUCCCAAGAUCCUCUACUUUCACAUCGAAUCAUUAUUAUCGAUAGUCGUUUCUUUGAAAUUUACUCUUUUGUACUCUUCUUCCUCCACCCACCUUCUUGAAAAGCUGAAUGCCACUGCCACUCUCUCACUCACCUUUAAUUCAAACUUCAAACUUCAAAGUUCCGACCUCUCUCUCUCUCUCUAGACCGUCUUCUCUUCUGGGAUGAGUUUUUACUGCCUAGUUUUUCAUGUUUAAGAAAAAGCUGUCAUCUUUUAACACCAAAACCCAACUUGUGGAGCUCAAGAAACCAUCCUUUACCAUUUUCUAGCAAAUGGGUUAUUUUCUUUAGUCCCUAAUAUUCAAAAGGCGAGGUCUUUCAUGGAGUUCAUCAGUUGAGAUGCCACUCAGAUCACUGACAUUAUUUACCUGGAAUCUGCACUUCUAGAGUUUGCAAUGUGAGAAUUUUUUUCUUCCCAUUUCUACCUAUUAUUUCCUCAAUUUCUAUGCUUUUGCAUGUUUAUAAGGUGGGGAUUUGAAAUCUUGUUACUCACAAUUUUCUUUCCCUUGGUUUAUUGUUCAAGGAUCUGAGUUUUGGCAUUUCUUUUCUGUCUUACUUUGGAGGUGUGAGGUACACUUUCUUGGGACUUUAACUUCCAUUUAGAAUUCGAGACCCUCCAGAAAAUGUAAAAUUACAACUGAAAAAAGGAGUGUAGUUGGGUUAAAACAUGCAGUGUCAGCAAGUUUGAGAUUCUGAAAAUCCUUGAUAGUUGGUUUGCUUCAAUCUUAUGUUGAUGGAUUGGAAAUGUUUCACUCCAAAGAUCAAUAAUUAAGUCACCUCUUAUAAAGUACAUCAGGUUAGUGGUGCCAAUUUGAAGGUUAUACGAUCACCCAAUUAUUGUUAAAAGUUUUAGAGAGGCGGAUCAACGGGCCACUACUAAUCACCUUCGACGCAAAGCCUACAUUCUUCAACGACUAUGACUCUAAGCAAUACGAAAUUAAGAUCCGUUGUAUUUUUUGUUUUGGUAAGAUUUCCGAUGUAGGGCUUUACAUUCUUCAACGACUAUGACUCUAAGCAAUACGAAAUUGGCUAGCCAUGGUUGAUUAUUGCUUGACACAAUCUUAUAAAAUGAUAAUCAUCAUAGGACACAUUCUUAUAAAAUUAUAGAAUGAUCAUCAUAGCCAUGGGUGAAUGGGUAGUAUUAAGGAUUGUAGCUGGGGGGGUGUUCCCUACGGUGUGCAAGAUACGGCAGCUGAAGGGAGCCUUCCACGCAUGUGCCUGGUCUUGUAUCCCAAGAUCGGCAAACAUUGCGGUGGACUUUGUUGCGUCGCACUUUGGCACGGAGAUGUGCAACUUGGUUUGGGUCAUCCGGCCCCCAUCUUCAUUUGUGAGGGUCCUAAACAAAGACGGGUUACCUUGCCCACCUAGUUAGUUUUUUGUGGUUGUAAUGGUCUGGCGUGGUUUUGAUCCGUGCCUACCUACCUCCCUUACUUCCAGUUAAUUAGCUUUGCAUUUGCUUGCCCGGUGUGGCUUUCGUGUUUCUUCUGGCUUCAGCCCUGGCAAUGAAAUAUUCCCCGGUUCUCAAAAAAAAAAAAAAAAAAAAAAAAAAAAAAAGAAUCCACUUUUCAGCCUUCCUGCACAUCACAUGAGCUUUGUCAGUGGAACAAAAGAAAAGUGGAUGCAAUUUUAGAGCCAAAAAUGUCAAAUGACGAGCGUGCCACUGCAAUGUUUCAAGCCCAAGAAAUAGUUUCAGCUCAUUAGGUUGAAAAACAUGCCUGCACUUGAUAAUGUGGGGAAGAGGGACUUUUGAGAAAGCUUUUGCACUGUCCCAGAAGCAUGCUAGCUGAGAUAUGCAGGCCAUGCGGAGCAUGGGGUUUUGUAAAAGUGAAAUUAAGCCUUGAAUUAUGUAACAACUCAAAUGCAUUGCAGUUUUUUUUUCUCUUUAGGAGACUAGGACCAUUUGGUGUGUAAAUCUGCAUUCCCAUUUACCUUCUGAUGAGCAGAGCACCCGAAAACGGAAACAUGUCAUGUGUUUUAGAACAUCAUUUUUCCAGAUGGGUUCAUCUGUGCUUAGCAGGGAUAUUUGAUUGUAAUCGCCCUAGUAUAUUUAGCAUUGAUAUGCAAGAGGAUGGAGUUUUUAGCCGAUAGUACGACAGUAUAUGUCGAAUAUCAUUCUUAUAUUACUCAGUUAUGUGUUUUAUUCUAACUACAUUUUUUCUUAUGCUCACAAGUUAACAGAACAUAGCCCUUCGUCUUCAGCGAAUCUUCUAAGCGCAACAAAUGCUGCGAUCAAGGUUAGAGAAUGCUCAUUAUCCCUAAUGUGGGUUUGGCUUUUGUGUCCAUGUGUGUUUAUGUAUAUUCCUUAAUCUUGCAGUAGAUAUUUUUUUUUUCUUCUUAACCUUGCUGGUCCGAAGGUUAUCAUUUUUGAGUACAUUGUGCAGCAUAACUUGACAACAGAACCAAUCAAGAUCUUAAAUGUGAUCGGUAUUUAGUGUCUUAAGAGGUUCUUUUGCUUAAUCAGGCCAUUAUUUGAACUCUAGCGGUUUAUAUUACAUGUCUUAAGCUUGACCCUGAGAGAUAUGCAAUUACAUAUGAAAAUGGAAUUAGUAUCUGAUGGAAAAUUCUUGUCGGGAUUUUGGGGAAUAGGGGCUCUGAAAUGGUUCAAAGGCCGUCUCCUCGAGGCUCACAUCAGCUCAGGACAUCAAGCUCUGAUUCAGAUCCACUCCAUCAUCGACCAAUAACUGAUCGAAGUCCAAAGCUAGGAGGGGAUCGCCGUUCCCCAAGAGGUACACAAUCUGAUCCACUAAACCAAAAGAAGAUUGGAACCCGCCUUGCUGAUUUGGAAUCCCAACUUGGGCAAGCACAAGAAGAGCUAAAGAUACUGAAAGAGCAGUUGGCUUCAGCCGAGGCUGCAAAGAAAGAAGCACAAGAGAAACUGGAAAAUAAAACUAAGAAACGAGUUGUGACUUCUGAGCCAGUGAUGAUCCAUGAAACGCAUCCUCCAUUGGAAAAUCAGGACUCUAACAAAACGGACAGUUGUUCCUCUGAUGAAGUUCCAGAUGACAUCCAAAAGGAAACCGAUGUUUAUGAAGUCCCAGUAGAAAAAGUUACAGUUGAGCCAAAGGUUGAACCCAGUGAGACUGAUCAGGUGGAAGAAGAAACCAAACCAGUUGUUAUAUCAGAUGAACCGCCAUCAAAUUUGGAAGCAGAGAAACUUACCGCCUUACGUGACCUAGCUUUGAAGAAUGAUGAGAUAAACAUGCUAAGAGCUGAGUUGGAAGAGAAGGCAAAGCAGCUAGAAGUGUUUGGUGAAGAAAAUCAAGGUUUAAAGAAUCAGCUAAACGAAGCAGCAUUAAAUAUUUUAUCUGCCCAAGAAAAGGAAAAGGAAAUGUCCUUGAAGUUAAGUCAGCUAGAGGAAGAGCUGGAAGCAAGUAAGGCAAAUGCAGGUCAGUUGAACGCAACGCUGCAGGCAACAGAAGGAUCAAAGGAAGCGCUGGAAGCGGAAAUAAAGAAGAUGAGAGUGCAGACAGAGCAGUGGAGAAAGGCUGCAGAUGCUGCUGCUGCAGUACUUGCCGGGGGUGUGGAGAUGAAUGGUAGGAUUUCUGAGAGGUGUGGCUCCAUGGAUAAGCACUUUGGUGGAGUAUUUGAGCCAUCAGCUGGUGGCUAUGCCGGCUUUGUGGGGUCACCUGCUGAUGGCUUGGACGAUGGGUUCGGUAGUGGUAAAAGAAAGGGUUCCGGCAUAAAAAUGUUUGGUGACUUGUGGAAAAAGAAGGGCCAGAGAUAAGAGUUCCUUUUUUUGUAUCUCUCGCCCACACUCGCGCUGAACUUUGAAAAUCUCUGUUUUUCCGUUGGUGUGUGAUAGUAGCAAAACAGUUUCUUACUGUUUCAGACUCGGCAGGCAGCGCGUUUUGGAUCCGCCGUCGUAGUACGCAUGUUUUCCUAGUAAUUUCAGUCGUGUAUAAUUGUUUAAACGAUCUUGACAUGUUUUAUUUCAGUUUAUGAGUAAGGCUUUGGUGUACCUUCUCUAAUAAUAUUUUUGUGCUACCUUACCUUAAUGCAAUUUCCAACAUUUCCUUGUGAUACUUUCAUCAUUUUAUUUCGUAUACAACGACAAAAAGUACUUAAAUUUUUUUUUUUUGGGUCAAAGUGCAACUUUUAUUACGAACCAAACAAACAAACAAUACAAGGUCCAAAACAGACACAUGGACAAGCAAAAAAUGGGCCAAGACAAAACAAAGUACAACGGGCCAACCAACUGUUGCAACCCAAACACAAAGACAACUUUACGAACACUAGAAACAUCCACUGCAACCAUCCUCGUCGCAGCAACCAAAAUCCGUCCAAUUCCUCAUCCCCAGCCGAGUAUCUCCUCUUCAAACGCAGCAUCUUACCCCGAUCUGCUACAUGAGCACAGCCACAAGGAACGGAUAGCCAGCAACGACACAACGGAAGCCGACUAUCAGGAUGAAGCCCGUGGAAACCCACGAACAACGCUGCCGCAAAAGGCAGAUAAGCUGGAGAAGGUGGUGGUGUUAGAAACACCUGAGCCGGAAAAACCAUUGGAGCUCUACACAUGAUCUCCACGAUAUUCAUGGUUGAAAACCGGAAUAAAGAUGAACACAUAAGAGGGGCACCAACUGGGUAAGAGGGAUAGAAUAGAUCUGGGUUGAAAGCAAGGGAAGAAAGCAGCAGAAACAAAAAACAGAGGAAAGGAAAAAAUAAGGGAGGAAACGGCGACCGACCCCAGCUACGGCUAGGAUCGGCGCCACCGAAUUUUCGUGAUUUGUGAAGACUCACACCAGAAGGUGAGAAAGACUCUCAGACGGAGAGAGAAAAAAGUUUUAUCGAACUUUAAAAAAAGUACUUAAUCUUUGCUAAUUAACAAACUCACUAUUUUGAAUAUAAGUGAUAUUCUAUGUUAAUCUACUAGGACAAUCCUUCAUUUAUCGCUAAUUAACUACAUACUAUCUACCUAUGUGCUAAAGUUCUCAUUAUGAACUAUAUAAUAACGAUAAUGUUAAGGUAGAUUAAUUUUUUAGACCAAAUUUAUAAAUCAUGUGAUGUGUUACCAAUAAAAAAUAAACACAUUACUUAACACUAAGAUAAUAAUCCGAUUAUCAACAAUCACUUCCAUUGUUUUACGAAAUAUGCAUGUGAUCUCACGUUGCACUAACUUUUGCGAGUCACAACACAAGCCCUUGUUCGAUCAUCACGAGCUGCUCACAUUAUUAUAUCAAAGUGUAAUUUGUGGCACGCAAGAACUACAAUUUAUGAUUGUGAUGAAAUAUAAAUUUUUAUAAUAAAAAACUUGUCCUAUAACAAUUAUGGUUUUUCUUAUAUACACGCGUUCUAUAGGUUUUUUUAGGUUAUUUUUGCAAUUGUAUAUGUCAAAGAAAUAUUGCUUAUAUUAAGCAAAUGUUAGAAUUUGUAGUUUCACUUGCUAUUUUUGUUUAUGUUUUGACGUUGCACACUGUAGCAUUUAUACAUUGCAGCAACUGUUAGGUUUUGCGUAAUUGAUAGAUUGAAGCGGCACCAAAGCUUGAGGUGGAUAUUUCUCUAUGUAGCCAACCCCCACAACCCCUUGAGAUUUAAGAUUUAUAAGGAAAUCUCGAGCUCUUGUUUGUACUUGCAUAUUUCUCACCAAGCAUAGUCGGGUUAGGGUUACAUAAUAAAGUUGGCAGCCUCCACACACCCCUUUAUGUGGAAUACCUAAUUGGGUUUUUUUUUUCCGUGUUCUAAAUUAUUUGAUUAUUGAUUAAAUAAUCGACCAACUAAAUUAAUAACACUCGGUAGAUUUUUAGUGGAAAAGAUAUCAACCAAUGCAAUUUUCUUGAUUUCUAAAUUAAAUGAUCUAAGAGUAGAUGUCACUUAAUAUUACGAUCUAAUAAUAUUCAUUUUCACUUGUAAGUGCGAAGUUUUAAGUUCGAAUCUCAUAUAUGACAAAUCCGUUCCAAUUCUUUCUCUUCUGUUUUUUGGGUCAAACAGAGCUAAUUUCAUUAAAAAAAGAAGAUUACAACGGCAUAAAAUGGAAAUGGGAAGGUUUGAUGAAGGGUAGUAGGUGUAGGUCUUUCCAGCCGCAUUCAUUAAUGCAAUGAAACUCCAAAACUUGAAGAACUGGUUGUACCUUAUUACCUUGGUGCCCAAUGAAAUCCUCUUACUAUGAUGUAGUUUAGACCCAUUAGUUGCACUCUUUAACAAGGUUAUUCCCAAGUCAGUGGUGAAUCGUUUGAGGCCUUCAACGAAUAAGUUAGUAAGCCUCCGCCAUGUAGGUAGAUAAGUGAAGAUAUUCUUAUUUAGAAGUCUACAAACAAUCCAAAACAACCCUAACAUAAAGAAAUACAAGACCAGGCCAAGUAACAGAGCACAUAACAGCCAUAAGGGAAAGAAACCCUAAAUCUGAACAAAGGGACCAGAUGUCUCUACCCAAACAAUCACACUAUCGUCGCGAAGCUGCGACCGUCAGAAAGAAGAACCAACGAACCAUAUUGACGAACGGAAAAUGGGGAUGGCAAACCACAUAGAAUAAUGAGAUUACAAGCAACAAUCUCACUAAAGUGACUCAACUCUCACUAAGGUGGCUAUGCUCUUCUCAUGGAUUCACUCAAGAGGAUUUCUCUCCCAGUUCAUUGCGUUUUUUCUCUCUCAAUUCUCAUAAGUAAGACACUGCGUAUUUAAGAGUCAUGUACAGAGUAUAUAAAAAAAAAGGUAUACAAUGUAUACAACUGCAACUUCAAUUUAAGAGUCGUGUACUACUACUGCAUAAAUCAAAUAUUAAUCUUUGUAUACAGAGUAUACAAAUGUAACUUCAACUUAGGAGUUGUGUUCUAGUACUGAAUAAAUCAAAUAUUGAUCUCUGUCCAAUGCUAACCACUUAUUUUCAUGGUUAACAGACCUGUUAAAGGUGGGCACUUUUUCUUCUCUGGAGGUGGUUUGAAAUCCAAUGGCGGUCGAGGCUCAAGCAGCUUAUCUGCAAAGUCCGAAAAGAGAAAACCUAAAGUGGAAAAUGGAAUUAAAAGGAAAAACAUAACUAGCUAACAAGAGCAUCCUAACAGACAAUAAUCUGAACCACAAUAGUUUACCGCUCAGCCUUUGAAAACGUAUAAUUUACUCACAACCAAUGCUUGGGAGAACUUCAUGCCUAAAAGUACAAUUUUGAAAUAAUUUAUUUGAAAUUUAUAAUGAAUUAACUUUUAUCUAAUGAUAAGCAAAAGAGGCUGGCUGGACUAGUUUGUUGCCAAAAAAGUUAUCCUCGUGGCCUCAAUUCCAUUUAUGAGUUCGUGAAUGGAGUUCAGUAGUUAAUCAUUUAUUUAUUUUUCGCACUUUGUAGAAGUUCUGACAAAAUCUAGUUUUUGGUAACUAUCAGCAGUUUAUGUUGAGAUAAAUAUUGUCUCUCAAUCAAAGGCAUUAAAAUAUUCAGAAAUAGCUCUUCAUAAACCACAAAAUGCAAAAACCUUACCCAUCUUCCUGUACUAGCUCUUCCAAGUAUGGAUGCAAGGCCUGGAAGAGGUUCUAUAUCACUGCUAAUGCUAGUGCUCAAAGAAUCAGGAUCUACAUAGCCGUCCUGUGAAUAAUCAAACUCAUCAGUUGAGAACUAUAAACAAGACUACAAGUGAUAAAUCAGAGAUUAGCAUGUUACAAACCUGUGGUAUUACUUUGUUCAAUGUUUCUAGUUUGAGUACUAGUUUGAGUAGUUAGUCCAAGUGAAAAUCUCCAAAAUUUGAUUUAACACUAAAACCCUUAAUUGCUAACCCUAAAAUUCGAUUUAACACUAAAACCCCCAAUUUCUAAUUGAAUUUUCCAAAUUGAAUCUAAUUACAAUACCAAAAUCUUCAAAUUAAGGCAUCAAAGCCUGAUUCUGACCUUAGAAAGAAGAAAAAUUAAGAAUUAAGAAAAGAUAGAUAACUGGCUGGGUGCAAUCGGGAAGAAGGAAGGAUGAGGAGGAGGCUAGCUGGGUGCAGUCAGGAGGAAAGUUACGCAAGACGGAGUGAGAGAGAGGGCGAGAUGAGCGAGAGGGAAGAGAUGAGAUCAUGAGAGAGACCGAGAUGGAAGAGAGACCGGCAAAAUUUGGGAAAAAUUUGGGAAAUUUAAAAAAAAAACGCCUAUUUUUUACAAUUGCACCGCUAAAAUUUUAACAAAUUGCGCGAAGCAGGUAUACAUUAUGACGUCGCGCAAAAUGUUUUUGCAGAACGACCCUAUCCUAGUGUCACGCAAGUUAUAUUUUAAAAAAAAUAUAUUAUAAAAUUUAUUGAAAAUGUGACUUUACUCCUUUCAAAUUCAAUUAAAACCCACAAAAAUAUAUUUUUCUAACAAAAACUCGAUCCGAACUACAAUAAUAAAUUUAAAGCUACUUAAAGAAUAUACAUAUUGUUGAUGCACAAAAUCAGUAAGGACUUUGGUACAACAGAAAGUGUCAAGUUUGUGACAUUCGCUAGAUUGCUUCGGUCACUAAUGUGGAUAAGUAUGUAAAUGGAUAGAGACAGGGAAGCAAACACAAGAUGUACGUGGUUCACCCAGAUUGGCUAUGUCCACGGAGUAGAGGAGUUCUCAUUAAUUGUGAAGGGUUUACACAAGUACAUAGGUUCAAGCUCUCCUUUAGUGAGUACUAGUGAAUGAUUUAGUACAAAUGACAUUAGGAAAUAUUGUGGGAGAAUGAUCUCCUUUUAUAGAAGAGAGUUUCUAGCUUUGUUCUGACAUUGACACGUGUCGUGUUGUGCUUGACUUCCGAUGUCGACAUGUGUCGCGCUAUGAUUGGCUUCUGAUGUCGACACGUGUCGCGCUAUGAUUGGCCUCCUGAUUGGAGGGAAACUCUUCUGGGGACUUGCAAGAUCCAAGCCGUUGAGUAAUCACGAAACUUCUAAGUACUGAAGUGUGGUAUCGUCUUCACUUGCCUUAUCUAUCUCAUAGAUAAAUUUGGCAUCUUCUCUGGAAGUACUCUUCCUCCAUCCAUGGGUGGUAUCUUUAACCGGUGGAGAUGCACAAGGUAAUGUAUCAAUUUCACUUGAAGCUUAGGCUUGGUUAAGCACGCUACAAACCAUGUAGUAGGAGUCCCCCAAGUCGCUGAGCUAGAAGAUUUGCCGAAUGAGGUAACAGACAAGGUAAGCAAUCAGACUUCCAAGCAAGCAACCUGGAUUGGAGGUUCGACUUCAGCUUCCGGUUGAUUGUUCUCCUUCUCCUUGUGUCGUAAACAGCAACAAGGAUAAGGAGAAGCAAAUGGAUAAGAGAUGAUAUGAGAUACUUUUGCUUUUGAAGAAGUAACUUUCCACAUGCUUAUUCUUGAACUAGGUUGGAGGGUUUUCUGGUUUCCUCCAGAGUAUAAGGCCGACUCAAGAAUUUGAGGGUCAAACAAGUCUAUCAAAUCUAAAGUACGUUCGACCCUAAUGAUAUGGGAUACUUUUGCUGUCGACAAAGUAAUGGGUGUGGUAUGACGAAGCUUUGCUCUUUGGCGAUAGUGUCAGCGAAAGGUUGUUGAAUCUUCUCGAGUUCUUCGGAUAGGGUAGCGAUGCUGGGUUUGGAUUUGAUUUAGACUCCUCUGUUUGGGUUGUGUGGUUCUGCAGGAAGGGCAUCGUGCUGUAAUGAUCUGUUCCAGCUCAUCAUUGAUCCUUUUGUUUCAAUCUCUGACAACAUUUGUCCCCGAUGCGGGAGUGGAAUGCAACCUUUGUAUUUAAAUGGUCCUUCAGAGCACUACUUCUCAGCGACUCAUCCAUGCGUGGCGGCUUCAGUGUAAAGAGUUAAUAUCGUAUCAACUGUUCUGAGGUAUUUGCCGAAUGACUUCGUAACCUUGACAACAGUUAAUGAUGAGUACUCGAGAGCAAUGUUAGGCAAACAACCAUGCAAAGAUUCGGGGCAAUCAGUUCCUGAUCGGAAGUUUGAUUUCAGGUUCUGACUAAUUGCGUUUUUUCUCCUUGUCCUGCAGGUAAGAGUAAGGGCAAAGGAAAAGAUAGGGAAAAAGCAUGAUAUGGGAUACUCUUGCUUUUAACCCUGAUAAUAUGAGAUACUUUUGCUCUGGUGUGGCUUGUUUGCAUAAGUAUUAUCGGGGGGGGGGGGAAGAACCUGAGUAUUUUGAGAGACUUUGCUGGGAGUGUCAUCUCGGAUGUGAAUAAAAGUUGAGCAUUUUUUUUAUUUGCAGGUAUGCCUGGCUGUGGAGGAUGAAGGUCGACAUAUAUAGGAAUUGUCCCAACAGCGAGUUGUAACACUAUUCAUUUACCCUUCUCGGUCAUAGCAAUGUAGUGGGAGCUGCAAGAUUCACGUGGUUUAACUUUGUCAGACCACUUUGAAAAAGUGGUCUAUGGUAUCUGGAAAGUUGAUGUUGCGUGUGAAGAUUGCAGACAAGCUUUAUCCAAGGAAAUCUGGCUCUCGAAGUUCGGAGAGCAGUGCCUCUUCGGUUUUCAAACAAGCAAUCAUGUCGGGGAUUUAGCUCUAGAGAUUCGGAGAACAGUGUCUCUUCAAUUUUUGAGAAAGCAAUCAUAUUGGGAGUCUGGCUCUUGAGAUUUGGAUAGCGGUGCCUCUUUGAUUAUUGAGAAAGUAAUCCUGUUGGGAGUCUGGCUCUUGAGAUUCGGAGAGCGGUGCCUCUUCAAUUUUUGAGAAAGUAAUCUUGUUGGGAGUCUGGCUCUCGAGAUUCAGAGGGUGGUGCCUCUUUGAUUUUUGAGCCAGUAAUCCUGUUGGGAGUCUGGCAAGUAAUCCUGUUGGGAGUCUGGCUCUCGAGAUUCGGAGAGCGGUGCCUCUUCGAUUUUUGAGCAAGUAAUCUUGUUGGGAGUCUGGCUCUCGAGAUUCGGAGAGCGGUGCCUCUUCGAUUUUUGAGCAAGCAAUCUUGUUGGGAGUGUUUUCUCGAAUGUGAGUAAAGGUUGGACAUUUUUGCCAGUCUGUCUUGCCACGGAGCACGGAAGUUGACACACAUAGGGACUUUCCAGUUAUCAAGCAGUGGUGCUAUUCCUUUACCCUUGUGGGUAAUAAUAGGGUAGCUGGACCUUCAAAAUUUAUGUGUCUAAACUUUGUCAGAGAUCUUUGGCAAAGUUAUCUGUGGUACCCAAGGAGCUGAUGUUGCGUGUGGAGAGUGGUGCCUCUUCAAAUUCCGAAAAGUAGUGCCUAUUCGAUUUUUGAACCAACGACCCUGUUACCCUUUCUUUUAUAAGGGCACCAAUUGUGUGCAAGAAGUACAUUCAGAGAGUUAUUGCUUGUAGGAAUUUUCCCCUUAUUUUUAUACUUCAGAGAUUUAUUGGACCUCAUUUCUCCUUCAUCAUUUCUGAAAAUGUCUGGCCCAUCCGAAACUUUGGUGAAGAGGCAACUAUGUCUCCUCAAGACAACAUAUGACACUCAUCCUUCUUAUCCCCUACUGGUCUUCUUACCGUUGGGGACUCUGUGAUGAAGAAUGAUAUGACCGCUGCGGUGGUGGCCAGGAACUUUCUCACUCCCAAAGAUAACAGACUAUUUACCAAACGGUUUGAUGAGUUGGCUGUUAAGGAUUCUCUGGCUUUCAGCGUUCAGUGUGCAGGUUCUGUGUCUAAUAUAGCCCAAUGCCUAUUUGCUCGAACCCGCCAAGUUGAAUCAUUGGCAGCUGAAGUGAUAAGUCUCAAACAGGAUAUUAGAGGGCUCAAGCAUGAGAAUAAACAGUUGCACAGGCUCGCACAUGACUAUGCUACAAACAUGAAGAGAAAGCUUGACCAGCUGCAGGAAUCUGAUGGUCAAAUUUUACUUGAUCAUCAGAGGUUUGUGGGUUUGUUCCAAAUGCAUUUAUUGCCUUCGUCUUCUGGGGCUAUACCGCGUAAUGAAGCUCCAAAUGAUCAACCUUCAAUGCCUUCUCCUUCUGGGGUUCUGCCCAGUACUGAGGCUCUGAAUAAUCACCCUCCGGUGCAUACUCUUUUUGGGGCUCUGCCGACUACUGAGACUUCUCCUGAGCAACCUUUGUGAAGGUUUCCUCUUGUUUGUUUAUUUUGAUUCAUGUAUAUGUACAUAUUUGUAACUUAUCGGAGAUAUCAAUAAAUAAACUUUGCUUCAUUUCAACGUAUUGUGUUAAAUACAGCAAAACCUUCUUCACUAAGUUCUUUGAAUUUUUCUUUUGUUGAAGCUUGUAUGUUGAAGCUUUGUGAGUGAAGCAUGUAUGUUGAGGUAGUGCUCCCUUAAUUUCCCGAGUGAGGAAAACUUCUCGGUUGGAGACUUGAAAAAUCCAAGUUACUGAGUGGUCGUGAAACUUUCGAGUAUCAAGGUGUAGUAGUAUAUGGUAGGAGGCCCCCAAGUUUCGGUCGAGGGAGUUGAUGAAUGAGGCAUUUCCUUUCUAAGUGGUAGCCCAAAACUCCUAUUUCAUAAAUAUUUGUUAUGAAAGUUGUUAGGCCUAAAGAAGAAGAUGCCUAGGCAAUUUUUUUUUUCAAAUUUUCGAAUAAAUAAAUAAAUAAAUAUAUAUAUAUUUAAGCUUUGUAGGUGAAGCUUUGGUGUUGAAGCUUUGUAGGUGAAGCUUUGUUGGGUACCAUGAAUUGAUUUUGCUUCACACUAUCUUGAUCAAGAUAAUGUGAAGCUUUUGUAAGUGAAGUUUUUGUGUUGAAGCUUUGUGGUGAAGCUUUUGUAGGUGAAGCUUUUGUGAUGGGUGAAGCUUUUGUUGGUGAAGCUUUUAUGGGUGAAGCUUUUGUAUGUGAAGCUUUUGUGGUGUGUGAAGCUUUUGUAGGUGAAGCUUUUGUUGGUGAAGCUUUUAUGGGUGAAGCUUUUGUAGGUGCAUCUUUUGUGGUGGGUGAAGCUUUUGUGGGUGAAGCUUUUGUUGGUGAAACUUUUGUGGGUGAAGCUUUUGUUGGUAAAGCUUUUAUGGGUGAAGCUUUUGUAGGUGAAGCUUUUGUGGUGGGUGAAGCUUUUGUGGGUGAAGCUUUUGUGGGUGAAGCUUUUGUUGGUAAAGCUUUUAUGGGUGAAGCUUUUGUAGGUGAAGCUUUUGUGGUGGGUGAAGCUUUUGUUGGUGAAGCUUUUAUGGGUGAAACUUUUGUAGGUGAAACUAUUGUGGGUGAAGCUUUUCUGGGUGAAGCUUUUGUGUUGAAGCUUUGUAGGUGAAGCUUUGGAGUUGAAGCUUUAUAGGUGAAGCUUUUGUGUUGAAGUUUUUGUAGGUAAAGCUUUGGAGUUGAAGCUUUGUAGGUGAAGCUUUGGAGUUGAAGCUUUUGUUGGGUACCAUGAAUUGAUUUUGCUGCACACUAUCUUGAUCAAGAUAGUGUGAAGCUUUUGAGAAUUUGUAGUUGUCCUCCAUUGAUGAAGCUUUUGUUGGUGACUAUAACUCUUGUUGGGCAUAAGUGAUCCCCUAGUUGAGUUGUCAAGCUUGAGGGUUUUUGAUUAUUUGUGAAUGCUAGGAGUUCACAUGUACAAGUUGUACCACUCAUCUUCUGGUAGGUGGAAUGAAUGGUGAGUUGCUUUCAUCACUUGGUUGGUGGUACGAAGGUGAGUUCCUUCAUCACCUUUCAUCACAUUUCAUCACCUGGUUGGUGGCACGAAGAUGAGUUCCUUCUUCACCUGGUUGGUGGCAUGAAUGGCAAGUUGCUAAAUGAUAUUAAAGAAGGGGUUGUACAUUUCAUCACCUGGUUGUUGGCAUGAAGGGGAGUAUGGGUUGUACAUUUCAUCACCUAGUUGGUGGCAUGAAGAUGAGUUCAUUCUUCACCUGGUUGGUGGCAUGAAUGGCAAGUUGCCAAAUGAUACUAGAGUACGAGUUGUACAUUUCAUCACCUGGUUGGUGUCAUGAAGAUGAGUUCCUUCUUCACCUGGUUGGUGGCAUGAGUGGCAAGUUGUCAAAUGAUAUUAGAGUACGGGUUGUACAUUUCAUCACCUGGUUGGUGCCAUGAAGGAGAGUACGGGUUGUACAUUUCAUCACCUGGUUGGUGGCAUGAAGAUGAGUUCUUUCUUCACAUUUCAUCACCUGGUUGGUGAGAAUAAGGGCAAGGUGUUGAGGCACAUUGUAGCAAGUGUCGAAUGACACAAAGUAUGUUGAACCUUUUCGAAGCACAUUUGGCUUAUGUAUGAAUGUGUUGGAAUGUAUGAUUGAACAAAUAUACUGUGAUUCUGUUCGUUUAUUUGUAUAGUCUUGUUGACAUAUACUUAGACUUUGUUUCAUGUUGGAAACAUUCAUUGCUAGGAAUGUAAGAGGAUUAAGACCAAGCUGUCUAAAUCACCUCUUUAUUGAAUUCAUGCCAAAUAGUCUUCAUUACAUAGGAUGUCGAACGGCUGAAGCUUAACACUUGUACAAUGUGAUUUUACUUGUAAUAAUACUGCAAGUGAUCAGCAUUCCAUGGAUGUCCAAGGUUCUUACCAUCAGAGCUUCUAAGCUUGUAGGAGCUAGGGCGACUGAUGCCAACAACUUCAAACGGUCCAUCCUAGUUUGGACUAAGUGUUCCUUCACUUGGGACUCUGUCGCAGAGUAAUAUUUUCUUCAAUACCCAAUCCCCCACUUUGAAAGAACGAGGUUUGACCCUUGAGUCAUAGUAGUUGGAGAUUCGUUGCUUGUAGGCGACAUUCCUCAAGUGAGCCUGGUUUCUGUGUUCCUUGACUAGAUCUAAGUUGAGGAUAAGUUAUUUGUCAUUUUCGCUUUGCACGUAGUUCUGGACUCAGAACGUUGCUUGCUCAAGCUCAACUGGGACAACUACCUAUGUACCAAAGGCAAGUGAGAAUGGGGUUUCUCCUGUUGAUGUCCGAUACGAAGUG